UUAUUAUAAGAAUUUGUAAUGUCAACAACAAUUAUCAUAAGGGUAUAAUAGCCUUUCACCCCCCCAGGCGCAAAAAAAAAAAUUGCCCCAAAUAUAAAGAUCAUCUACAGUGUCAAUUAAUUAUGAAGGGCAUUAUUGCACAUUCACUCAACUACCUAACGGGUGCCUAACCUUCAUACAUGGCCGGGGGUAUGUUGUCAAUAUAUGGAUACAUUCUCUCUAAGUGUAGCAAAGCCAAACCUCAGGGGUGGUUUCUAAAAGUUUUCCUAAAUAGUUAAUAAUUUUAUACAACAGAUUCUUGGAUACCCCUCAAGUUCACUUAUUCUACGUUAUGGCUGACUUUCAAGAAAUUAAAUUCUACAUUAUGACCCCUAGGGAAACAACGUAGCCAAUAAAAUUAUAAAAUAUAUGUGUGUAAUAGUUGUCAAACCUGAACCUAUGUCGUUUAGCAAUUUACAAAAUGAGAAAGACGACAAAAGCCAAGUGUUAAGAGUGGCAGUGAGCCAACGAGACAAGCUCAAGUUCACUGUGUUUUUGUUGAACCUUCUGAAGACCCGAAACUCGAGGUUUGUUUUUCACGUUCCCUAAUCGUUUGACUACAUUUUAAUUCUGUGCUACGCUCGUUAAGAACUGUUCAGGCUUAUGAACUGUUCAGGCUAAGUGUUCGACGAAAUUCCUAAGUGAGUAUAUAUAAUGGUUUGCUCUUGUAUUUAUUCUGUUAUAGAAGGUUUUGCUUUGGGUGGUUAAAUAGAGGAGAUUAGACAUUGAACUUUAUGCACUUGUAUGUUUUCAAGUAAUUGUUUGCUGAGGCACAUGUACUUUGAAUGGCUUCAUUCAUCUACAGAGAUAUCAUAACAUUUUUGCUUAAUGUGAGUCUUAUUGUUGUUAAUUUGUCCAAAGUGAAGGCUUUUUUAACUUUUAUUUCUUUGAUUUAUUUAUUUAUUGGUGUGUCGAAGUUCUGUGUCUCAACUUUAUUUGAUAAGUUCUUUCAGACUACUAAUUAGAAGAAACAAAUGCUAGAGAGUGAGUAUGAGAGGGAAUGAUGUUUGGGCAAGGGGUGAUUUGUUCACUUGGCUCAUGAAGGACCCCAACUAUAAUGACAUGUAUCAAUUUCGCAGCCUAAUUGGAAGGUAAGCUCAUUUCUUGAUUUCCUUCAAUUUUCACUUUCAUUUUACUGUUUUCAAGUAGUAGGUAAUCUAAAUAAAAGUAAAAUCAGUAGUGAUUUGCUUCAAGUGCAUAUGGAUAGUAUAUCACAUGUGAGAAGAUUGUAUUUGUUAUAUGAAAAUCCUUAAUAACUGUAAUGAAAAAAUAUAUUCUCAAACCUGAUCGUGGAAUGUACUAUUUCUUAAUAUCUGAGUUUGGAUCCACACAUUUUUUGCCAUGCAAUUUGACAAGUUGUCAUGUCCUCAUAUUCUGCGCUAUCAUAAGUUUUGCCAAUCUGCAUAGGUGUUUAAUAGAUUGAGUUAAUCUAGUUUCGAGAGCAUGCCUUACUAAAGGGCAUCGAGUUUCUAAGUGAGGGCAAGCACAACUAUAAUUAUCUAUUUCAUAUCCUCCCUAUCAGCGGGGCAGGUCUGUUACCUCUAAAUUCUUUCAAUAACUUGGGGACGUUAAUCCUAUUAAUGACAGCCACAUAUUAUAAGUCAAGAAAACUGAUUUUUUGAUUAUUGAAAAAUCAAAUUUUUUGUAUUAUUCUAUUUAUGAUCUCAGUAACCUACAUGUUGCGAUUGUCUUGUAUGGAUCAUUGUUUCUCUUUUAAGCUGUUAUAGUGACAAUUUUUAGCUCUUAUUGCAGUUCUUAAAGUCAUUGCAAGCACAUGUUCUGUCGAUCUCCAUAAAUUCAGAUACAUAUGCAUAGUUAGCUAUUCAAACAACCACACUGGCAUUUAACUUCGAUAUUCAGAAAUAUGGCUGAAGUGAAGCUUCAUGGGGCAUGAGCGAGUGAAUUUUGUUACAGAGUGAUAUGGGCUCUGAAAUUGAAAGGCAUAGCAUAUGAUUACAUUGAAGAAGAUCUCUCUAACAAAAGUGCUUUGCUUUUGAAGCAUAAUCCAGUUCACAAGAAGGUCCCAGUGCUUGUUCAUGACAAAAAAUCAGUUUGCGAGUCCAUUGUUAUCCUUGAAUACAUUGAGGAGAUGUGGCCACAGAAUCCCUUAAUGCCAAAUGAUCCUUAUGAUAGGGCUCUGGCUCAUUUUUGGAUUAAAUUUGCCGAAGAUAGGGUUUUGCUUCAGAACUCUAGCUAAUGCCUUUAUAAGUUCAUUAUUUUCAUGUUUAUUAGUUAUUAGAGAAAAUGAUCAGUAUCCCCCAUUGUAUGUCAAAAUUAAUUAUUUGUUCUUUUAUGUUUUAAAACCUAUCAAAAUCUCCAUUGUCGUUCAAAAGAUUCUGUUAACCUUCAAUUUUUUUGUCUUUUACUAAUUUUACCUCUGGAAAAAUUUUUAUUAAUAGGAAGUUGAAAGUUUAAUAGAAUUUUUUUAACGGCAAGGGAAAUUUUGAUGGCUUUUGAAAUAUGAGAGAGAAAAGGAUUAAUUUACCAAAACAACAUUGUGGUUUUGUUGUUCAUUUACCCUUUGUCAUUCAAUGUAGUUGUUAACCUCUAGUAUAAGGGUGCUUGACAAAUGACAAGGAUAUGUAUUGGCUAAGUCUUUUAGUUCAUACAUAUUAUUAAUCAUGUGAUGAUAUUUUGGCGGGGAGCUACUGUUUGGAAAAUGUUUCGUAGCGUACAAGAUCAAGAGAAUACAAUGAAAGAAAUCUUGGAAAUGCUAAAAACCGUUGAAGAACAUGGCUUAGGAGAGAAGUAAUUUUUUCAUGGAGACAAGAUUGGCUUAGUGGACAUAGCAUUUGUUUCCAUUGUUUAUUGGUUGCAAAUCAUUGAAGAUGUAGCAGGAGUGAAACUAUUUGAAUUUCACAAAUUCACUCGCUUGCACGCAUGGUUUGAAAAAUUUAAACGAGUCCCAGAAAUUGAAGAGAACCUUCCUAAUUGGGGUGAACUAUUGGUUUUUUUCAAACGUCGCCGUGAAAAGUUGGUGGCCUCUUCCUCAUUGCAUUAGCACAAAAUUCGUGCAAUUGUAUUGUUGUCAAGAGGCCGCUCUUUGCUUAGUUUUUGAUUAUCUUGUGUGCUCAAUUGGGAGGCCCCGCUUUGCUGGGUACUUUCGUAUGGAUUUGAGUAAUAAUGGGGACUUGACUUUAUAUUUAUGAAUUAUUGCAUGUAUUUCGUUAAUUAUUAAUGGACUACUGACGGUUAUGUAUUGUUUGGGAAUUGUUUGGGAGGAAGUUUAAAAGCUGAUAUAUACUAAUGACUUGAAGAAAAGUCAACUUAUUUGAAGUAAUAUAACUCUAAAAAAUCAGAAGAAAAACUCUUUGUGGAAAAAGAUAGUUCUGGUAAACAUGCCCAGUAUUAAAGGGUAUUAUCGAAACUUAAAUGUGAAUGGUUAGAGCCAACAUGUGAACAGUACACCAUUAUGAAAAGAUUUUUUUUUUUCGCUAAGAAUAACAAGCCAAUAGGACUUUAGUGAUUUUUUUUAGAUCUAAUUUCUUGAGAGACUUCUUCAUCUUCUUCUUCCUUUAUGGUUGGGGUUUCUUUCUCCAUUUUAACACCACCAUAGGAAAUUUUAACCAUCUAUCUCCCAAAGAAGCCUUUUCCCUUACUCUUCUCCUGGAAAACUCUCUAAUCUCUAUAAAACUCAUAUCUCCCUCAUGUCAUUAUUCCUCAUAACCAACCUUUAAUAAAGUUUUGUCCAUAUUAUAAUGCAAAUUAUGUAAUACUUCAUUUAUAUAGUGGAUUGGAGAUGAGUUACUCUUAUGGAUGUAGAUCAAAGGGCCGAACAAUGUAAAAUCUUAUGUGUUCUCUAUUGUUUAUGCUUAUUUUCUAUUUAUUAGGAUGAUGAUAAUACUCAAAUCGUAUUCCAUACAUGAGCUCAUAUAGAGGCAUAGCACGAGCUCUAUUGAGCUCCCCAGAUAAGCUCUAUAGUUAAAGCUAUCCUCGAAUUCGCUAGAGCUACUUCCUAAACUCUCUUGAGCUCCCCAAAUCAAUUCUUUAAACUAAAUCCCAUGAGCUCCAUAGAGAUUACCUCCCAAAACACUUCAAUUUACCUCUCAAAUUACCUCAGUUCACCUUCCAGAUCACCUUAGUUAUUUCUUUUGUCCUUAACAGUAGAAAAACACACCUAGAUUUUUACUAGCUCAAUCUCCCCUCAAAUAUAAAUUUAUUUAUUUAAAUUAUAUUUAACCUUGUUCUGGUGAGGACAACCACUAAAUGAUUCAAAUCAGAUCCUAGAGAAAAUCCGAUGAAAACAUGUAUCUAUGUAUAAUAUUUAACAUCACCCUAACAAUCAAUACGAAUGCACUUGGAUUUAUUCUUAAUAGUACACAAAGUGGAAAAAGCAUGACAAGCAACACUUGCACACUCGAGGCUCAAUAUAAGCACAAACGUCAUAAUUCCAAGCAACAAACAAUGACCAUCAUUACUAAUUUUUUCUGAAAGCCACCAAAUUGGAAAAGUACUGCCAAGCAAUUAAUUAACGACUGCGACUUGCCAGCCUAAGCUUAUCCAAUGCUGAGAGUUCAUUAUUCUUCAAGGUUUGGUUAAUGUAAAUAUCUUUUAGAGUAAUUUCAGGGUAGAGCGGAGGAUUUUCUUCUGAUAGCAACUGUUUAAUUGGACCAUAUCGUCUCGAGCAACUAUUAUUCAUGAAAAACUUCCGAUUGAAAUUCUGGAGCCUUCCUUAUUUGAUAACACUCUAUAAUAGGCACUCUUGAACUUAUCAUUGGUAAUCAGCUGCAUAAACACAAACACGUUGGUAAUCAGCUGCAAAAACUCACACUUCAUAUAAACCAUAAUUAAGUUAUCUGAUAGAGAUUCAUGCUUGGGUGUUGACGUUCACAUGAAAUUUUGUAAGGACGAUUCUUUCACAGUAUUGUGAAAGAACGUUUCCGUACAAAAUUUAGUGCGAACGUCCCACUUGAGAAUUUUCAAUCUGAUGGAUAGUAUUUCUUAAUAAGUUAUCUAACACACACUUGCCUGCAUCAUGUAGCCUAAGUUUACAACUAGAGUUCCCGGAACAGGGGCAAUGUCAAACCAUUGAUCUUCGUGAAAGACUUGGAGGCCACCAAUUUGAUCUUGUAUGAGCACAGUGACAAAUUUAGGGUCAGAAUGUGUUGCUAUGCCGAUGGACAAUUCUGGUUGAGGGUAUUCAGGGUAAUAACCAUUCCCAAUAGUCAUUUCCUCUACACAACCUAUGUCUUUCAGGUAAUUGAGGUCAAGCCCUAAAGCUUCGGAUAGAAGUUCAAACAGAGUAUCCCCUGUUUUCCACAUUAGGUUGUUGUAUGCGAUCAUUAUCUCUCUGCAAAUUAAUAAAGACAAAAAAUAAUCACUACUAAAAGAAAGGGAGAAUGGCAUUUCGACUUUUAGAAAUUUUUUUUUUAUUGGGUUAACAACUAGAUGAAAUGAGAGUAAUAAAAACUUAUUAGGAACCCAAGUGAUGCAAAACGUUUUAAGAAAGAUGCGAGUGUUAUCCACUGUAAAAGAAAUAAAAUCUAUUGGUCAUCGUCCACAUACCUGCAAGCUUCAGGCAAAUCUUCAGGAUUUGAAAAAUCGCGACCCAUAACACAACUCAAAGUAUCUUUCAGUUAAGGAAGCUCAUUGUGCUAAGUUUAUGAAGAACAUGAAGGCAAAGAAGUUCUCAGUCUUAGUCAGUGAAGCAAGUCAAUAGUGCCAGCUCAUCAGUGCCAGAUCAGCAGAAUUAGUUACGGGAAUUAACAAGUCAGCAUAAGUUGUUAAUGCUUGUUACUAGUUUCUUUAGCAUGUGUAUGUAAAUAUCUUCAAGUAUAUAAGCUGUAGAAGUUCAGUUGGUAUGUAACGAAAAAGAAUUAAGAAAUAAGAACUUUGAUUUUUCAUCUGUAAAUUUUCUCUUGAAACCAACAGCCUUUAACUUUCUUUCAUGGUAUCAGAGCCAACCAUGGCUAGUUCCAGUACACCUAAUCAAGUUCAUUCCACAAACAAUCAAUUUCAAUCUACGCAAACUUCAUUUACUUUUGCUGCGACUGUAAACUCGAUCGAUCGAAUUUUCUUCUUUGGCGCAAACAAGUACUGACGUCAAUCAGAGGAAAUCGACUUGAAGGAUUAAUCUCAGAAGGUCAGAAUAUUCCAGAAUAGUAUCUAUCUCAAUCAAGAGCUGACAGAUCUAUGGAGAAGAUUGAGAAUCCAGCUUAUGUUAAUUGGAGAGCUCAGGAUCAGACUCUGCUUAGCUGGCUUCUUUCAACAAUAAGUGAAAGUAUUCUAAGCUCAGUUCUCAAUUAUGAUACUUCCUUCGAUAUUUGGAGAUCCAUUGAAAAACAAUUUAGAGUUCAAUCCGAAGCAAAAAUAAUGCAACUUAGAUAUGAAUUGGACACUUUGAGAAAAGAAUCAAUGUCAGUUGAAGAAUAUUGCUCAAAAAUGAAAACUCUUGUGAAUAAGCUUGCUUGUGCUGGUGAUAAUAUAACUGAAAAAGAUCUGUUGAUUAGGACUCUUAAUGGAUUAGGAUCUGGUUAUUUGGAUCUAGCUUCCAUAAUCAUAGCUAAUAAAAUGAACUUUGAUGAUGCGUAUGCACUGUUGUUGACACAUGAAGCUCGAUUAGAACAGAAUUAGAAUCCACAGCCUAUGUUUAAUGCCAACUAUAGUAUGGUGAAUGCAAAUUAUGCAAAUUCUUCGCAUAUGAGAGGUUUUCCUAGGAAAUGCUUCUAAUGGUCAAUAUGGAGGAAGAGUUCAGUAUUUUGGUCAUGGUAUGUUCUCUACUUCUUAUCCUAGAGGUUUUCCAGCUGGUAAUGGUGGUUUUGGUAGAGGGAAUGAUGUUGCAAGUUUUGGCAGAAAUCAGUUUCAACAUUUUCACAGACCACCACACAUCAGAAAUAUGUUUUCUCACGCACAUAAUCAAAACAAUUCUACUGGUGAACAUAAUGAACUGACACCUAUAUGCCAAAUAUGUCAUAAGCAAGGUCACACUGCUGAUGCUUGCUGGUAUCGAUAUGGUGAUAAUUACCUUCUUAAGAAUUUUGGCAUAGGUAAAAUGAUGGGAUCAAAGGCUGCUUAUAUGGCUAAUUUUGAGUCAUUUCCUUAUCAACAGUCAACAGAGGAAGAUUCUUAUGGAGUUGCAGAUAUUAACUACAGCUAUCAACCAGUGAAUUACUCACCUGUCUCUUCUUAUCAAUCUGAAGCUUUUACUUUCUCGGAAGCUUAUGUUGCUAACCUUGAAGGCUCAUCAGAUGAAGGGUGGUAUCUUGAUAGUCGGGCCACACAUCACAUUACAAAUAACAUGGGAAACAUGCAUGUGAGAGAAGAGUUCAGAGGUGCAGACCAGCUGACCAUUGGCAAUGGACAAGGUGUGAUUAUUACUCAUAUUGGUGAUGCUUGCUUUAGCUAUAAAAGUCUUAAUGCUGCCCACAAACACACACCUAUAGCACUUAAGGAUAUCUUAUUAGUUCCUUCUAUUACUAAGAACUUAAUAAGUAUAUCUAAGUUAACCACUGAUAAUAACCUUUCCAUUGAAUUUGUUGGUAAUGUGUGUUAUGUAAAGAAUUCACUGAAGGGACAAGUACUUCUGCAAGGUCUUGCUGAAAAAGGAUUAUACAAGUUGCUGUUACAAUCAUCUCAGUCAUCUCCUUCCUCUUUCUUGAGUCAAAUUUCUUCAAACAAGCCUCUGUCUAUGCUUUCUACAUGUCAUCUUCAAUUUCCUGUUAUAACGGAUGUCCAGAAUAAAGAUUCAAAGUCUGUAGCUUGUUAUCAAACUGCUGUCAAUUCUUUCUUUCCUUGUAAUGAAUUAGUUAAUAAAGUCAACUUGUUUCAUAGAUGAUUUGGUCAUCCUCAUUAUGAUGUACUAGUGCAUUUACUUAAGAAUGAUCAGUCUAUCAAUAUCUCUACUUCCAUUAUUAAACAAGCUGCACAACAAAUAUGUGAGGUAUCUCAAAUGGGUAAGGUUCAUAGGCUUCACUUCCCUGCAACUAAAACCAAAACUUCCCACAUACUUAAACUUAUUCUUACUGAUUUGUGGGGUCCUUCCCCUUAUUCUUCCAGAGUUGGUUAUGUUUAUUACAUCAGCUUUGUUGAUGAUUUCAGUAGGUACACUUGAAUCUAUCCACUGAAACUGAAAUCAGAAGCCUUACAAAUUUUCAAACUCUUCAAACUGCAAGUUGAAAAACAAUUCCAGUGUUCCAUUAAAAAGUUACAAUCUGACUGGGGGGGAGAAUAUCGAGCAUUCACUGAAUUUUUGAACCAAAAUGGAAUUAUUUUUAGACACUCUUGUCCAUACACACAUCAUCAAAAUGAGGUAGUUGAGAGAAAGCACAGACACAUUGUUGAGUUAGGACUUACACUUCUAACUCAAGCUAAAUUACCCUUAAACUUUUGGUGGGAAGCUUUCCAAACCUCAGUCUAUCAUAUUAAUAGGUUGCCUUUUGCAACUUUGAAAUUUCUUACUCCCUAUGAAAAGCUCUUCAAUCAUAAGCCAGAUUACAAAAUGCUCAAGUGCUUUGGUUGUGCAUGCUAUCCUUACUUGAGAGAUUAUAAUAAGUAUAAGUUUGCCUAUCAUUCUAACAAGUAUGUCUUUAUUGGUUACAGUCCUUCUCAUAAAAGGGUAUAAAUGUUUGCAUCCAUAUGGUCAGGUCUAUAUAGCUAGACAUGUCAUAUUUGAUGAGCAUUCCUUUUCUUACUCAUCAGAUUCUGUUUUCACUUCAAAUAAUUCAUGUCAACCUCUGUCAUUUACUCCUCAACAAGUGUAUCAUCUAUUCACUUUGUCAAUACCUUCUAAUUCAAAUGACAGUAACUCUUAUAAUCCUGUUUCUGUAAGUUCUACCAGCAGCAGUUCUCAUCAUUCAGUGAAUCAUACACAUAACAAUGACUCUCAGCCUUUGCCACAAAUAUUUGAGCCACAUACAGAAUCUCAUCAUUCCCUGCCUACUCAAUCAUUCACUACCAACACACUCUCUCCAUCACAAAUUUUAACCAACAUCAUUUCCACAACACUUUUGCUCCNNNNNNNNNNNNNNNNNNNNNNNNNNNNNNNNNNNNNNNNNNNNNNNNNNNNNNNNNNNNNNNNNNNNNNNNNNNNNNNNNNNNNNNNNNNNNNNNNNNNNNNNNNNNNNNNNNNNNNNNNNNNNNNNNNNNNNNNNNNNNNNNNNNNNNNNNNNNNNNNNNNNNNNNNNNNNNNNNNNNNNNNNNNNNNNNNNNNNNNNNNNNNNNNNNNNNNNNNNNNNNNNNNNNNNNNNNNNNNNNNNNNNNNNNNNNNNNNNNNNNNNNNNNNNNNNNNNNNNNNNNNNNNNNNNNNNNNNNNNNNNNNNNNNNNNNNNNNNNNNNNNNNNNNNNNNNNNNNNNNNNNNNNNNNNNNNNNNNNNNNNNNNNNNNNNNNNNNNNNNNNNNNNNNNNNNNNNNNNNNNNNNNNNNNNNNNNNNNNNNNNNNNNNNNNNNNNNNNNNNNNNNNNNNNNNNNNNNNNNNNNNNNNNNNNNNNNNNNNNNNNNNNNNNNNNNNNNNNNNNNNNNNNNNNNNNNNNNNNNNNNNNNNNNNNNNNNNNNNNNNNNNNNNNNNNNNNNNNNNNNNNNNNNNNNNNNNNNNNNNNNNNNNNNNNNNNNNNNNNNNNNNNNNNNNNNNNNNNNNNNNNNNNNNNNNNNNNNNNNNNNNNNNNNNNNNNNNNNNNNNNNNNNNNNNNNNNNNNNNNNNNNNNNNNNNNNNNNNNNNNNNNNNNNNNNNNNNNNNNNNNNNNNNNNNNNNNNNNNNNNNNNNNNNNNNNNNNNNNNNNNNNNNNNNNNNNNNNNNNNNNNNNNNNNNNNNNNNNNNNNNNNNNNNNNNNNNNNNNNNNNNNNNNNNNNNNNNNNNNNNNNNNNNNNNNNNNNNNNNNNNNNNNNNNNNNNNNNNNNNNNNNNNNNNNNNNNNNNNNNNNNNNNNNNNNNNNNNNNNNNNNNNNNNNNNNNNNNNNNNNNNNNNNNNNNNNNNNNNNNNNNNNNNNNNNNNNNNNNNNNNNNNNNNNNNNNNNNNNNNNNNNNNNNNNNNNNNNNNNNNNNNNNNNNNNNNNNNNNNNNNNNNNNNNNNNNNNNNNNNNNNNNNNNNNNNNNNNNNNNNNNNNNNNNNNNNNNNNNNNNNNNNNNNNNNNNNNNNNNNNNNNNNNNNNNNNNNNNNNNNNNNNNNNNNNNNNNNNNNNNNNNNNNNNNNNNNNNNNNNNNNNNNNNNNNNNNNNNNNNNNNNNNNNNNNNNNNNNNNNNNNNNNNNNNNNNNNNNNNNNNNNNNNNNNNNNNNNNNNNNNNNNNNNNNNNNNNNNNNNNNNNNNNNNNNNNNNNNNNNNNNNNNNNNNNNNNNNNNNNNNNNNNNNNNNNNNNNNNNNNNNNNNNNNNNNNNNNNNNNNNNNNNNNNNNNNNNNNNNNNNNNNNNNNNNNNNNNNNNNNNNNNNNNNNNNNNNNNNNNNNNNNNNNNNNNNNNNNNNNNNNNNNNNNNNNNNNNNNNNNNNNNNNNNNNNNNNNNNNNNNNNNNNNNNNNNNNNNNNNNNNNNNNNNNNNNNNNNNNNNNNNNNNNNNNNNNNNNNNNNNNNNNNNNNNNNNNNNNNNNNNNNNNNNNNNNNNNNNNNNNNNNNNNNNNNNNNNNNNNNNNNNNNNNNNNNNNNNNNNNNNNNNNNNNNNNNNNNNNNNNNNNNNNNNNNNNNNNNNNNNNNNNNNNNNNNNNNNNNNNNNNNNNNNNNNNNNNNNNNNNNNNNNNNNNNNNNNNNNNNNNNNNNNNNNNNNNNNNNNNNNNNNNNNNNNNNNNNNNNNNNNNNNNNNNNNNNNNNNNNNNNNNNNNNNNNNNNNNNNNNNNNNNNNNNNNNNNNNNNNNNNNNNNNNNNNNNNNNNNNNNNNNNNNNNNNNNNNNNNNNNNNNNNNNNNNNNNNNNNNNNNNNNNNNNNNNNNNNNNNNNNNNNNNNNNNNNNNNNNNNNNNNNNNNNNNNNNNNNNNNNNNNNNNNNNNNNNNNNNNNNNNNNNNNNNNNNNNNNNNNNNNNNNNNNNNNNNNNNNNNNNNNNNNNNNNNNNNNNNNNNNNNNNNNNNNNNNNNNNNNNNNNNNNNNNNNNNNNNNNNNNNNNNNNNNNNNNNNNNNNNNNNNNNNNNNNNNNNNNNNNNNNNNNNNNNNNNNNNNNNNNNNNNNNNNNNNNNNNNNNNNNNNNNNNNNNNNNNNNNNNNNNNNNNNNNNNNNNNNNNNNNNNNNNNNNNNNNNNNNNNNNNNNNNNNNNNNNNNNNNNNNNNNNNNNNNNNNNNNNNNNNNNNNNNNNNNNNNNNNNNNNNNNNNNNNNNNNNNNNNNNNNNNNNNNNNNNNNNNNNNNNNNNNNNNNNNNNNNNNNNNNNNNNNNNNNNNNNNNNNNNNNNNNNNNNNNNNNNNNNNNNNNNNNNNNNNNNNNNNNNNNNNNNNNNNNNNNNNNNNNNNNNNNNNNNNNNNNNNNNNNNNNNNNNNNNNNNNNNNNNNNNNNNNNNNNNNNNNNNNNNNNNNNNNNNNNNNNNNNNNNNNNNNNNNNNNNNNNNNNNNNNNNNNNNNNNNNNNNNNNNNNNNNNNNNNNNNNNNNNNNNNNNNNNNNNNNNNNNNNNNNNNNNNNNNNNNNNNNNNNNNNNNNNNNNNNNNNNNNNNNNNNNNNNNNNNNNNNNNNNNNNNNNNNNNNNNNNNNNNNNNNNNNNNNNNNNNNNNNNNNNNNNNNNNNNNNNNNNNNNNNNNNNNNNNNNNNNNNNNNNNNNNNNNNNNNNNNNNNNNNNNNNNNNNNNNNNNNNNNNNNNNNNNNNNNNNNNNNNNNNNNNNNNNNNNNNNNNNNNNNNNNNNNNNNNNNNNNNNNNNNNNNNNNNNNNNNNNNNNNNNNNNNNNNNNNNNNNNNNNNNNNNNNNNNNNNNNNNNNNNNNNNNNNNNNNNNNNNNNNNNNNNNNNNNNNNNNNNNNNNNNNNNNNNNNNNNNNNNNNNNNNNNNNNNNNNNNNNNNNNNNNNNNNNNNNNNNNNNNNNNNNNNNNNNNNNNNNNNNNNNNNNNNNNNNNNNNNNNNNNNNNNNNNNNNNNNNNNNNNNNNNNNNNNNNNNNNNNNNNNNNNNNNNNNNNNNNNNNNNNNNNNNNNNNNNNNNNNNNNNNNNNNNNNNNNNNNNNNNNNNNNNNNNNNNNNNNNNNNNNNNNNNNNNNNNNNNNNNNNNNNNNNNNNNNNNNNNNNNNNNNNNNNNNNNNNNNNNNNNNNNNNNNNNNNNNNNNNNNNNNNNNNNNNNNNNNNNNNNNNNNNNNNNNNNNNNNNNNNNNNNNNNNNNNNNNNNNNNNNNNNNNNNNNNNNNNNNNNNNNNNNNNNNNNNNNNNNNNNNNNNNNNNNNNNNNNNNNNNNNNNNNNNNNNNNNNNNNNNNNNNNNNNNNNNNNNNNNNNNNNNNNNNNNNNNNNNNNNNNNNNNNNNNNNNNNNNNNNNNNNNNNNNNNNNNNNNNNNNNNNNNNNNNNNNNNNNNNNNNNNNNNNNNNNNNNNNNNNNNNNNNNNNNNNNNNNNNNNNNNNNNNNNNNNNNNNNNNNNNNNNNNNNNNNNNNNNNNNNNNNNNNNNNNNNNNNNNNNNNNNNNNNNNNNNNNNNNNNNNNNNNNNNNNNNNNNNNNNNNNNNNNNNNNNNNNNNNNNNNNNNNNNNNNNNNNNNNNNNNNNNNNNNNNNNNNNNNNNNNNNNNNNNNNNNNUUGGUUCACUUCAACUAUCUAAGGAACAAACUCAAUGUGCAGCCUUGCCCCUUGAGUUUGAGGGGGGCUGUUAAGGAAGCUCAUUGUGCUGAGUUUAUGAAGAACAUGAAGGCAAAGAAGUUCUCAGUCUUAGUCAGUGAAGCAAGUCAAUAGUGCCAGCUCAUUAGUGCCAGAUCAGCAGAAUUAGUUACGGGAAUUAACUAGUCAGCAUAAGUUGUUAAUGUUUGUUACUAGUUUCUUUAGCAUGUGUAUGUAAAUAUCUUCAAGUAUAUAAGCUGUAGAAGUUCAGUUGGUAUGUAACGAAAACGAAUUAAGAAAUAAGAACCUUGAUUUUUCCUCUGUAAAUUUUCUCUUGAAACAAACAGCCUUUAACUUUCUUUCACUUUCCAAAAGAGGGUUGGUGCACUAUACAAAUUUAAAUUUGAACAAUAUUUAAUUUUUUUGGAGUAAUCACGAGAAUAAUAUUUCUGCUUAACCUCAACAUCUUGUUGAAAAAAAGCUACGGAUCCCAUCAAUGGCCUGAUCCAAAAUGCUUGUUGGGAUUCCAUGAUUGAUCACUUGAAAGAAACCCCACUUCUCACAAGCACUUCUAAUUUGGUCAAUUACCUGAGAACGCAAACUUGAAUCCUUGAGUAUUCUUUGAAGGUCUAUGAUAGGGAUGCUGAUUUUGGGGUCCCUGCAGAUUGGCUUAUCAUCAAACUUAUGUUUAGUGUGACGAUCUUGAAUGAUGAUCUGUGGAAUGGUUGUGAUCCCAGCAUCUACGAGUCCCUUAACACCAGCUUUCGUGUCAUCAAAAGCUUUCAACUCGCUAACUCUGUCACAAGUAAUGCUUCCCAUUGCUUGGUGAAUUAUCUUUUACCUGGUGAAUUAUGAAGUACAAAUGCUGACUUGCGGGUGAUUGCUUUUGGUAUAUGCCGUUUAUAUGAAUAUGAUUCCUAGCUUGCCACGUGCAACAUGUUGAAAUAUAGCGAUAGCAUGAAGAUGUGGAAAUUUGUAAAAUUUGAUCCUGCGUUAUUUAUCAUGAUUAAAUUAAUUAUAAAUUAUCAAUAAUAGUCAAUUCCGGGGACCACCAAUUACUGGGUGGCACAUCACAAUAAUAAAUUAUCAAUAAUAGUCAAUUCUGCAUUAUUUAAUAUUUAUGUGGAUAAAAUUUCAAUUAGCUACACUACAUUGUUGUUUGAUAGUUAACGGUUCACCUUCUCCAUUUGUAAAUAUUAUUAUGGACUUAUAGUGUGGCUUAAAAGCUAGAUCUUAAAUGAAAAGAAAGCUUUAAUGGUGAAAUAAAAAUUUAAAUAAAUGAUAAAGGGAUUAAAGGUUAACCUAAUGUUAACAAAAAUAAUUGUAAAAUAUACAUGUUUUAUCAUGUUAAUUGAUGUUUUUCCAGUAUGCACAUAAAAAAGAUCUAUUUUACAAUUGUUUCUGUUGGCGUUGGGGCAGAUUUUUUUUUAGUCUAAUUAAGUAUAUCAUAAGUUAAUAAUAGUGCGUAUUUUAACUUUAAUAAAUUUGGCCACUUAGAUUUUUAAUUCUGACUCCUUCCCUAAUCAAUCAAGAAAAAGAAUGCUUUUCUCCAUAAAAAUUAAAAUAGAAAAUUCAGCAAGGACAUAACUGCGGAGAUGUUUGAUCCUGGAUUUAUAUAUCAAAGCAACAUCAAAAUUAUAAUACUUCCUUGCCACCGAGAAGAGAUAUAUUCAAGAGCACUGGCCUUAUAAAGCCUAAACCAUACUAAACUACCUACAUGGAAUCUAAUGCGUACAUGCAAUGCUUUCUAAAGUGAAACUGUCGCUUGAAAAUAGAAUUCAUGUUCAGCAGCCUCUCUCUAUCCGGGCUCCAAUUUUAUAACAAGGCAGCUAAAUAAGAUGAUUUAGAUGGCAUCGGCAUCUGUAGUAUCGUUUGUCUGUAGUCCCUCAUUAUCUACGAUCUGAUCGCUCCCUAUAGUAUUGUUUGCCUGUAGUCCCUCAUUAUCUACGCUCUGAUCACUCCCUAUGUAGAGAAUCGACAAGAGCAAAUUGAAGCACACGUUCACAGCACUAAUAACUGUUAAACUCUUAUAGUACUUGUCAAGCCUACUAUCAUCCAGGGUUUCAGCAAAGUCGCCUUUGUUUGCCAAAAUGAAAAAGAUGUUAAAAAUGCUUCCUAUUCCGACGAAAAAAUAACUUAUUGCUGAUACAUGGUACUCCAUCCGUUCAGGAAAAUGAGAGCUCGAGUAUUCAUCACAUCCAUACCAGGCAAGCCCUUCCAUAAGACCUAAUAGACAGAAUUGUGGAACAAGCCAAAACAUGCUCAUAUUUUACAGUAAAUGUUAAAUUUCACAGCAUGUAAAAUAUAUAUAUAUAUAUACACACACACACACAUACCUAAUAAGAGGAUAUUAGGAGCUUUACCCUUAUAAAAAUAAUGCUAGAGAUCUCAAUAGUUAAGUUACAAUUGAUGUGACAUUAAUUCAUUUUGGCUCCACUUUGAUUAUAAUAAUGAUUAAGAAAAGCAUUUCUAGGAUCAUAAUGUCAUGCUAUACAAUUAGUUCCAACAAUUUUCGUUUCAGGCAUUGGGGCUAUUGUUCUGUACAGCGUCCAGAGAAUUUUCAGAAACCAACUUUGAGCUACUCAACAUGAUAGGAAUUAUCCUGUUAGCAGUGGGUGAAGUUGGAGCGGCGCCUCUUUUGGGACCAUUUCUUGCCGAUCAAUUAAGAGAACAUGGUAAAGGAGGGAGAACAGAAAAUUCAAAUGAGGAUCAAGUAAUGGCUCAGAAAAGAGUGUGGUGGCGGUUUGCCUGGUGCUGUGGUUCAGCUGCGGCAUUCUAUGCAAAUAAUAUUAAGACAUGGAAGAAGACUUUCAUGUUCACAUUGUUGUUUAUGGGGGGCAGUUUGAUCCUCUUGUUGUUGGGUAUUCCCUUUUAUCAUAGUAGACAAAUACCUCCUAUUGACCGUUUUGCUAUAAUCCGCGUUGUUAAAACCUCCCUGAAGAAAAAGCAUCUCAAUUAUCCUCUUUCUCCGGAGCUGUUCUUCAGUAAUGAUGAGGGAAACGUAUUACACUUGUCACCAAGAAUCAAAUUACUCAGGUAUAUGCCCAACAUGUAUACACCCACACCCGGCCCGUGGUCUGGCAAAAUUGUUGGGGAGACCCUCUUAUUUUUAUUAAUAAUUAUAUAAACCUCUUUAUGGACACAUUAAUACCCUUUUGUGUUCGGGAAUAGUCACACCGACCUCCAAGAUUUGUCCAAAAGGGCGUAUUUAUAAACGCGUCUGUGUGAUCAUUUUGCCAAACCAUGAGCUGUCGCUUUCUCUUUUCCUAAAAAAUUACCAAUAAAUUAAUUCUUUGAAUUGCAGAUGGAUAGACAAAGCGGCAAUUAUAGAGACAUCAAGUACUUCUAACGAACAAGAAGAGGCAGGCACACUUUGCACUGUGGCCCAGGUCAGGGAGUCAAAAUCUCUUCUUAAUGCGUACAUGCAAUGCUUUCUAAAGUGAAACUGUCGCUUGAAAAUAGAAUUCAUGUUCAGCAGCCUCUCUCUAUCCGGGCUCCAAUUUUAUAACAAGGCAGCUAAAAAAGAUGAUUUAGAUGGCAUCGGCAUCUGUAGUAUCGUUUGUCUGUAGUCCCUCAUUAUCUACGAUCUGAUCGCUCCCUAUAGUAUUGUUUGCCUGUAGUCCCUCAUUAUCUACGCUCUGAUCACUCCCUAUGUAGAGAAUCGACAAGAGCAAAUUGAAGCACACGUUCACAGCACUAAUAACUGUUAAACUCUUAUAGUACUUGUCAAGCCUACUAUCAUCCAGGGUUUCAGCAAAGUCGCCUUUGUUUGCCAAAAUGAAAAAGAUGUUAAAAAUGCUUCCUAUUCCGACGAAAAAAUAACUUAUUGCUGAUACAUGGUACUCCAUCCGUUCAGGAAAAUGAGAGCUCGAGUAUUCAUCACAUCCAUACCAGGCAAGCCCUUCCAUAAGACCUAAUAGACAGAAUUGUGGAACAAGCCAAAACAUGCUCAUAUUUUCCAAUUGUUUGAGCUUUUCCAACCUGCGAACCUCAACCUGCCAUGCCACUACACAGCAAACUGUAGUCAUCACCAUUCCAAUAAAUGUUCUCAACACUUGAGCUUGUCUCUUUUUAGUUUUUGGAACAAAAUUGGAAAUUAAAUUUUUUGACAGAUAAGAGAUCGUUGCACGAAUUAUCCCUUUAAAAGUUCGUAGAAAGAUUAAGUAUCUUUCAGAAAUCAUGUUGGCUCCCUGCCCAGGAAAAAAUGUAUUUCCUGCUGACAGAACCAAUCCAAACACAAUGAAGCUAGACCACAAUGGCAACAAUUUAAGAAGAGAUUUUGACUCCCUGACCUGGGCCACAGUGCAAAGUGUGCCUGCCUCUUCUUGUUCGUUAGAAGUACUUGAUGUCUCUAUAAUUGCCGCUUUGUCUAUCCAUCUGCAAUUCAAAGAAUUAAUUUAUUGGUAAUUGUUUAGGAAAAAAGAAAGCGACAGCUCAUGGUUUGGCAAAAUGAUCACACAGACGCGUUUAUAAAUACGCCCUUUUGGACAAAUCUUGGAGGCCGGUGUGACUAUUCCCGAACACAAAAGGGUAUUAAUGUGUCCAUAAAGAGGUUUAUAUAAUUAUUAAUAAAAAAAGAGGGUCUCCCCGACAAUUUUGCCAGACCACGGGCCGGGUGUGGGUGUAUACAUGUUAGGCAUAUACCUGAGUAAUUUGAUUCUGGGUGACAAGUGUAAUACGUUUCCCUCAUCAUUACUGAAGAACAGCUCCGGAGAAAGAGGAUAAUUGAGAUGCUUUUUCUUCAGGGAGGUUUUAAUAACGCGGAUUAUAGCAAAACGGUCAAUAGGAGGUAUUUGUCUACUAUGAUAAAAGGGAAUACCCAACAACAAGAGGAUCAAACUGCCCCCCAUAAACAACAAUGUGAACAUGAAAGUCUUCUUCCAUGUCUUAAUAUUAUUUGCAUAGAAUGCCGCAGCUGCACCACAGCACCAGGCAAACCGCCACCACACUCUUUUCUGAGCCAUUACUUGAUCCUCAUUUGAAUUUUCUGUUCUCCCUCCUUUACCAUGUUCUCUUAAUUGAUCGGCAAGAAAUGGUCCCAAAAGAGGCGCCGCUCCAACUUCACCCACUGCUAACAGGAUAAUUCCUAUCAUGUUGAGUAGCUCAAAUUUGGUUUCUGAAAAUUCUCUGGACGCUGUACAGAACAAUAGCCCCAAUGCCUGAAACGAAAAUUGUUGGAACUAAUUGUAUAGCAUGACAUUAUGAUCCUAGAAAUGCUUUUCUUAAUCAUUAUUAUAAUCAAAGUGGAGCUAAAAUGAAUUAAUGUUACAUCAAUUGUAACUUAACUAUUGAGAUCUCUAGCAUUAUUUUUAUAAGGGUAAAGCUCCUAAUAUCCUCUUAUUAGGUAUGUGUGUGUGUAUAUAUAUAUAUAUAUUUUUUUUUUUUUUACAUGCUGUGAAAUUUAACAUUUACUGCAAAAUAAUAAAUUUUUAAUUUAGCCCAAAGUACUAUAAAGUCCUGGGUCCGCCCCUGAAUAUAUAUAUUGCUUGCAAUGAUAGACAUAUGUUUUAAUUUCGUCUCUGUUUAGAAGUUUAGCAAAUUCAAAACAUAUUAACUUACAAGGAUGUAGGAGACAGUUGAAAAAAUGAGGAUUCUGAGAGGACGAAUGGCAUAACACGAAAUCCAGGCGGCAACAACCGUAAGAGUUGCUAAUAUUACAUCCUGAAUACUCGUAAAUAUUGCAGCUUUCUGAAGUGUGAAUACUUUUGAAUAUUCGGAGUUGGAGAAGUAAGUUAUCAAGACGCCCACUAUAGCCAAGUCUACGAGUUUGCGGCUUAUCAACAAACCUGGAAUCAAAAUAAUCAUUAGAAAAAAUGUUCGUGCUCACUAAAAAAAGCUUACACAUGAGGACUGCAAGAACAACGUGAGAGAACUAUUGUCAUGUUUUAUAAUUUAGCCCAACCUAAUCAAAGAUCUUAAGUACACCUCUCUUAACUGAAAUUAUUCUAGGGGAUUAUCUAUUUAGGAAUCUCAAAGUUCAUGAGCUCUUAAUACAUACACACAUACAUAUACAUACAUACAUCAUCAUGUUGUUAAAGUAAUGAUGUUAGUAAAAUACAAAAAAAAUAUAUGUACAUGUAUUAAAUUGUAUGAUUUAACAGAAUUAGUACAAAUAAAUAAAUUACAUGAUUUUGUAGUGCAUUGAAAAUUAAUUUUAUUAAACUAUACAAUUUACUAGUGUGUCUCCAUUAAAAAAAAUAAAGACCCUCAUAUAUAUAUAUAUAUAUAUAUAUAUAUAUAUAUGUAUACAAGUUUAUGUUCUGAAUAAAUACAUUUUUAAAAGAUAGGAUUACCUAAGGCCCCACACGCAAAAUUACCUGACAGAAAUGCAGCAGCCUUACAAAAGCAGACGUAAUAUCGUACCCAAGUUAUGAACCUGUUUUGAAGCUUCAACAGCUGAGAAAAUGGAAACAUUGUAGUUUCUGAAACUGCUUUUAUCUGCAAAGACUUCUACUUGUGAGUUGUGAAUCCCGAGACGAUGAAGAUUUUGUAAUUAUGCCAAAGUCUUUUAGGUAGUUUAUUCAAAUUAAAAAAUAAUAAGUCGCACUUCAAGACCACCUAUUGGUCACAUCAAGACCACCAUUUGGUCACAUAAGUCUUCUUUUUUUUCUUCUAACUUUAAUCCAGCUAGUCAGCUACGGUCCAACAGGUGCACCGUGCCCUCUUUUUGACAGCACCCCUUACUUUCUUCUAUAUUUACAGUUUAUUAAAGUAAUUUCUUUUUCCUCUUUCUUUCACCCCUCACCUUUACAAUCUUCCAAUUUUUUCCAUUUUCAAUUAAACCUGUAAUCAACCAAUUGCAAGCAAUAAGAAAAAAGUUGGCAAGCUAUUUGCUCUAUAAUACACAAGUAAUUAGGGGUGGGCAAAAUACCCGACCCGAUCCGACCCGAAAAAUUUCAGGUUCGGAUUGGAUCGGGUUAUUAAUAUAAUCCGAUCGGAUGAAAUAUUACAAACCCGAUCGGGUUGUGAUCGGAUCGGAUAAAACCCGAUCCGAUCCGAAAACCCGAUCGGGUUGCUAAAAAAAAUAUAUAUAUAUCUAUGGCCAAACACACACACACGGCACACAGCACACCACACAUAAUCACACAAAUCAGUGAAAUCACAUACUCAAAAGGUUACACUUUACAGUUUACACAAACACAAAACACACAAAAACAAAAAAAUCACAACACCCAACCCGUGAACCCACCCUCAAGAAGCAAGAAAACAUUCUCUCCUUCCCGCAAUCUGCUGCUGCCGUGUUGCGAGUCCGGCCAUCUGCUGCUGCGUCAGCGAUCUGCUGUUGCCGUGCUGUUGUCAUGCUGCUGCCGUGUUGCGUCCAGCCAUCUACUGCUGCGUCCACGAUCUGCUGCCGCCGUGCUGCGUCCACGAUCUGCUGCCGCCGUGCUGCGUCCAGCCAUCGCGAGGAAACUGCUGCUGCGUCCACGAUCUGCUGCCGCCGUGCUGCGUCCAGCCAUCGCGAGGAAACUGCUGCGCGUCCAGCCAUGCGCAAGCUGCUGCUGCACGCCCACCGAUCUGCUGCCGAAAACCCAGCCGCCGAUCUGCUGCUCCAAGGCUCAAGCUCCAACCCGACCCGAGUUUCUCCCUUAGUCCCUUAUGUGUUUUGAAUUUUGAAGCUUUCAUGGUGUAUUGGUAUAUAUGUUUUGAAUUGACCCGUUUAAUUUGACCCGAAUUGGUUUAAUUUGACCCGAAUUUAAUAUGAUCCAUUUUUAAUUCGAACCGAUUCAACCCAAAUUCAACCCGAUUUUUUACCCGAUCCGAACCGAUCCGAAUAUAUAUCGGAUCGGAUCGGGUCGGGUUGUAAGUUCGGGUUGUAUUCGGAUCAAUGUUUGCACAACCCGAAUAACUCGAAACUCGAUCGGGUUGACCCGAACCCGAUUUUGCCCACCCCUACAAGUAAUAAUGAAUUGAAGUUUUUAUAUAAAAAAAUUACAUAGAUGUAAUUUUUUUACGCACACUAUUUAUCAUCUACAAUGAAAUUAACAUGUAAGUAAAUUUAUUUUUUUAUCUUUUAUUAUAUGUAUUCUUCCCCUUUCUCCCCCGUAUGUCUUUUCAUUUUCUCUUUGAAUAAUCUAACCUAAGGCUUUCUAAUAAUUGGUUUAUUGUUAUUAUUUUUAUAAGUAAACCUUCUCUUUGUUAUGUCAAUAGGUUUAUUUUAUAAAAAAAAAUUCGUAAAUGACCAAAAGUGAGAACCUUAAUAAAAAUUCAAAACCUAUCUUAGUUUUUGUUGUCUUUGUUGAUGCAUCUUGCAUGUUUGAUGUCUUAAUUAUAACUUGUGAGAGUAAGUACUGUAAUACAAUGAUGAUUAAUGAUUAUUACUAAGAGUAUUCAGAGAAAAAGAAGUUGGUGUAAAAUUUUAUAAACUUUGAGUUUUCUAAAUUUUCACUAAACAAUAGGGAUUGCAUUAUUAAUAACUAAAUAAACACAUCCAUAACCUUGAAACUACAUUUGUGUAAGUUCUUUCUCUUUGUAAUGGUUACGAAGACUGACAAUUUUCUAUUGAAGUUAUUUAUACAUGUAUUUCUUUUUCAGCAUGUAAUACAUUUAGGAAAUGAGUAAUGAUUAAGUACAAACACUUUUAGAUAAACAAUGUUGUACGAACUUAUGUGAUAUUUUUUAGAAAAAAGGAUCUGAACAUCCUUAAGAUUUUAAAAAAUGGUCAUUUAUACUUUGAGUUUUCAAUACAGAACAUCAAGACACUUUUUUACUAUAGUAUUCUUAAUAGAUAAUAACAAAAAUUAUUGAAUUUAAACAUUUUAAUAAAUAUAAAUAAAAUUUAAAUAGUUUAAUAUGUCUAGUAGACUAAUAAUAUUAGAAAUUUCUAGUAGACUAAUAAUAUUAGAACAUUUCUUAAUAUGUAAAUAAUUUUUAAAAGAUAAAUUAGUAUAUUUAUUUUAAUAAUAUAUUUUUACUUAUUAUAAAAAUUGUAAAUAAAUCUUUAGGUUAGAUAGAUUUUAAAUUUAAUAAAAUACAUGUCAUGUACUAAUAAUAUUAAAACUAUUUUAUAUAAUAUUGAAAAUAAUUUAAAUUUUAAAUUUUAAUAUUAUCUUUCGAUUUAUUUUGAAAUUUAGUUUAAUAUAAUUUAAUGUUGUAAAGUAUUAAAAUAUUUUAAAAAUAUUGAAAUUAUUUUAAAAUGUAUAUAUUGUUACAUUUAUUUUAAUAUUAUACUUCUAUUUAUUAUAAAAUAUUAAAAAUAAUAUUUUAAUUAAAAGGGAGUUUUGGUGUCUCUUACUGAAAAAUAGAGUGUACAUAAUCAUUUUUUCAAAUUUUAAAGGGUGUACAUGUCAUUUUUCUUACUUUUUUAUAAUCAAUUGAAUAAAAAAAAAGUCAUCUGGCCACAUAAAUUAUUUCUAAUUUAUAUUUUCAAUCAACAAAUCAUAAUGUGUCAUAUCUAUUUGUAUAAGCAUUUAUGAACAUAAAAAAUUAAGUUUAGGCACUAGUCGGGUUGGAAAUCAACUCAUCCAAACCCAUGUAUAGUGCUAGUUGGGUGAGUUGGACUUAUCUCGAAGACCCAUUUUCUGUCUUUGAAAUAUCAAUAUGAAAUUAAAAUAAUUAAAAAAUAAUUUAAUUGAAACAACUAAAAAUAGAAUACAAAAUUACAAAUAAUAACUAUCCCUGAAACUUCAUUGUUAAUAAAAAUAAUUAUUUGUAUAGGAUCCUAAUUACACCAUAAAAAGUAAUAGGAUGAAUUCAAGAGUUGGGUUUGAAAAUUUUCAACACCUAGUAAAUAUAGUGCAUUUUCUCCACCCCUAUGAAAUUAGGGGUUGGCUUUCUACUUGAUUUUAAGUAGAGAAAAUGAUCAAUCCUACCUUAUUGUUUGUUGAAACUAUAGGGUGAAUUUAAGAGUUGGGUUUGAAAGAUGCAAUAUGUUCAUAUGUAUAUAUGAACAUAUUGCAUCUUCACUAUCUUAUCCCCAGAAUUUUUGCACCAAAUCAUGGUACAAGAAUAAAAAUUCGCAACUCGAAUCAACAAAGUAUAUCACUUAAGUUAUUCUGCAAGCCGCCAAAUUGGAAAAUGUCCCAAAUAAUUAAUUAACCACAUCGACUUGAUAGCUUAACUUUUUCCAACGCUGAGAGUCCUUCAUUCUUCCCUAUUGAGGAUUGGUUAUUGUAAACGUCUGUUGGAGUAACAUGGGGAUAGUGCGGAUGAUUUUUUUCGGAUAGCAACUAUUUAAUUGGACCAUAUUGUCUCGAGCAACUGUUGUUCAUAUAAAAAACUUCCAAUUGAAAUCGUUGAGCCUCGCCUUCUUGACAACACUCUGUGAUAGGCACUCUUGAACGCGACACUGGUAAUUAGCUGCAUAAACAUAUAAAAGAACACUAUAAUUAAGUUAUAUGAUGGAUUCAUAAUAGUCAAAGUUGUGCAUAACAUCUACUUGCCUGCAUCAUGUAGCCUAAGUUUACAACUAGAGCCCCGGAAACUGGGGUAAUAUCAAACCAUUGAUCUUCACAAAAGACUUGGAGGCCACAAUUCGAUCUUGUAUGAGCAUAGUGACAAAUCCAGGGUCAGAACGUAUUGUUACGCCAAUUGUCAAUUUCGGAUGAGGGCUAUCUGGGUAGUGACUAUUCCUAAUAGUCAUUUCCUCUACAGAACCUGUGUCUUUCAGGUAACUGGGGCCAAACCCUAAAGCUUCAGACAAAAGUUCAAACAGAGUGAAUUAGCAAUUGACGUUGUUGGAGAAAAAUCAAUUUUUAUUUUUUUUAAAAAAAAAACUUUUUAGAGUCGAUCUCAUAUAAUAUAUAAGAAUUCAUAAUUUAGAAAUUAUACCUUGAAAAUAUGAGAAAAUGAACAAUCUUUGCUUUUUCUACUGAAGUGAAACAAGGCUCCCAUAUCACGAUUUGUCACCACCACACCUGUUAGAUUACAAUCUGUCACCACCACGCUUGUUAGAUCACGAACUAUCACCAAUGAUUUUCUAGAUUAUGACUCAGGUUUGAUCUGCACUUGACGUGUGGGUGCUUUUAUCACUACCAAUAGCAACUAGUAUGAGAAAAAUUUUCUCUCAAGAUUAAAGAGAAAAAUUCUUUUUCUCUUAUCUGUAUAAUGUGGCCUUAUAUCUUUUCAAGAGAAAAUAAGCCCUUUUAUAUCUUAUCUAGUGGAAAUCCUAAGCUCUAUAUUUUUUAUUUUUUAAUUCUAUUAACACAAGGCCCCUUACACAUAAGCAUAUUACAUGGAGCCUCCCACUAAAUAAUAUAUUUAGGCUUUUAACCCAAAUAGCUAGUUAUUUUACUUAUUAAUCCAGUAGCGGCGCAGUCAAUUAAAUGAGCUAACCCAAAUAUCAUUUGAGAACAUACAAUAGUGGCUACAAUAAUUAGGCAUGUAAUCAAACUAGCCCAAUUAUUUAAUUCUAAAUCUACUCCACUAAAAGAUUGGAACUGACCUCCACAAUUGUAUGCUUGAAUAAUAAUUCAUCCCAAACAACAUUGAUUUCUUUACUGCACAAUCUUUUGUACCACAUCAUUAAUUAAAUUGAUAUCUCACCUGUCCAAUCAAUUUAACUACAUUUUGUUCCUUGAUUCUUACUGGUUUUCUCUAAUGAUCAUUUUCAACAUACUAAAUAUGUCGACACACUCUGACCAAAGAAUUCUAUGAUCAAGUGCCGAAAACCCAUCAAGAGAUGUGUUGUACAAAUUCUAUAUUGUCAAUUUAUAACUCCAAUACUCAUAAUUGGUCUCAUCAAGAUACCGGAUAAUCUUGACUACAAGUAUGUGUCGUGCCCAUUGGUAAUUCAAAUGGAAUAACAAUUAUAAUCAUGAAAUCAUAAUUAACUCAAGAUUAAGAUUGCAGUAAAAUCCAUGUCUAUGAGAUUUAAUAAGUCUGACAGUAAUUACAAAGUUAAUUAAAUCUCAUAUGUUAUCUUGUUCAAUGUAGUCUUACUACAUCAAUAAAUUUUUACAUGAAUAAGACAAAUCAUUCAAUGAAUUCAUUACAGUCUAUACCUAAAUAAAGUGCCCAACUUUAUUUAUCAACUGCGAAUUAAAUUUAUUUAAUCAUAAGAUAACUUGUAUUUAUGUCUUCUGUAAUCCACAUGGUGAUUCUUGUGCAAAUUUAUUGAACUCGCAAGUGCACGAAUAUAUUGUAGAAUAGAUUAAUGGUGACAAGUGUCGAUCCCACGAGAAAGUGGAUUUUAAUUAUGUGUAAAUUUAAUUUUCUAUGAGGGUGGUUGGAUUUGUGGUGAAAAUGAUUUGGAAUAUUCUAAACAUUAAAUUAGAAUGGCAGGAAUAAAUUAAAGCAAAAUCUAUUGAAAUAAAGCACUUGGGUAUCUGGAUCUGCAUUAACAUGCACCAUGUGCUAAAUAUUCCUUAGUAAUGCCAAUUAAAUCAUGAGGGGGGUUUCUACUCCUCAUGAACCACACUCUAAUCAAUAUGGUGUUAAGGACUUAUUGUGGCAAACAAUAAUAACCUUGUACUAGGGAGUCGGUUAAAUCAGCGCAGUAUCCAGACAAGAUUAUUACUAUUUGUCGACGAAAAGUCAAAAUAUCAAUAAUAAUUAGAGGAGAAGAGAAAGUAAAUUUACUAAAUAAAGCCCACGACACAUGUUGAGACUUCACCAACCCAAACUUGAAAGAAAAUUAGCUACUUAUAAUUGAACUAAGGGUAAAAUGAGAAUUUAUUAAAAUACAUAGAAAAUACAAGAUGGAGAAUGAAUUACAGAAAAUAGGCUCAAAAAUGAAUUCAAAAAUGCCAAAUUAGGGAGGAGCCCCCCUUUUAAUAGAUACACUGAGUAAAUCAUGGCCAUCAUAUUAAAAACAUUUUGGACGCUCAAGAUUGCGCCACGUCAUCGGUCAACAGUACGUGGUUUGGUUGUAAAUAAUCUCGUGUAUAUGCAUGUACCGUACGCACUAUUUUUGAUCCACUAACAUGCUGCCACGUCACAGAUCAACAGUACAUAAGAAUUUUAGUCUAAUAAAAUCGUGACAUCUCAUCAGUCAAUACCACAUCAUCAGUCAAUGCCACGUCAUCGUUUUGUAUAUGUGAAUAGUGUCGUGAACAGUAACAUGGAUAGUAUCGUAUCUGUGAAUAGUACCGUACAUGUGAACAAUUCCAUUUUUCCUUUUAAACUCCUCCUAAGAUUUUCGACUGUCCUGAUCUCAAAAGUGAUGUCUGUUUUGCUGUAUGAUCUCUCGUUCAUUGUGAAAUGACCAUGAUGCCCCUAAAAUACAUAAAAUAUUUAAUUAUAAUAUAAUACACAUAAUUAAAUCACAAGGAACUUAAAUACAUAAAAGUAUGAAUGUUAGUGAAACUUGAAGUGUAAAAUGACGAUUUUCUCCUUCAUAAAUAUACACUUUCUAACACUCAAAAGUGAUCACAUAAAUACAUAUAAUAUGAUUAAAUGGACUUUAAUCAAAAUAUUAAUGCAAUUAAGAUAUUUGAAUAAAAUACCUUAUUUAUUUUAUUAAUCAGAAAAAUUAUUUAUUACAAUUAAAUAAACACUUAUGCUUUUAAAGAGCAUAUUUUCCCAACAGGCGUAUCUCAUAAAGGCAACUUCGGUGGUUGAGGUAUCCUGCCGUGCAACACUGUAUCUCUUAUAGUCAACUUUUACGACUUGGACAAUUUGUAUUUUACCGAUUGUCCAUUGAAUUAAUUUGUUUUUGCUGAAAAUGAAUAUUAAAAAAAGAUUAAAAUAAAUAAAAUUAUAAAUAAUUAAAAUCACAGAUUGUCCCAAACCACCAAUAAAACCUCUAAAACUAAAAUUAUAAGCUCCUCCGUAAGAUCCACCAUUAUAUUUCUUAUUACCACUAGCAUUCUUUCAAGGAUUAAAAUGGUUUUGAGUUACAUUAGCUAACAAGUUAUGUGUGACAUCACUAGCAAUUUUACCUCUUGUCUGUUCAACUCUAUUCUCCUGAUUUAGCAGUAAAGAGUAAAAUUCAUCAAGACUGAUCUUAUCACCUCCAGCUAACACACUGAUAACUAAAGACUCAUAAUCAGAUGAAUCUAGUCUAGUCAAAAUAUAUUGAACAAAAUCACUUAACUCAACAGAUUUUCUAGCUAAAGCCAGACUGUCAGACAAUCUCUUCAUUUUAACAAAGUAAUCAAUCAUAGACAUUGAUCUUUUUUUGAGUGUUUGAAUAUGCAUCUUAAAGGCAUUAUUCUAGCUUGAGAUUGUAAAGUAAACAUACUUGUGAGUGUAUCCAAAAGCUCUUUAGCAAUGGAGCAAUGAACGAUUGUAGCGAGUAGAUUUUGCUGAAUAGAUGACAACAUCCAACUCAAAACUAAUUGAUCUGUCUUCAUCCAGGCUGUGUAUGCUGGAUUGACCUUUCGAUUUUCAGUAAUAGUUGAGGACCAACUUCAGUGCUAGCUGGUGUGAGAAAUUACUCCGAACAAGUUUGAUCACCAUUAAUGAAAUUAUCCAGAUCGUUUCCUUUGAUGGAUGUUAAAACCUGAGUUUGUCAGACAAUGAAAUUAUUAUGAUCUAGCUUAACAGGAUUGAUAAAACUAUAGGAUCCAGAAAAUUGAUUAGAACUGACCAUUGUAGGCUCUGAGAUCAUGAUAGAAUUUGUAAUAUAUAUGUCUGGAAAGCAAGAAAAUUAAGGAGAAAAAGAUAGAAAGAAAAGAAGAAGAAUUUAGAAUAUGUUAAUUGUUCAUUACAUUACAAAUGUGAUUAUAGCCUUUGUAUUUAUAUUAAGUGAAAUGCUUAACUAUAAUUUGUUAUAACUGGAAUAGGUGCUAAACAGUUCUUUAGCUAGAAGGCUGAGAUGGCUAACUAAUUAUUCCACGUUAGCAAGAGCACUCAUGUAUGGUCCUCAUCCGUACUGUAAUUAUCAUACUCUGUAACAGUUCUUCUACAUCUUCUUGCUCUUCAGGACCAAGUGUACUUCGUGGGUCUAUAAUUGCUGCUUUGUCUAUCUAUUUGCAAUUCAAAGAAUUAAUUUAUUGGUCAUUUUUUUAGGAAAAAAGAUAACGAAACAUAGUUGUUUGGUAAAAUAGUCAUGUGAACUCUUUCUUCAAAACAUAUAUAAAAACAAACCUUGGAGAUCAGUAUUGUCUAUGUGAUAAUUUCUAAAAAUAAGAGGUCUAGCUGACAAUUUUUUCAAACCAUGGGAUGUUGGUAUAUACUCUUUAAGUAUGUACCUUAGUAAUUUGAUUCUAGGUGACAAGGGUAAUUCAUUUUCAUCAUCUUUACAGGAGAAUUGAUCUGCAAAAGAAGGAAAAUUUAGAUGCCUUUUCUUCAGGGCAGCUUUAAAAAGACAGAUUAUAGCAAAACCGUGAAUAAGAGGUAAUUGUUUACUAUGGUAAAAGGGAAUACCCGACAGCAACAAGGCCAAACUGCUCCCAUAACCAAUAUUGUGAACCUCAAAGUCCUCCGUCAUGUUUCCAGAUUAUUUGCAGGGAAUGCUGCAACUACAUUAUAACACCAGGCAAGCUGCAGCUAUACUUCUUUUUGAGCCUUUACUUAUUUCUCAUUUGGAUUUUUUGUUCUCCCUUCAUCACCAUGUGCUCUUAAUUGAUCGACAAGACAUGGUCCUAAAAGAGGCCCCAUUCCAAAGUCACCCACUGCUAACAAGAUCAUUCCUAUUACGUUGUGUACUUCAAAUUUAGUUUCUAAGAAUUUACUGGACGCUGUAUAAUACAAUAGCCUUAAUGCCUCCAACAACAAUAGUCGGAACUAAUUGUAUGGCAUAACAUUAUGAUCCUAAAUAUGCUUCUUAAUCAUUACUAUAGUUAGGAGCGGAACAAAAUUGAGAUUUAGGGGGCCAAGUGUAAUUAAGGUAAUUAUUUCAGGAUUAGAGAGUAUUAGUUAUUUUCUGGGGUUAGGGGAUGGGGUUCACGUUUAUGAAGCCACCAUAUAAAGAAAAACAACUAGUUUGAAAGUUGAAAUUACAAAUUUAUAUAGUGUGAGAUUAUUUCAACCUACUAAAAUAUAUGUUAUUUUAAAGACUAAUGAGCUUGCGGCUUUGAAAAGGUUGGAAUGUUAUUUGGUUGGAGAGGGACUCGGUUUCAACUUUAACUUGUCUUACGAGUACCAAAUUCAAGCCGUCGUAGCAUCUGCAUAUCAUAUAGUUGAAUUGUUUGAGAGCCUAAAAGUCAAAUAUUGUGGAUCAUAUCAAAUGCCAAAUGUUGGAUAAUCUUUUCCAAAUGUUGGAUAACAAGAAAAGGGUUGCACACAAGACCGCUGACUGAAAAUAGAAAUAAUUGGACAAAUAAAGCCCAAACCACAACUCAUCAUAAUCUUUGUGUUACUAAUGGAAGCUAAAAGCACCUGAGUUAUCAACUAUUCACAUUUUCUAUUAGAUACUGAUGCUUGAUACAUUCAUCAUGAUAUCCAGAAACAAUAAAAUUAAGCUAGUACAAAGAUAUCUAAAUGAAGAUGAUAAUAUCAUAGGCAAAAUAUGGUCCAAUUGAUUAGGAAAAUCAAGCUAAGGUAAUUUUUUUUUAUACUAAAUGCUUAAUUAAAAAGACAUCAUUAUAUGUUUUAUACAUGCACAAAUUGUCAUUUAUUUGAGGCAUGUCUAAUAUUUAGUAGAGUGACAAAUAUACUUGAAAAUGUAUAAAAAUUAUCAAAUAAUAUGUGAGAAAUAUAGUUAUUUUUGUUGUAAUAUUAAUGCAAUAAACUUUUAUUGUAUCAUAUCGGCAUGUUUAAAGAGGAAAAAAAAAACUCAGAGACUCAAAAAUUCCAAACUUUAAUGUGUAGCUGGCAUUUAUUUGUAGGCUCAAUUGAAGUACAGAAGUCACAAUUCCAAACAACAAACAAGCUAUCAUCACUAAUCCACCAAAUUGGAAAACAUCCUCAAUUAAAUUAACCACCGCGCCUUUCCAGCUUGAGUUUUUCCAAUGCUGAUAGUCCUUCUAUUGAGGAUUGGUUAUUGUAAAUAUCUUUUAAGGUAAUUUCAGGAUAGAGCGGAGGAUUUUCUUCGGAUAGCAACUCUUUAAUUGGACCAUAUUGUCUCGAGCAACUGUUGUUCAUAAAAAAACUUUCGAUUGAAAUUCUUGAGCCUUCCUUUUUUGAUAACACUCUGUGAUAGACACUUUUGAACUUGUCAUUGGUGAUUAGCUGCAUAAACACACAAUAAAAAAAUCCACUAUAAUUAAGUUACAUGAUGGAUUAAUAAUAGUCAAAGUGAUGCAUAACAUGUACUUGCCUGCAUCAUGUAACCGAAGUUUACAACUAGAGCUCCGGGAACAGGGGUAAUUACGAUAUGCAGUUUCCUAAUUUAACUCAUGCACGCUCGAGGCUUUUGUUUACCCUAGUUUUCAGUAUAAAAAGAGGCGCGCAUCACAUAAUACGGCGGCAAAGAAUUAUCAUUAGAAAAAUUGGAGAGAAAAAGAAGAAGAAGAUCAUAAUUCAAGGGAACAGCUGCAACAUCAUUGAAGAAUCCAGCAGAGUUAUUUGGAUUCACUUUUUGUCGUUCUCGACUUAUACCUUUCUUCUUUCUCUAACUAAUCUAAUGUAUCUCAUGAACAAUAUGUUGCUGAUUGUUUAUCUCUUUCAGAAUAUGAACUAAACUCGCUUGUAUUUGAGUGACAAACAAUCUAAUGGGUUCUUGACUGUUCUUAUGAGUUGCUAUGUCAUUGCUGUAGCAUUUUACUCUAGUAGCUAUUAUUAUAACUGUUAUUUCGGUUGACCACCCAUUUAAUGGUUCAAGUUAAGAUAGGACCAUAAAAGGGCAUGUCUUACUGGAUAUUAUUAUAGUAAUACUUGAUCUUAAUUUAAGUUUCCUAGAUUACGUUUAUCUUGAAUCCCAUAAGGGCUAUACUUAAAGUUAAGAUUUGUGAUAAACUAGACAUAAGUAUUCACCUUGUAGGGUGGAGAGAAUGGAUGUUCAUAAUAUCAUGCCAUAGGUAAAAUAGCAACUGGCCAUUGUUAAGAUGUUUACGGGUAUGAGACUUCCAAUAUGCGACAACUGAGGAUGCAAAUUAAAUUAUGUCCAGUGCUAUAGAAAUUAUUGUAGCAACUGGUGUUAACUUGAUGAAAAGCAGUUAACCCAUAAAAAGAGUUUGAUCAUUCAACUACCUUAUUCUCAUUUGAUUCUUCGACGCAUUUUAUUUAAUUUGUUUCAUUACUACAUUGUUUAACUUUAUUCUCUCACAAUUAUCAAUUUCAAUAGUAACCAACUUUACAUUUGUUAAUUUAGGAAUUAAGUUAGAUUACACUAUCAUGAUUGCUGUAGCAUUUCUAGUAAUAUCAAUCCUUGUGAAGACGAUCUUAAAUAUUCAUCACUUUAUUACUUGUUCUGUACACUUGCACAUUGACAUAAAUAAAAUUUGAUAAAAAAUACCAACAAUGAGAUAGGGGUAAACUUCAGGAUGUGCUGCGCUUUUUAAUUGUUGUGUAGAUUCUUUUGAUUCCUAUCUCUAGUGGAGAACCAGAUGUGAUUUUGUGAGACCUUUCUCCUGAUGGUAGUUUUUCUUUGAGGACUGCUUCAAAUAUUGUGCAUUGGACAAUGCCAAGUGAUGAGGCUUUUUUUGUUAUUUGACAGCGACAUCUUUUCCUGGAUAUCUUUUUUUCUCUAGAGGUUGUGACACAAAUUCUUGACCACAGAUGAUGCCUCGUGUUCGGGGGAUUUCUGCAUAGUUUCUUAGUAUCUUUGUGGUCGGGCUUAUGAGACUUCUAGGUAUUUUCUUUCUUGGUUGCCCUCGAGUUAGGCCAGUUUGGGUCCAUUUUCUAUGUACUCUUGGUUUGCGCUAUGUUGCUUUUCUAUUCCCCCGCACUUUAUUUUUUAAUUGGUAGUGAUGUGCCCUUUCUUGGAGCCAUAUUCGAGUUCUUCUUCCUUGUUUCAUUUUGUGGCGAGUUUAGAAGGCCUGUAAUGCAUUGAAGUUUGACUCAAUGGCCUUUUUUGUUGAUGCUGUUAUUUAUUGGGCAAUGUUGGAUCUUAGGCUUGCUGGUUCUGCCUUUGGUCUUAAACCAUCCCAACUGUGAGGAGUUCUAGGUUCUCGAUUUGCAAAGUUCUUGAGAGUUGUUGUUUCAUCCAAGAGGCUGAUUCUUUUAGUUUUUUGGCAGUGGUCACCACCUGGGGCGGUGAAGCUGACUAUUGAUGGUUGCUUUAGGAGUAAUCCUAGGAUGGCUGCUUCAGAUAGUAUUUUACGUGAUGAUUAGGGUGUGGCUUUGGCUGCUUUUGGUUCCUUCCUUGGGCGCUCACUGAUCUUUCAUGCAGAAUUCAUGGCUGUUUUUUAGGGGUUAGAGUUGGUGCUCAGCUCCAUUAUUCUGUGCUUGACGUAGAGUUGGACUCAACCAUGGUGGCUUCUUGGAUUCUUUUCUAAGGCCUUGUUCAUAUGGACUAUACCUAUUCUUUGCAUCGGGUGUGUAGUUUGACAUUUUCUUCUACUUCGUGGUUAGUCAUGUGCUUCAGAAGGUUACUUCUACUGCUGAUUUCUUUGGCCUGCACUCUUCAAGGUCAUUUGUGUUUCUUGGGUUCUCAAGAUAUAUUUGCUAGCUUAUCUAAUAAUCUCUGUUUGGAUAUGUGGGUAAUUUCUCGUAUCAGGCAAUAGGAUUGCUUAUUUAUGUAUUCCAUUUUUUAUCUUGUAUUUUUCUCUUUUCCAUUCUUAUGUUCUUGCAAUUGCGGUUUUGAUUUAUAUUCACCUCCUUAUGUAUUUGAUUCAUUCUAUGAUUUAUAUGAAAGAUAGGAGUUCCACCUAACCCCACCUUUUUGUGGUUAAAAAAAAAAAGAUCAGGAAUUCAACCUAGAUCAUCAAGGUGAAACAUCAAAUAGGUUGUAAAUUUAACAUAUGAACGUAAAAGCUUAACAAAACAUUUGAAGUUGCUUGACAACAUAGAAAUACAAGCAAAAAGAGAUGCUAAACAACACAAAAUUUUGAUUGGGUGGGAGUAUUGUUCAUGCUAGCAUAAUAAUGAGGUGCUUGAGAAUACCUAAGACUUUCUUGAUAAAUAAUAUCAUCUAAAAGGUUAGGAAUCAUAGAUAAUUGUCCACGUAUGAACAAACCUAGCUCAAAAUGUGAAAUGUGUUAAGAUUUUCAAACAUUUAAAUCAAUAGUUAAUAAUUUCAGACAAAGGAUUCUUGGAGACCUUAAAGUUCACUGAUUCUAUCUUAUGGCUCAUUGUCUCUCUCAACAAUUUAAUUUCUAGAUUAUUUGGCUCCUAUCUAUUAAAAGACAACACCGUUACUAAAAUUAUAAAUUAUAACAGUUAAACCUAAACCUACGUCGUUUAGCAAUUUACGAAAGAAAAAAAUAUAACAAAAGCCAAUUGUUGGAGUAGCAACGUGCCAACGAGAAAACCUCAAGCCAUGUAAUAUCAUGUGUCAACAACUAAAGAAGAACAAACCACCACCCUCUAGGUCGUCGCUGCACUAACGCUGGGCCCGAUUUGAAUAGUUAGAAGUUGUAACAUUAAUUAGGGAAUGAGGGCAAAAUUUUGGACUUCGAUUUAAUAAAAUUGAUUUAAAUGAGUCCCAAUAGAAAUAUGAUUAUAAAUAUAUCAAUACAAUUAUGACAUGUUUAAAAGAAAAAAAUUAUUUUCACACAAAACAAAAAACACAACCCUUGGAUGUGGGAUGUGUCUAAAAAAUAAUAGGGUGGAAAUAUUAUCACCCUCAAAUUAGAUAUAUAAAUAUUUAAUGUUUUACUCUUAUAAUUUUAUAAUUGUUUUUUUAAAUAUUAGUAAGAGAAAGAUAGAAAUUAAUAUAUAGACAAAUCGAGUCCUUUAUUUUAUUAUUCAUAUCCAUAAAAAGUAACCACUAUGCUAGUCCCACGAACUUAGCAUAAGACGGUAAUUUAGAAAAAAGAAAAAAAAAGGAACGUUUUAGACACCAAAACAAAAGCAAAACAAGCACAAAGCGAGACAUACAAACAAAUUUUAUGCUACUGCAUAGGGGUGUUCGCGGAUCGGAUUUUAUGGAUAUGAUAUCAAUCCAUAUCCGAUCCAUGAUUUUGCAGAUUAUAAUUUUUCAAUCCAAUCCAAUACACAGAUUGAUAAAAUUCAAUCCAAAUCCAAUCCAUACAUCUGCGGAUCGGAUGCGGAUUUGACUCAAUCCAUAUGCAAUCCACCAUUUUGCGCAUUAGUUUUCGAAUUAAAAAUUUUUAGUUCUCUCCAACUAAUGAAAUAAAAAAAAUCUAAUAUAAAAAUAAUUUUGCUACUAAUUAAAUUUAAAAUUGAAUAAAAUUUAAAUAAAUUAAUUGUUUAAAUAAAGCUAAAAUAAUAUAUUUAAAGUUUUAAAAUAUAACACAUCGAGACUAAUUAUUCAAAUAAAGCUACAAUAAUACGUUCAAAGUUUCAAAAUAUAACACACAAAGCUUAAUUGUUCAAAUAAAGUUACAAUAAUACGUUAAUAUAACACCGAAAUUAAUUGUUCAAAUAAAGCCACAAUUAAUUGAAAAUGGCGAAGUUUUGGAAACCAAACACAGUUUGAUCCUUCACCAGGGCUGUUGUGCCUGUCGAAAAGUGGUGAUUACGGAGCCAUCCACGAUGGGAACCAGGAGAAGCCGUACGGGUGGCGAUUUUGAAGGUUGUGAUUGUGAAAUUGUUCAAUUGGAACCAAUGAAUGUGAAGUGGCUCGAUGGACUUGGGAAAGAAGAUGGCUUGCUCUCGCCAGAAUCGUGCAGCCGAUGUCCUUUAAAUCCGUGUCGAGAGUGUAUCCAACCAGUAUUAAGUGUUGUUAGUGUGUAUGACGGCGGGAAAGUUUAGGGUUUUUUGUUUGUAAAUUGGUUGUAACUUUACGUUAUGUUACUUUGCUUUUGCUAGUGCGUGUGACUUUGCUUUUAUUUUGUUUUACAAUUUUUACAAGUUAUAUUUGUAUAUUUGAUUAUUUAAUUAUUUUUCAUUUUAUAUUAUUAUUAGGUAAUGGCUAAGAUAUGUUAUAAUGUUUAGUAACUAUGUAAUGUCAUAUUUAUAAUUUUUUAAUUAUAUAUAUAUAUAUAUAUUUUGCGGAUUCAUGGAUUUCUGCGGAUUUACAGAAGUAAAUCCAUAUCUAAUCCAUCGACUGCGGAUUUUUAAAUUUUCAAUCCAUAUCCAAUCCACCAAUCCACGGAUCGGAUUUAUACGGAUCAGACGGAUUGAGGGGAUCGGAUUGGAUUCUGAACACCCCUACUACUGCAUUCAAGCAGAAGCCACCAAUUGUUCACGACGGCGUUUGAAAACAACCAACAUUUCAUCCUGAUUGGGAAGGUUUUCUUCAAUUAUAGGGACUUGCUUGAAAGUUUCAAGCCAGGCAUGCAAGCGAGGGAAUUUGUGUGAUACAAAUAUUUUAACUCCUACUACAUCUUCAAUGACUUGCAACCAAUAAACAAUUGAACCAAAUGCUAGGUCCACUAAGCCAAUAUUGUCUCCGUUGAAAAAUUUCUUCUCUCCCAAGCCAUGCUCUUCAACGUUUUGUAGCAUUUCCAAGGCUUCCUUCGCUGUGUUUUGUAGUUCUUGUCCAGUGCUACGAAACAUUUUCCAAAUGGCAACACCCUGCCACAAAUAUUUUUACAUCAGAUUUUAUCACCGACAUGAUUAAUUAAUAAUAUGUAUAUAAAAGCGAAAAAUCGUUAGACGAUAUGUACACGUGUCACAAUAUCCUUAAAUUAGAGGUUUAAUAAGUUAAUUAAGAGAGUUCAACCACUGAGUUGUAAAAUCUGUCAUUAGCUAGUAAAUUCACUUUUUCCCAAUGCUUCAAAAGUCAUCAAAUUCCCCGUGAAGUUAAAAACGGUUGUGUUAACUUUAACUUAUUACAACUUUUCAUAUUUUAGGAUAAAACAGUGAAGACACCAGAAAUUAACAGUUUAGAGAACGUUUAACAAAUAAAUAUGAAAAAGACCCCUGGGUGGCUGGGCUCGACUGGCUAUGAAUUCACUUUCACUUUGCGCCAUCACCCGAGUUCGAGUACAUAUAGAGAAUAAGAGUUGCUGUUUGGCGGGUGGAUUUUCUUAUCCUCGUCACCUCAUCUAGAUCUUAAAAUAAAUCAAUAAAUAAACAAAUUUGAAAAGAAUGAACUUAAUCAUAAACGUGUUUGCCAGAGUUGUGAGCGAACCUUGUCUUCAGCGAAUUUGAUCCAGAAUCAAGCAAGAGCCCUAUCAUAAGGAUUAUUUGGCAUCAAGGAGGGAUUCUGUGGCCACGUCUCUUCAAUGUAUUGUAGAAUAACCAUGGACUCACAAACUGGUUUUCCGCCAUGGACGAGCACUGGGAUCUUCUUGUGAACUGGAUUAUACUUCAAAAGCAAUGCACUUUUGUUUGAGAGAUCUUCGGAAACAAAUUCAUAUGGCACGCCUUUCAAUUUCAGAGCCCAAAUCGCCCUGUAAACAAAUGGACUCGGCAGGGCCCCAUGAAGCUUCACUGCAGCCAUGAUAAUUCUAAGAUUGAAUUUGAAUUAUCGGUUUUUCUGAUCGAUGUUGUGUAUGGCUGUUAACUCAUUACAUAUGUUUCUGAAUUUAUAGUGAUUUAUGGAAUGCACUUUCUUGAGCAGAAAGCUUCAAUUUUCCAUUAAUAAAACGAUUAAUGAUGAAUUCAAAGAACUAGUGCAAUGACUUUAAUUAAAUAUUUUUUUACGUUGUGUGCAACCGCUUUUUGAGGUUAAUAUAAAGGAUAUUAUUUUCUCCUGAUCAAAACUUUUAUAUAAAAAAAUAUAAUUAUGUAAUUGGUAGUUAUUAAGUAGAAAUAAAAUAAAAAAUAAAUUUUGACCGUAAAUAAAUAAAAGUUCAUAUAUGUUAUAAAGAUUUUUUAAAACUCAAAUAAGUGCACCCAAUUCCUAAUUUAAAACGCUAGCCAAUGAGAUCAAUAAUUUGGUCAACCAGUCAGAGAUAACCAUACAAUAAUUAAUCAAAAAUUUGCCAUUUGUUUUACAUUUAAGACCUUUGCGUCAUGCAUGAUGAUCAAUUGAUCAUGGAUCAAUUAGUCAACAAGACAUUUGCCUUUUGUGAAUGUGUUCACAUUGGACGCAAAUAUAAUUUGUUAUAAAAAAAUUGGACUAAAUUAUUUUUUAAUAUUUUUUUAAAAAUAAUACAUCUGAUCCUCGAGGGCCUGUUAUUUAGUUCGUGAAUCUUAUAACAGGACCCAUGAUUUAUUUAUUUUUUAAAUCUUAUGGGUCCCCUAUUAUUUAAUUUGUGGAAUUGACGGAGGUAACUUACAGUUUCAUUUUUGUAAUUUACAGCUUUCAAUAAAUUCAGAUAAUAUUAGGCGGUAAAAGUAGGCCAGGCUGGAGGAGUAGAUCUAUAAAAUUUGCAAGCACUUUGCACUGUCUGUUUGGUGCCCAGAAACACACAUAUUUAUCAUCCACUUUUUAUUUAACGCUGGGUUUUUUUCGACCCAUAAUAAUUUCUCUUUGCACAUCAACUUUUUAAUAAAAACUUUUAUUGUCAAUAAAUUGUUAGUAAUUACUUCACUAAUCCUCCUUUUUUUUUUGGGCCAAUUUCUCUUUCGCAACUGACAAAAUUUAAUUCACAUCAUGUGAUAGUAUGAUUGCAAAUAAAUUUGAAGUUAUCUCUCGAAAGUUGUUCACAUAUCUUGUGUAUAGAACUAAAGAACAAUAGCAAAACCACUAUCCUCUAGCCGAUCGCUGCUAUUAGGACGGCAAAAUUAGUUGUAAAUAUGUAAAUUUGUCUAAACCCAUCUACAAAAAUCUGUCCACUGCCAAUAAUUUUGUAGGUUGCGAAUAAGUUUGAUAUUUUAAAUUUAAGUUCGUUGCAGGUUACAGAUGGAUUUAGUAUUGAAAAAAAAUUGGCGGGUAUCUGCCGACUAGCAUUUUUUUAAUUAUUUAUGUUUUUAAUUUUAAUCACAAAGAUUGUCUUUAAAAAAUUAAUCAAAAAAUAUAGUAGUUAAAGUUAUUACUCUAAUCUUCCAAAUUCCUAAACCUAACCUAACUCAUGACAGUUGCACACCCUACUCCUUCAAGUAUGUAUGUAUGUAAAUGUAUACACACGCACACACACACAAAAUAAGCUUUUAAUAAGUAGAUUUAGUAUUUUUGAAGUUUAAUAUUAAUGAUAUGUUAAUUUAAUUAAAUUACUUUUGUUUGUUUCUCUUUAAUGACUUGAACUUAGUGAUUGCUGGCUAAGAUUUGAUUUUUAUUUAUCUAAUUAAUGGUCAAUAGUUGUCCAAAAUAUAUUUGUUAUUAUUAUUGACAAUACUUAUAUAUUGACUAAAAGAUAGAGUAAGGCAUUAAUUUUAGUAAUAAUUAUUUGCCUACAACAAAAAUAUUUUGUGUUAGAAUGAUAUAUUUUGUGUAUUUGUUUUAAUAUUGAAACUUUAAUUUCUCUUUUACAUUGAUGAAAUCUAAAGUUGAGUAGUUUAUGUAGAUUUUUUAGUCUGUUACUAUAAAGUUAUAUUUUGAAUUAUAUAAUUUAAAUUAUUAAAUAUAAUUUUUUAAUAUUUAUGAUUUUAAAUAUAAAAAUUUAUUAAAAAAAACUACUACAUGUUAUGGGUGGAUUUGCUAAUUAUUAAAAAUUAUAGCGAACGAACUAAAAAAAAAAGAAGCAACCGGUUACGGGCGAAUUUAAUAAUGGCAAACUCAUAAUAAGCGAUACCAUUACCAUCGGCAGCUUCUAUAACGCAGGGCCGGGGGCGGUCUUGAAUUGUUAGAAGUUGUAACAUUAAUUAGCAAACUUUUCAGCGGCAUCCCUGAAGUUUAGCAUAGAGUUAGAUAUAUCCCCUUGUUUUCAAAAUUAGUCUCUGAUUCCCAUGUUGUUUACUUUAUUAUUUUUUGUUUUCAUUUCAAUUGGAUUUAUAACUUCGUAAUGUUGCGCCUUGUAAAAUGUAUGCUUAAAACGCGUGCUUCUUAUUUUUUAUAUACUGCUAAGAGAAUUUGAGAAUAGAAAUAUAUAAAAUGGUGUCUCAUUUAUUAAUUAUUUAUAUCCUCUAAAUAGCACCUAACAUGCAGCUCACUUCAAUGGUAAAAUUAAUUAAACAAAAUAAAAAAAAGCAUUUUUAACACCAGUACAAAAACAUAACAAGUGUAAAAGAAGACUCAUUAACUUAUUUUAUGAUAUUAAAUUCACGCAGAUACCACCAAUGUUUCUCGACCAUGUUUGAAAGAGACCACCAACUCAUGCUGACUUGGAAGAUUUUCUUUAAGUAUAUAAGUGAAAGUUAUUACUCUAGUCUUCAAAAUUCUUAAACCUAAUCUAACUCAUUACAGCUGCAUGCCUUGCUCCUUUUAUUAUAUGUAUAUAUUUUAAGAUGAAUACAAUAACUUUUUAAUAAGAAGAAUUUUAUACUUUUCAAGCUUAAUAUUAACGAUAUUUUAUUUUAUUUUAAUUACUUUGAAUUGUUUUGGUUUAAUGACUUGAACAUAUUGAUUGUUUGCUAAAGUUGAAUUUUUAUUUGUCUAAUUAAUUGACGAUAGCAAUUGUAUAAAAUUUACUUAAAAAGAUAAAAUCUUAGUAGAUUACAGAAAGAUUUAGUAAUGACAAACAUGUAGCAGCCAAUACACAUUACCAUCCCCAACGGCUGUAAUAUGGCCAUGGGCAGUCUUAAUUGUUAGAAGGUGCAAAAUUAAUUAGUAAAAUGUUCAGCGGUAUCCUUGAAUUUUAGCAUAGAAUUAGAUAUAUCCCCUAGUUUUCAAAAUUUGUUUUUGAUUCCCCUAUUGUUUAAUUUAUAUAUAUAUAUAUAUAUUUAUUUCACUUGGAUAUAUAACUUUGUAAUGUUGCGCCAUAUAAAAUGUAUGCUUAAAAUGCAUGCUUAUUACUUUUUAUAUGUUGUUAAGAGAAAUUGAGAAUAGAAAUAUGUAAAAUGGAGUUUCAUUUAUUAAUUAUUUAUAUCCAUUAAAUAGCACCCAACGUGCAGUUCGUCUCAAUAGUAAAAUUAAUUAAACAAAGCAGAAAGAUUUGCUUUAGCAUCAGUAAAAAAAAAAAAAAAAGCACAAAGCGAGAAUCACAAACUUAUUUUAUGAUAUUACAUUCACGCAGAUGUCACCAAUAUUUCCCGAUGACGUUUGAAAGCGAUCACCAUCUCAUGCUGAUUUGGAAGAUUUUCUUCAAUUACAGAGACUUUCCUGAAAUUUUCAAACCACUUAUGCAAGCUUGGGAAUUUGUGAGAUUCAAAUAGUUUCAUUGUUAUAGUGCAAUUUAUGCACUAGUUUUGCAUUGUUUACUUCCCUUAAUAUCGAUGUUUUGCACUUAAUAAUAGUGAUUUACUUGUGUUUUACUUUUGUAGGUGCAAUUCUAUUGAUUUGUGAUAAAAUUGAGCUAUAAGAUGAUGUUUAAAGAUGAUUGUUCUCUUGGAGAAAUUUAGGGCGUCAGAAGAACUUUGUUGACAAGGCGUGGGCGCGUACUGUCAACUGCGGACCUGCAAUUUUUAGUUUAACGUGUUUUGUAUUUUUGGUUAUUUUUGUAAUUAUGAAUUUAAUAUUUCAGAUAUUAGUAUUUUAUUUUAAAUAGAACUCUAAAAGAGAAAAGAGAGAGAGUAUUUAAGGGAGGAAUCUAUUGUGAAAACGAAGAGAUUGGGGGAAAAAGAAAGAAACCCUAGAUCUAAACUUUUCUCUUCUCUCUAUGAAGAACUAAACUUAUUUUUCUGGUUGAAGGUUAAUAAAGCUUUGAUUCAUCACUACUGCGAGAUCUUUCUUAUGCUUUAAUUGUUUUAUUACUUUUUGGGUAUUUUUUUUAUUUUCUGAAUUAUUAUUAUGAUUAUGUUUGUUAAUUAGAUAAUUGGCCACUAUUUAAAUAUCAACUUAAUCUAUUGUCAAUUAAAUGAUUUAUCGUAUGAAGAUUUUAAUGUUUGUGACAAAUAACAUAGCAGAGAGUUGUGUUGUGAGAAUAAACAAUCUAAUUUAAAUGAACCAUCGUAUGUGUUUGUUGAUUAGGAUUUGGGUCUCUCUGGUUUUUCAGGCUGUCAAUUGAUUAAAUCCUAUGAUCGUAUCUAGGGUUGUCUAUUGAUUAGGGAAAUAACCAACGGUCGUACCUUGGUUAUCGACUAGUUAAGGAGAGAUUGGCUAUUAGAGGGUCUCAGUAGCUAUAACCGGUCUAUUCAUAAGAAAUAAUAAUUUAUAUUUGAAUCAAUGAUCAGUAGUCGAAUCAAGCUGAGUUAAUUCCUUCAACCAGAGCUUUCUCCAAUUUGAAUUACAACUUUAAUUUGCAUUCUUGUUAUUUUAAUUUGAUUUUUAUUAUUGUCAACAAAACCCCCAUUUUAUGUUUUACGUUUCAAAAGGAUUUAAAUAAUUACCGAUCUCUGUGGACACGACCCUAUUCAAUCACUGUACACAAUUUAUUUAGAGUAAGUAUUUAUUUUUGUUGGCUUCGACAACCAUAAAAUUUUGGCGCCGUUGCUGGGGAUUGGUGUCAUUUAUUUAAUCCUUUUUACGUUUUACUUGGUGUAUGGUUCGUUCUUCUCGUACAGGUACACUUUCGUUUGAUCCUGAAAUUGAGAAGACAGCUCGCCAGCUAAGACAGCAGACGAAGCUAGCUAAGUAACGAUCCUCGUCGCCUUUGAUUUCUGAAACAGAUACGGUGCCUGAUUUGGUUGAAUCAUCUAGCGAUUCAGAAGAACAAGUGAUGGAUAGAUUUGCACCUGUAGAAAGAACUCUUAGAGAGUUAGUUGAACCAGACUUGAAUCAGCAGCCACUCUGCAUUCAAUAUGUAGACUUAGAGGUAAAUUUUGAAUUAAAGUCUGGUCUCAUUCAUUUAUUACCCAAGUUUUAUGGUUUUGCAGGUGAAGAUCCUCAUAAACAUUUCAAGGAGUUUCAUGUUGUAUGUUCAAGUAUGAGACCACAAGGCGUGACUGAAGAGCAGAUUAAGCUGCGUGCUUUUCCUUUCUCUUUAGAUGACUAGCUAAAGACUGGUUGUACUACUUGCCUCCUGGAUCGAUUACAACGUGGAAUGGUUUGAACAAGCAGUUCCUUGAGAAGUACUUUCCUGCUUCAAGAGCUGCCAACAUCAGAAAAGAUAUUUGUGGGAUCAGACAACUUCCUGGGGAGACUUUGUAUGAGUAUUGAGAGCAAUUCAAACAAUUGUGUGCCAGCUGUCCUCAGCAUCAGAUUUCUGAUCAACUUCUUAUUCAGUAUGUUUACGAAAGACUAUCAUUAAUGGAGAGGAGUAUGAUAGAUGCUGCUAGUGGAGGCGUGUUGGUGAACAAGACCCCUACUCAAGCAAGGGAGUUGAUCUCAAAUAUGGCUGCCAAUGCACAACAAUUUGGCAGUAGGCAAGAUCCCACUUCAAGGAAGGUGAAUGAGGUAAAUAUUUCUUCUGUUAAACAACGUUUAGAUAAACUUACUUCUUUUGUGGAAAAGUUUGUUGUAGGUAAUGUGCAAUAGGUAAAGACUUGUGGCAUCUGUUACAAUAUGGGUCAUUCAACUGAUAUGUGUCCUACGCUUCAAGAAGAACCCGUUGAACAAGCCAAUGCAGUUGGAGGAUUUCCAGGCAUGCCUCAGAGGAGGUAUGAUCCUUAUACACAAACAUACAAUCCGGGGCGGAAGGAUCAUCCCAACUUCAGCUAUGGAGUUAGGCCGUCAGGAUUCCCAUAACAGUAUCCACCAAGAUAACUAGCACCUCCACAGUCAAACUCCAAGUCAGGUAUAUCUCUUGAAGAAAUUGUUAAAUCACUUGCGACUAACGCUCAACAAUUUCAACAGGCAACUACAACAAGCAUUCAGAAUUUGGAGAGCCAAGUGAGUCAAUUGGCAACUACGAUGAGCCGUCUAGAGUCUCAAGUAUUAGAGAGAUUGCCUUUACAAUCUGAGGUGAAUCCCAAGCAAAACGCUAGUGCCGUCAUCCUUAGAAGUGGGAAUGAGUUGUAAGAGCUUAGUAAGAAAGUGACAGAGCAUGUAGAACCUGAGCUUGAAAAGAAUGAAUUGAUGCCUAAAUCUCAAUAUACGCAACCCACCAGAGCGAAACCCCUACCUAUUGUGAUACCUCCUCAUUUUCCAAGCCGGUUUGCAAAAUCUAAGAAGGAGGAACAAGUGAAAGACAUCCAUGAGACAUUUCGCAAGGUUGAGGUAAAUAUUCCCUUAUUAGAUGCUAUAAAACAAAUACCUUGAUAUGCUAAAUUCCUUAAGGAACUGUGCACCUCUAAGAGAAAAUUAAGAGGAAAUGAAAGAGUUCACAUGGGGGAGAAUGUUUCAGCAGUUCUCCUAAGUGCAAGGAUCUAGGUAUGUUUACUAUCCCUAGCAAAAUUGGUAGUGUUAGAGUUGAGAAGGCUAUGUUAGAUCUAGGAGCUUCUAUUAAUGUCAUGCCUCGUUCUAUUUGUUCGUAUUUGAAUGUUGGUGCAUUAAAAGAAACUGGCGUGAUAAUUCAAUUAGCUGAUAGGUCUAAUGCAUAUCCUGAUGGGGUAUUAAAAGAUGUCUUAAUACAAGUUAAUGAGUUAGUUUUUCCUGCUGAUUUUUAUGUACUUGAUAUGGAAGAGGAUAACUCCUCUAAUUCUGUCCCAAUUUUGCUAGGAAGACCUUUUCUUAAGACUGCUAGAACUAAAAUGGAUGUACAUAAAGGGACUCUUACUAUAGAGUUUGAUGAAGAGGUUAUAGAGUUCAAUAUGUAUGAUGCCAUGAAAUAUCCCAGUGAGGAACAUUCGGUAUUUUCUAUGGAUGUUAUUAACCCUAUAGUGCAGGAAGUUUUUUAUUUGGAUGUUAAAGAUUCAUUGGUAGCUGCUUUAAAUAACAGUUUGGACCUCAAAGGAUUGCAAAAGGAUGAAAAUGAGUUUGUUUUAAAUUUUGUAUUGCAAGAGAUAAUUUAUUAAUUAAAUUCUUUGAGAACUUUAACUCAUCAUAUGUCUAAUAUUGAAUUACCUUAAUCUCAUGCAAAACUUCUUCCAUCUAUUUUGCAGGCACCGAAAAUAGAGCUUAAACCAUUGCCGAGUCAUCUAAAGUACAUGUUUCUAGGAGAUGAUGAGACACUUCCGGUGAUCAUCUCUUCAAAGCUUAGUACUUUAGAGGAAGAGAAACUUAUUAGAGUGCUGAAGGAUUACAAAAAGGCUAUUGGGUGGACAAUUGCAGAUAUUAAAGGGAUAAGUCCGUCCACGUGCAUGCAUAGAAUACUGCUGGAGGAAGAUGCCAAACCUUCAAUUCAAGCUCAACGUCAUUUGAAUCCACUCAUGAUGGAAGUAGUGAAGAAAUAAAUUCUAAAACUUCUUGAGGCAGGUAUAAUCUAUCCAAUUUCAGAUAGCAAAUGGGUAAGUCCGGUACAAGUGGUACCGAAGAAAGCUGGUAUAACAAUUGUUGAGAAUUCUUAUAGUGAGUUAGUACCUACCCGAGUUUAGAAUGGGUGGAGGGUUUGUAUUGAUUUUAGAAAGCUUAAUUCACUCAGUAGGAAGGAUAAUUUUCCUAUUCCUUUUAUUGAUCAGAUGCUUGAAAGGUUGGCAGGAAAAUCUCACUUUUGUUGUCUUGAUGGCUAUUUAGGUUUUCAUCAGAUACCAGUUGCGCCUGAGGAUCAGGAGAAGACUACCUUCACAUGUCCUUUUGGAACCUUUGCGUACCGACGUAUGCCAUUUGGUCUUUGUAACGCUCUCGCCACUUUUCAAAGGUGCAUGGUCAGUAUUUUUUCAGACUAUGUAGAAAACACUAUAGAGGUAUUUAUGGACGAUUUUACGAUCUAUGCUGAUUCUUUCGAUGAUUGUCUCUAUAAUCUGAAGAAAGUACUUGAAAGAUGCAUUGAAACAAACCUUGUCUUAAAUUAUGAAAAAUGUCAUUUUAUGGUAGAUCAAGGCAUUAUUUUGGGUCAUGUAGUCUCUGCUAGAGGCAUUGCGAUAGAUAAAGCUAAGAUAGAUGUUAUUAAAUCUUUACCUUAUCCCACAUGUGUGCGGGAAGUUCGUUCUUUCCUUGGUCACGCAGGUUUCUAUAGACGAUUUAUCAAUGAUUUUUUAAAGAUAGCUUAGCCUUUAUGCAAGCUUCUUCAGAAAGAUGUGACGUUUGAUUUUAAUGAAGCAUGCAAGGUAGCCUUUGAUAAGCUCAAAGAGUUAUUGACUUCAGCUCCAAUUAUACAGCCACCCGACUGGAGCCUCCCUUUUGAGAUAAUGUGCGACGCCAGUAAUUAUGCUGUUGGUGCUGUUCUCGGACAAAGGGUUGGAAGAGCUGCUCACGUGAUAUAUUACACAUCAAGAACACUUGAUAGUGCUCAGUGUAAUUACUCAACAACGGAAAAAGAACUUUUAGCUAUUGUUUUUGCUUUAAAAAAAUUCCGCUCAUAUUUGUUGGGUACUAAAGUGAUUUUUUUUUUCUGACCAUGCAGCUCUCAGAUAUUUACUCGCCAAGAUGGAAGCGAAACCGAGACUUAUCCGCUGGAUCCUACUACUUCAAGAGUUCAACUUGGAGAUCCGUAACAAGAAAGGAACAGAAAACUUAGUUGCAGACCACCUUAGUAGAUUUACCACGUGUGAAGAAGCAACACCUUUGAAGGAUGAUUUUCCAGAUGAGCAUCUCUUUGUAACUAAAGGUAUGGUUCCUUGGUAUGCUGACAUUGUCAAUUACUUAGUUACAAGAACACUACCUAGUGAUCUGACGAGGUCUCAAAAAGAUAAAAUUAAGAACGAUGCUAAAUACUAUGUUUGGGAUGACCUUUACUUGUGGAAACAUUGCUCUGACCAAGUCAUCAAAAGGUGUGUGUCUGAGUUUGAAAUUCCUUCUAUUCUUCAGUUUUGUCACUCAUAUGCAUGUGGUGGUCAUUUUGGUCCUAAAAGGAUAGCAUCCAAUGUGUUAGAAUGUGGUUUAUUUUGGCCUACUUUAUUUCGUGAUUCAUACAUAUUUUGUAAGUCGUGUGAGAAUUGUCAAAAGACUGGUAAUUUAAGUCAUAGAAAUCAAAUGCCACUUACCCCUAUUCUUGUGUGAAAUAUUCGAUGUGUGGGACAUUGAUUUUAUGGGACCUUUUCCUUCAUCUGUUGGCAAUGCUUACAUUCUUUUAGCAGUGGAUUACGUUUCUAAGUGGGUAGAGGCUAAGGCCACCCGGACUGACAAUGCUAAAGUUGUUGUAGAUUUUGUCAAGUAUAAUAUUUUAGCCAAGUUUGGUGUACCAAGAGCGGUGAUAAGUGAUAGAGGCACUCAUUUCUGUAAUUGAGUGGUGGAGGUUUUGUUCAAAAGAUAUCAUGUUACUCACCGAGUGUCUACCGCCUAUCAUCCACAGACAAGUGGACAAGCUGAGAUAUCAAACAGAGAAAUCAAGUUUAUUCUUGAAAAGACAGUUAGUCUAAAUCAAAAGGAUUGGAGUUUGCAAUUAGAUGAUGCAUUAUGGGCGUAUCGCACCACAAUUAUUGUAACAAUGCCGAAGAGGAAAGCAUUAACUUCCAAGUCAUCUAAAAAGACACCCGUCGCAAAAAAAUCCAAGAUUGCCGCUCCCACUACGGUUCCAUGGAACACAGUUUCAGAUUUACGCCAAGCCGUAAGACAAAGAUCGAAACAUGGAAAAGGCAUGAGUGUUUUGCCACUUGCGGAAUCCAAUCUCGGAGGGUGCCUCGCAUUCGCGACUCAACAAGAGAAAAAGAGGUACAAAGAUAUUUCCAUGCGCAAAAUACUUCCAGCUAAGUAUAUUCAUUACCCGACUCUUGAAAAAUUGAAUGUUAAGGAUAAUUUUGAUUCUUUGAUAGAUAAGAUUGGGUUGCGUAAGUUUGUUGAUGUUGAUUGUUUGGGUUAUGUUGAGUUGAUUAGGGAGUUUUAUGCGACUUUUCAAUUUAAUAUACCGAAUGAUUUUACUUUGCAUAUCCCGGAUGUCAUAAAGUUUAGGUUAAUAGGACGAAAUUUUUCACACUCUAUCACGGAUUUUAACCUAGCUUUAGGAUUCAUUGAUGAUGAUUAUUCUUUUAGUGAUGCAUAUUUAGGAACAACUUGUGACUUUAGCGAAAAUUUUGAGCCUUAUGGUCUUUAGCGUAAUUUAUUUGUUGAUCACAAUGCCUAUGACCCGAGUAAAUCAAAGAGUUCUUUCUUACGUGAUCCUGUUUUGAAAUGUGUGCAUCGAUUCUUAGCAUAUAAUUUUUUAGGAAAGAAAGAUCACUUAGUAGUUUUCUCUAAAACUGAAUUUUAUUUUAUCUGGUGCAUGUUAAAUGAUGUGAGGCCUAAUUUAGGUUUUUGGUUAGCGGAUCAAUUUCAAAGUGUGCUUAAACGGUAUAGGACUUUAUUUCUUGGUCCAUACAUUACUCUGUUAGCUAUAAACCUAUGUGUGCUUGAUCCUAACAAUAAUGAUUUGCAUCCUGCUUGCAAAAAGGAAUUUUUGGAUAUGUCUGUGUUUGAAAAAACAGGUGUGGUCGAAUUCAAGGAGGGGAGAUUUCAGUUUACUGAACCAGGACCCACUCAACCUCCAAAGAAGCUUUAUGCUAGGAGUGGUGCUACCUCUGAUGACGAGUUUGACGACGACACUGCUGCCCUGCCAACUAUUCAUUCUACAUCAGCACCACCUUUGAGCAUUCAGUUAGAGAAAAUGAAGCACAAGCUAAACAAGAUGGAGCAGAAUUUGGCCGCAUACUUCGAGAGUGUGGGAUUUAUCUCACCAUUUCCGCCAAGCCCAUAGAUGUUAUGUGGAUCAAAGUUCACAAUUCAGGGAAGUUUUUUUUUGCCUUUAAUCUUUUAUCUUUACGCUUUAAUUUUUAUGUGAGCUUUGAUUAUCUUACAUUAGGGACAAUGUAAGUUCUUGGUGUGGGGGAGGGAUUUUUGCAUUAUUGAUGUCUGGAAAUAUUAUUUUCACUCUACUCAUCUAUUUUCACUCUACUCAUCCUUAAAUGAGUUUGGAGUUAGUAUGUUUCAUAUAAUAUUAUUUUUCUUUUGUUUUCUUUCUCACUACUCUUUUUCCAUCUAUCUCAAAUUAUUUACAUCUAUUUUUUUUAUUCUAUCAUACUCUUUCACACUAACAUUUUAUCUUCCACUUUUUAUAUUACUACAUACAUCUUUCUCACUUCUUAUCAUUUUUACCUUUCCUUUUAUAUAUCACUCAUACCUUCUUCUCAUUCUAAACCACUAUUGAUGGUUGAUUCAUUUGAAAAGUGUACAUGAUUUGAUGGCAAAUUUACCAACUUUGUGAGGAUUUUAGCCUAUGAGCAACCACUUUGCUCUAAUAUUUUUGUUAUGUGAAUAUCAAUCUUAGUUUGUUUAUUCUAGAACUUGGUUUGUUAUGCAUGUUGAAGCCGUAUUACAGGAUUUUAUGCAUUAAAAUGAUAACGGCAAACCGUUUACAUUUUUCUAUUCUCGCAUUUUCUUUUUUUUUCUCUACCCGAAGACCUUUAUUUACUAUCUUUGUUUGAACCUUAACCAUUACCCAUCUAAUUCUCUCCGUCUACUUAACCAUGUUUCUUUUUUUUUGAGCUUCAAUUUAAGGAGAUUUUGGGACUCAUUGUGUGGAUAUAUUUUGUUGCUUUUUCUACCUUGUAUUAAAGUUUCUCAAUUAGAUCAACAAGCAUUAUACUUGAAUUAAAUUGUGCAAGGUUCGUUUCUUUUGUUUGAAAAAAAAAACAAAAAAGAAAAAGAAAAAGAAAAGAAAAAAGAAAAGGAAAAAGAAAAAAAGAGAAAAAUAAAAAUAAAAAAAAAUCAAAAAAAAGAAAAAAAUUGUUUACAUUCUUGGUGACUUGAGUAGAAAUAAGCAUUUUGAUAUCAUAAGUUCAUUCAAUGAAUUCAUUCUUCUCAUUUUGAUCUCUUUUUCUUUCGUAAACCUUUCUUUUUCAUUUAACCUAUUUAACCCUAUUACAACCUUUUUAAGACUCUUAGAUUUUUGCAUUUUAUUCAUGUUUUGUGGAUUGUGAUGUGAUAUAUGAGCAAGCUUAUGGUAAUAGCAUUCUUUGAUUUGAUUUGAAUGCAUAAAUGAUACCCUAAACACUUUGAGUGCAUGUAACUAUGGCCAAUGGGCCGUGCUGGCUGUCGGCCCACAAUGGCUCGUGGGCCGGCACGGCACGACCCACCAAUUUGGUGGGCCGUGCCCACCUUUUUUCCAGUUGAGCCCAGCACGGCCCACGGCACGAGCCCGCUCGUGUCGUGUCGUGGGCCAUGCCCAAAAAAAGCCCACCAACUUUUUUUUUUAGCGUGCUUAAAAAAGUCCAUGUGCCUAGCGUGCUUUAUUCAAGCCCACGUGCCUGACGUACUUUUUUAUGCCCACCAACAUAAUAAUAAUAAUAAUAUUCACAAUCAUAAUCAUAUUAAUUUUUAUUAAGAGAGCAAUUAACAUUUUAUUAUUAGUUUAUCACAAUUUCACAACUAUAUAUUUUAUUUCACAAUAAUCAAUCAUAAUUCAUAACACAACAAUACAUAAAUUUAAUUAAAUUUAAUUCCAUAGAUCAUAAUAAUAAUUAAUUAAAAUUAAAAAUACAAUCCUCGAAUAAUCAUUACAAUAAGUCAUAACUACGAAAUAUUAAUAUAACAAAUCAUAGGUCACAACUUACAAGUUACAACUAUAAAACACGAACUACGAUCAAUUGACGAAUAACAAGCACGAAAAAAACAUUUAUUAAUCACAACUAUGGAUACGGGAAACGAGCAAGGUUAAUUCUAUCUCGGCUGGUGGCGAGCUAAACAAUUUGACACGUGCCGACAUAAACCCAAGGUGCCGUGGCUGUUUGAAUAAAUAACUUCUCGAUGACAAUAGUUGCACCUCAAGAUCAUCCGCUUGUAAGGACGACGCAAACUAUUAUCUAUUAUUUCCUCCCUUACUGUAGUAAAAUUUUGAAAAAGCUCAUUUAGAAAACGACUUCUGGGCUGAUUUAGCCUAGCAUUUUGUUGAGGUCCAACUACAUUAACACCGUAUUCUUGAGGGUGUUGAGGUUCUUCUGCAUUCAUAUUAUGUUGCUGCGGAUUCAUAAUGAUUUUGGCUUUUAGAAUAUUGGAAAGUUUGAGGAAAAAGAAGAAGAAUAAGAAUUGUGAAGCAUCAUAGCAUAAUGGCGUGUAUAUAUAAUAUUAGAUAGUAAUAAAAAGACAAAAAUUAAUUUUAUUUACUUUGUCGGUGGGAGUAAAAAGAGUAAGUAAAAAAAUAUUUAGUGAAAUAUAAAUAUAGCCGUGAGGCAAGUGCUUGGUUGGCAUGUGGGAAACAAAUCUUAAAUUAUUUAAAAAUCUGCAAUUUGCACGUCUGCAUGUGCACUAUAUGACAAGCUGACAACUACCGUGUUGAAAAUUUGAGUUGAGAAUUUAAAUUCAAAGAAAUAAAGUACUCUACAUAAUGAAUGCAAGCUCCUCCCGUACUACUAGUUUGUUAUUAUAAUAUUAUCUUAUCAACACACUUGUGAUAGGAUUUAUUAACAUUGUGAUAGUUGCGUGAUUCUCUUGUAACAAUGAACCAUAAUUUUUUUUAAUUUAAUAUGUUGUUUUGAAAAAAAAUUAAUUACAAAAAUUAUUUUUAAAAAUAAAUAACAACGGUGCACUUAGAAAAUAAUUUUUUCUAAUUAUUAAAUAAUAAAAAAAUUCUAAAUUAAUUUUAUUACUCACCCAACGGAUAAAAAAAAUUUGAAUUAAUUCAAUUAAAAAAAUUCUGAAUUAAUUGAAUUACUCACCCAACGGACAAUUUUUUUUUUGAAUUAACAGUAAAAUUGAUAUGACUACUCAAUUUUACAGUAUAAGCAGUCGGACUCUGAUUAUCAAUUAAUGUUUUCUGAUUUUUAAUGACAAAAAAAAUUUAAAUCAAUUUCAUAUUUUCAUUACUCACCCAACGGACAAAAAAAAAACUGAAUUAAUUGAAUAAAAAAAAUUCUGCAUUAAUUGAAUUAAUAAUAAAGUUGAUAUGCCUUUCCAAAAAAAAAACAAUAAAGUUGAUAGACUUGACUAGUCAAUUUCACUUUCACAGCAUGGGCAUUCAUGACUCAACAAUUAGACUUAACUAGCUUACAGAAUUUGUAAGCUAUAGACUGCAGCAUCAGCCGUUGGAUGUGGAGUGAGAAACUAAACAAUAGACAAUCGAAUGGUGGGAAUGGGAUGACAGGAGACGUUUGUUACAGUCUUGCAGAAUCGGUACCAUAGAGUCAUAGACAGAUCCCUCAACAAUUAAUUUUUAAUAAUAAAAAAUUCUAAAUUAAAUCAAUUGCUCACCUUACAAUUCCAAGUUUCCAACGGACAAAAUGAAUGAUAAAAUGUAACUGUUUAAUUUGCUGCAGCCUUGCAGAGUUGCAGGAAGCUUUGCAGUUGUAGACUUGUAGGUUUGCAGCGUGUUUGUUCGUUUUUGACCGUUAAAAUGUUUACUUUUUUAUUUGCUCGUUUCUAACCGUUAAUAUGUUUACUUUUUUAUUCUAUUUAAACGAUUAAAUUAUUUUCGAAUUCAUCUCACAUUCUCACUUCUCAAUUUCUAAUUCUUUAUCUCCUCGUUAUCUCUCUUAUCUCAUCAAUCAUCUCUAGUCUCUGCUUGCCCAAUCUUCUUUACUACAAUUCCAGCGCCUUUAUUUACCAAAACACUAAUUAUAUAAAAUGUCUCACUCUCAUUUCGAGUUAGAUGAGAAUUUUAAUUUUGUUGAAGAGGGAGAGGAAGUUGCAAAUGAAGAAAUUGCUGCACCAGAAUUUGAUCCAAGUAAUAUAUUUAUUGUCCCACCUAAACGAUUGCCUCCUACUUCUCAAGCAAGUCAAAGUGGUUCUACUUCUUCAACUGCCUGUCCUACUACUACCUCCAAACGACAAAGAACAUCGAUUGUUUGGUCAUGUUUUACUUUGGAAAAACAUCAAAUCAAAAAAGGUGAAAUGGUGGAUCAAGCAGUGUGCAAAUAUUGUCAAUUUGCUUUAAGUGCCAAAAGCAAUGGUGGAACUAGACAUCUUAGACGACAUAUGGAAACUUGUCAGACAAAACACGAGCCACAAGACCCAACACAAACCCAACUCUCACAAUAUGGUUCUAGAUCUUCCGGUAUAACAUCAUUCAGAUAUUCACAACAGCACAUGCGAGAAGGAUUGGCUCGGUAUAUUGCUGCAGCAGAACAACCUUUAACAUUUUCAGAAGAUGAACGUCUAAUAAAUUUUUUGCAAAGGUAUGUUCAACCUCAACUUAAGAAAGUGCCUAGAAAUACAUUAAAACGUCAUUUAACUAAAAUUUUUCAUGACAUGAAAAAACUUUUAAUUAAUACUUUUAUCAAUUUUAAUGGUGUUAUUUCAAUUUCUUCUGAUUGUUGGACUGGUAUUAAUAUGGUUGGUUAUUUUUGUGUGACUUCGCACUCUAUACAUGAGAUUAAUGGUAAAUGGAGGUUGGAAAAAAAAUUGCUUGCAUUUCAUGAAUUAGAAUAUCCUCACACUGGUUCAGUAAUUUAUGCAGCUAUAAUGUCUGUUUUAAGAGAAUAUGAAAUUACUGAUAAAUUGUUUAGCAUAUCAUUUGAUAAUGCAUCUGCCAAUACAGUGGCAAUUGAUAUGUUUUUGUGGAAUAUUUCUACUCUCAUGCCUGCACGUGGUUCAAAAGUUUUUCAUUUGAGAUGUGUGUGUCAUAUUAUUAAUUUAAUUGUUCAAGCUGGUAUGACUCAUAUAAAUCAUUAUUUAGAAAAAAUUAGAGCAUCCAUUUUAUAUAUUAGAGCACCUUCAAGACGUCAAUAAUUUUUAGAGACAUUGAAAAUUUUUGGAUUGAAAAGGAGAAAAUUCAACCUUGACAUGAAAGUUCGUUGGAAUUCUACGUAUUUAAUGUUGCUUUCUUGUCAAAACUAUUCUGAAGCAAUUUCUAGUUUUUACAAUGAGAGAAUGAAUGAUAAAGAUUAUCAUAUCACUGAUUAUGAUUGGAAUGUUGCAUUUAAAUUUAUGAAUUUUUUAAAGGUAUUUUAUGAUGCUACUCUUGCAUGUUCUACUGUUUAUGAGCCUACUUCAUGUAGAGUGUUAAUGCACUUGUACAAUAUAAGUUAUACUUUUAAGACUUUUAGAGAGAAUAUUACGUUUAAAAAUAUUUGUGAUACCAUGGAGGAAAAUUUUCAAAAAUAUUGGAAAGAUAUUCCCCACCUAUUUAUUUUUGCAGUAGUGUUGGAUCCUACAAUCAAGGAAGUUGGUGCAAAACUUUUAGUUGAGGGUAUUAGUGAAAAUUUACAAACCGGACUUGAUACAAAUUUUGAUACAAUUAUGUCCUCUAUGCAUGAACUUUUUAAUUUUUAUCGAAAUAAAUUCGAAUUAAGCAAUACAUAUUCUAAUGUUCAACAAGCAUCGACUUCUUAUAAAAAUCCAGCUCACCUUUUGUUACUCAAAGGUAAGGGUGUUGCCUCUAGUAUUGAUACUAAUCGUAAUGAAUUACAAAGAUAUUGUUAUGCCAAUCUUGAAGAUUUAGCAACUCCUUCACAAUUUCAAAAUUUUGAUAUUUUAGAUUUUUGGAUGGGUAAGAUAUCUUUUUUCCCUAUAUUAUCCAUUAUGGCCCGUGAUCUACUAACCCCUCCAGCUUCAACUGUAGCAUCAGAAUCAGCUUUUAGUAUAGGUGGCAGAAUUCUAGAUGAACAUCGGUCAAGAUUGUCAUCAGAGACAUUAGACUCUUUGUUGUGUUUGAAAGAUUGGGAAGAUGCUGAACGCCGAGUGCAACAAGAUUGGCAAAAUGCUUUAAUUAAACAAAUUGAGAGUUUGAAUGUUGAUCAAGAUGAAGUGGAUCCAGAUUAUGCAGAGUACUGAACAUUGAAGCCACUUCCAAAUACUAGAAAAUUUUUUUUCUUGUAACUUUUUGAUACAAUUUUUAUUAGUGAGAAGGUUGUAAAUUUGCAAAUGAUAGAUGGUCCAGUAGGUGCCAACCUAGUUGGGAUGUACUGUUAACUGUAGUGAUGCAAAUUACACCUAAUUUUAUUUGAAUUACUAAUAUUAUAAUUGUACUUUAACUUCAUUUAAUGAAAAUGUAAUUUUUAUUUAUCAUAAUUUUUCUUGUGUAUAAAAUGGAAAAUAUUUCAUUCACAAAUGAAACGUAUCUCUAUUAAAUAUUAACUAAGUUAUGAUUUAAUAUUAAUAUGAAAAAUAUUUCAUAUAAAAAAUAUUUUAUUAUUAAUUUUGUAAAAAAAUUUAUUUUUUAUUUAUAAUUUAUAAAUUUAUUAUAUUUAUAAUCUUAUUUAUUAAAAUCAUGAUAUUUAGUUAUUUACUUAUUCAUUUAAUAAAUUAUAAACAUAAAUAAAUAAUUAAAUAAAUAUCAUAAAUAACAUUAUUCAUUUAAUAAAUAUCAUAAAUAAAAUUAUGAUAUUUAUAAUUUUAUUUAUUAAAAUCAUGAUAUUUGCUUAUUCAUUUAAUAAAUUAUAAACAUAAAAGAUUAGAAUAUUUAUUUAAACUAAGAUUUAAUAAUUUAAAUUAAUUUUUAAAAGUCUAUGCUAAAAAAUAUAUUAAAACAUUUAAUUUCAAGAUAUUGUACUUUAAUUUCAUAACAUUUUAUAUUUACUUUUUGUUAAAAAAAAUUACUUAGAUAUAUUUUGGCCCAAGUGCUAUUAAUGGCUCACGGGCCGCGUGCUAGCCCACUAAUGAACUGUGCUUAUUACGUGCUUUUUCGCGUGCCGUGCUUUGGCCCAUCUCUAAUCGUGCCGUGCUUUAAGGCCCGUGUGCCUAAAAUUCUAGGCCCGACACGGCCCACAUGCAUGCCGUGCCGUGCCUCGUGCCUCACCGAAACGUGCUCGUGUCGUGCCGUGCCACGUGCCGCCCGGCCCAUUGGCCAUCUUUAAGUGCAUGGAGUGAAGUCAAUGAGAGGGCUAUUAAAUCUUGUUGCACUUGAAUUUUGAAUGGAUCUUCUUGGUGGUUGAAGGUUUUUAUUCUAGCUUAUGAGAUUCUAUGCUUUAAAAUCCUUGCCUCUCAAAUGUUGAUUAACUUAAAUUCUUGAGGCAUGCUUGCUUAAAAUUGUUUUUGGAUGAGUUGAGAUGAGAAUUGAGUGGAAAUUUGGGAUUAGUCUUGAGUUAUAUGCUUGAGGACAAGCAUCAUCUUGGUGUGGGGGAAUUUGUUAGAGUGCAAUUUAUACACUAGUUUUGCAUUGUUUACUUCCCUUAAUAUCAAUGUUUUGCACUUAAUAAUAGUGAUUUACUUGUGUUUUACUUUUGUAGGUGCAAUUCUAUUGAUUUGUGAUAAAAAUGAGCUAUAAGAUGAUGUUUAAAGAUGAUUGUUCUCUUGGAGAAAUUUAGAGCGUCAGAAGAACUUUGUUGAUAAGGCGUGGGCGCGUGCUGUCAACUGCGGACUUGCAGUUUUUAGUUUAACGUGUUUUGUAUUUUUGGUUAUUUUUGUAAUUACGAAUUUAAUAUUUUAGAUAUUAGUAUUUUAUUUUAAAUAGAACUCUAAAAGAGAAGAGAGAAAGAGUAUUUAAGGGAGGAAUCUAUUGUGAAAACGGAGAGAUUGGGGGAAAAAGAAAGAAACCCUAGAUCUAAACUUUUCUCUUCUCUCUAUGAAGAGCUAAACUUAUUUUUCUGGUUGAAGGUUAAUAAAGCUUUGAUUCAUCAAUACUGCGAGAUCUUUCUUAUGCUUUCAUUGUUUUAUUACUUUUUAGGUAUUUGUUUAUUUUCUGAAUUAUAAUCAUGAUUAUGUUUGUUAAUUAGAUAAUUGACCACUAUUUAAAUAUCAACUUAAUCUAUUGUCAAUUAAAUGAUUCAUCGUAUGAAGAUUUUAAUGUUUGUGACAAAUAACAUAGCAGAGAGUUGUGUUGUGAGAAUAAACAAUUUAAUUUAAAUGAACUAUCGUAUAUGUUUGUUGAUUAGGAUUUGGGUCUCUCUGGUUUUUCAGGCUGUCAAUUGAUUAAAUCCUAUGAUCGUAUCUAGGGUUGUCUAUUGAUUAGGGAAAUAACCAAUGGUCGUACCUUGGUUAUCGACUAGUUAAUGAGAGAUUGACUAUUAGAGGGUCUCAGUAGCUAUAAUCUGUCUAUUAAUAAGUAAUAAUAAUUUAUAUUUGAAUCAAUGAUCAGUAGUCGAAUUAAGCUGAGUUAAUUCCUUUAACCAGAGCUUUCUCCAAUUUAAAUUACAACUUUAAUUUGCAUUCUUGUUAUUUUAAUUUGAUUUUUAUUAUUGUCAACAAAACCCCCAUUUUAUGUUUUACGUUUCAAAAGGAUUUAAAUAAUUACCGAUCUCUGUAGACACAACUCUGCUCAAUCACUAUACAAUUUAUUUAGAGUAAAUAUUUAUUUUUGUUGGCUUCGACAACCAUCAUUCACUCCCAUUACAUCUUCAAGGACCUGCAGCCAAUAAGCAAUGGCUCCAAAUGCUAGGUUCGCUAAGCCAAUAUCGUCUCCAUUGAAAAAUUUCUUCUCUCCUGGGCCAUGUUUUUCAACGGUUUGAAGCAUUUCCAAGGCUGCCUUCAUUGCAUUCUCCAGGUCUUGUCCAGUGCUGAAAAACAUUUUCCAAACAGCUACUCCCUGCCACAAGAUUUUAUAUCUAAUUCUUAUCACCACAUGAUUAACAAUAUAAACGAGGUAAAAAGAAAUUAGAUAAUAGGUACACACGCAUCAAAGUAUCUUUCAAAGCCUAGACGUUUCAAACUGUCAAAGUAUCUAGAAGAGUUUACCCACUAAUUUUUAGACUAAUUUAUUAUAACUUUUAGAGCUUAUUCAAGUAGAAUUUUUGUUAGUAAAAUUUAAUUGUUAAUGAAAAUUUUCAUUAAUUUUUUUAAAUAACUUUAAUAGACAAGUUUAUAAAGUAAAGUUAUGAAAUAAAUAAAUAAAAUAAUAUUAUAAAAUAAAUGAUGAACAUUUUAAACUAUUUAACUUUUUAAAAAAUCCUCAAACUUCUAUUUCCAAAAAAUUAAAUUUAAAUUUUUACUAGUAUAGGUAAAAGAAUUUAUUUAACCCCAAAAGUUCUUCUAAAAAUAAAACUAAACAAUAAUAAAAAUUUGAAAUGAGAUUUUUUGAUUAAAUAAACACUUAUUAGUAAUAAAUAAGUCAUAUCAAACAAAUACUUAAUGAUAUAAAAGGAAAAAUAUUAAAAAAAAAAUCCUCUUAUUGUUUUAGUAAAUUAUAAUUUUGCUUUCAUGUUUCGAAAGUCCUCAAAAUUCCCCCUAUCGCUAAAACAAUUAUAUUUUAAUAUUUUACCCUUGAUGCAGUAAAAUCCACGAUUAAUUAAGAAAAAUUUCUAAAGGUAAAAAAUUUAAAGUAAUUAACCGAAUUUUUUUGAUAAUUUUCUCUAAUGUAAAAUAAAAGGUUCAUUGAGCUUAGUCGGCCGUGAAUGCAUUUUGCACAUGCGAGGACAUUAGUUUGAGCAUUAAUAGUAGAUAAAAAUUAAUGUUUAGGGAGUCAUGUUUCUCAUAUACAAUGAAAAAUUAAAGUAUAUAAAGAAACCCGACAAGAUUAAUUAAAUUUAUAAACGUGUUAGCAAGAAAAGUUGUGAUGCGAACCUUGUCUUCGGCAAAUUUAAUCCAAAAACGAGCUUGAGCUCUAUCAUAAGGAUCACUUGGCAUCAACGAGGGAUUGUGUGGCCACAUCUCUUCAAUGUAUUCGAGAAUAACCAUGGACUCGAAAACUGGUUUUUCGCCAUGAACGAGCACUGGUAUUGUGAACUGGGUUAUACUUCAAAAGCGAAGCACUUUUGUUGUAGAGAUCUUCUUCAAUGUAUUCAUACGGGAUGCCUUUCAAUUUCAGAGCCCAUACUACCUUGUUGCUAAAUGGACUCGCCCAUCCCCCGUGGAGCUUCACUUCAGCCAUGUGUCUGAGAUCGAAUUUGAAUAUGUGUGUGGUUGUUUUGCUUAGCUGAUGAGUUAUUGCAUACGUACAUCUGAAUUUAUAAUGAUUAAUAUUGGAAUAUCGAGUGCGCUUGCUUGAGCAGGGAGCUUCAUAUCUCCAAUUUAUUUAAUAAAACGAUUCAAUUAAGUUGAAUUCAAUGAACUAAUGCUGCGACAUUUUAACAAUUCUGUUAUAUAUUCAACGAGAAGAGGUAUCGUAUUUGACGGGAAUCUCUUGAAACAGUGCUGAAUUAACAAGUAACCAAUGGUGGCUGUCACUUUAUCACAGUAUUUGCUUCAAGUUUUUUCCAUGAUGAUGGUUGGUCAUCUUGGUCAACUUGCUCUUUCUAGCACCGCCAUGGCCAUCUCUCUAGCUAGCGUCGCGUCCUUGUAAGUUCUAUAAUCCAUAUAUAGUUAUUUACAAUAUCAAGAUCAUGACACAAGCUUGUUUGUUCUUUCUUUUGAUAGGUAUUUGCAUCAUUGCAUGUGGGAUUUAAACAAACAGAUAUGCCAAAUUUCGGAUGUUAAAAAACGUGCAAUUAACUAAUACCCUGUUUGUAAAAAUGCCAUUAAUUUUUAAAGGACUUGAUUUACUCGUUUUUAAAAAAAAAAAAAAUUCUACAGCUAACUUGAAUUGUGUAAUAUUUUCUUUGAAACAGUUAGGAAUGGCAAGUGCUCUGGAAACAUUAUGUGGGCAAGCAUAUGGAGCUCAGCAAUAUCAAAGAAUUGGAACUCAAAUUUACACUGCAAUAUUUUGUUUAUUCUUAGUAUGUUUUCCGCUUUCCUUUCUAUGGAUUUACAUGGGAAGGCUGCUAGUUUUGGUAGGCCAAGACCCCCAGAUUUCACAUGAAGUAGGCAAGUUUAUAAUCUGGCUUCUUCCAGCUCUGUUUGCUUAUGCAGCAAUGCAGGCGCUUAUUCGAUAUUUUCAGUCUCAAAGUUUGAUCAUUCCCAUGUUCUUAAGCUCCUAUGCCGCUCUUUUUUUGCAUAUUCCCAUCUGUUGGGGUUUGGUAUUCAAGUCUGGACUAGGAAACCUUGGAGGAGCAUUGGCAAUUGGUAUAUCGUAUUGGUUGAAUGUAACUUUCUUGGCAAUUUACAUGAAGUUCUCCACUGCUUGUGCAGAAUCCAGGGCUCCAAUUUCAAUGGAGUUGUUCCGAGGAAUUGGAGAGUUCUUCCACUUUGCUAUCCCUCCUGCAGUAAUGGUUUGGUAUGUUAGUUAUCUUCUGGAGCUUCAUUUUCCCUUCUCAUAGACAUCGUAGACACGUCAUAAAUUUUCAUGCUUCUUUUGUUUAUAAUUUUGCAGCCUAGAAUGGUGGUCAUUUGAAUUGCUCAUUUUAAUGUCAGGGCUGCUGCCUAAUCCACAGCUUGAAACUUCAGUCCUAUCUGUAUGGUAUGUUGACAUAGACUUUGUAUGUGAAAGUUCUAUACAGAGAAGCACCUACCAAAGGAAAUAGAUUUUUUUUCUUUUUUUCUUUUUUUUCCCGACUGCUCAUUAUUUGUCAACUUCUCUGGGCAGUCUCAGUACUAUUCAAACCCUCUCUGCAAUCCCAUAUGGACUUGGUGCUGCAGCGAGGUUUGUUCAUAACAAUCACUUAAAUAAUAAUUGUUUUAUAUCAACUAAUUAGCAGAUUAACCAUUAUUUCCUUCUAUAGUACUAGAGUUUCAAAUGAACUAGGAGCUGGGAAUGUGCAAAGAGCCCGUGUAGCUGUCUAUGCUGUGGUCUUUAUGGCAGUCAUGGAGACUAUCAUAGUAAGUGCAUCUCUCUUUGCCAGCCGGCAUGUUUUUGGUUAUGUUUUCAGCAAUGAGGGACAAGUUGUGGAUUAUGUCACAACCAUGGCUCCUCUGGUUUGUUUGUCUGUCAUCAUGGAUAGCUUACAAGGACUCUUUUCAGGUUAAAUUAACUUCUUCAACUCUGUCAAUUGCUAAAUAGUUCUCUUUAAGUGGAAAUAAAAUUUUUCAGGUUUCUAAAUUCUUUUUAUUAUUUUUAAGGUGUUGCAAGAGGAUGUGGGUGGCAGAAUAUAGCUGCUUUUGUGAAUCUUGGGGCUUAUUAUUUGUGUGGAGUCCCAACUGCUGCCAUUUUGGGUUUCUGGUUAAAGUUUAGAGGAAGGGGCCUAUGGAUUGGGAAACAAGCUGGUGCUUUUACACAAACACUUCUGCUUGGCAUCAUAACAACAUUUACAGAUUGGGAAAAACAGGUCUGUUUCUCAACAUUUAAUCCCUUAAAAAUUAGAGAAGCUUAUUGGACUAUAUAUGUAAAUAUGUAGCAAUUUUUUUUUCCCAAUACGUAUCUGAUACCUUUUGACUGAAAGUUCAAGAUUAAAAUCACUCAGCUUGAUCUGAAAUGGUUAGUAUUAUCAUCUUCUGCAGAAAUGGUUUUGCUCAUUGAGAAAAUGAUAUUCAAUAACACAAAUGCAAACUCAUUUGAAAAUUUUGCCAUUGAGAAAAUGAUAUUCAAUAACAGACAUGCAAACUCAUUUGAAAAUUUGCUUUUUUGCAAGAAUUAUAACCAUUUUCUAGUUUGUUAAUUGUUGCAUCUUCUGUGUUUCUAAGGGGUUUCUCAUGUUGCAGGCAAGUAAAGCAAGGAAAAGAUUAUCAAAGGGAAGAUCUUUAGAAGAAAAUAGAAUAGUUUGUGAGUGAGCAGAGUCAAUCAAUGAGCUGAUAUAUACAUUUUCCAGUUGAAAGAGAUAAUCAUUGCUUGAGAAAAUGAGCUGAUCAUAUGUCAAUUGAUGGCCAAGAAGGUUCCCCAAUCUGAUCUACGGAGCAUGGCAUUUCAUAAAACUCUGUUUCUAGAGAAAAAAAAAAAAAUUAACAGCUUCUUAGGAUUGGAGCAUCAGGUGACUUAGUAUUUCCAGUAUGAAUGAAUUAUAAGAUAGAUGAUGCUGCAAAAAUGAAUAGAGAUAAAAUUAAGCAAGAGAAAAUGUUUGAAUGUUAUUAUUGAAACCUUUUCCAGUGAUUGUAGAGAUAAUUUUCUUUGUAUUGAAACUUUCAGCAUCUGAAAGAUAAGGAAAAUAUUAAAAGAAAAAAGAAAAUUCUUAAAUCUUUUCCAUGUCACUCCAGCAAAGUUGAAUUGUGAUUCUAAACCCUACACCAAAGUGUAAGGUGGCCUGUGGCCUAUAGGUAAUACACAAUUUGACAACCCCAUAUAUUUAGUAAUCUAGGUGGAUGCCAUUAAUUUUUUUUAAAAAUUUUUGUUCAUUUUUAAUGCAAACAACGCCUCUUUCAUUGAGACAUUGGAAUAUAUAAAGAUUUGUAUACUGAUUUUGGACCAUAAUUCACAAAUAAUGCGGCGCAUAUCUUUCUUUCAGUACUUCUUCAGGAGGAUAAGAUACAGACAUUGUUGUCUUUUUACCUGAAGCAAGUGCAUGCGCAUGAAUUGUUGUUGUCUGUUAAUCUGCUGCCACUUUGCUGCCAAAAAACUUGAAAAAUAAACCAGGAAAAUUUUCAAUAAGCAAAGCCAAACAACUAACCCCUGUUUUAAGUUAUUUUCCUAAGAAAACUUUUAAACACUCAAAUAAAGCACAUAAGUAAAGUAUUUCUGUCACAUUAGCUUUCGAGUGAGGUUUGAUUUACAUUUAUAUCAUAUAUACCAAGUGUUUUUUAUUCUUUUAAUUAAUGUAUAUCACAGCUUGGAAAUUCUAAAAAUUAAUCAUGCUUAAUCUUGAGCAACAAUAUCUGUAAUCAUCAUACGAGGUCAAAAGUGAGGAAAAAAAAGGAAAAGAAAAAGGAAAGAGUUAGUUUUAUGUAUAAAAGUGAAAGGAUCUGUUAUAGACUAUUUCUGUUGCAUGGUUUUCGGAGGCAUAGCAUUGUCCACAGCAUUUGGGCUUUGCUUCUGAUUCAAUGGCAUUUAGAAUUUGGUUUCAUCUGAGAUCAUAUAUAGCUUGAUCCUGAUAUCUUCCAUUUUGGAGGGAUUCAGUUAAAUUGAAGAAGUUUGAUGUUCCAGUUCAAAUUGGGAUUGCUGCAGAUAAUAUAUAUAAUUCUGUAGAGGUUUUCUAAUUUUUAUUUUUAGUAAUGUAUUCAUGUCCUGUCAUUCUUCUUUCUGCUUAAAUCCAAUUGCCCAUGUUGGAAUUUCUUUUCAGCUUUUGUAUUCUUUUUCCUUUUUGUUCAAUAAUGCUAUAGACGAUGCUCUACCAUUUAAAAGAUAUAAAUAACAAAUUUUAUAAAUUUUUACUUCGUCAAGGUGUGAAACCUUAUAAAAUUUAUAAAUUUAACUUAUGAACAGAGAAGCAUAAAAAAAAUGUUUGGAGUUGCUUAAUACCAUAGAAACAAAAGCAGAAAGAUAUGUUCAAGAACAAAACCCAAAAUUUUCAUCAAGUGGAGGAUCGAUCAUGCCAGCAUAAUAACAUAAUUACAUAAUGCUCGAAGAGCAUGCAUGACUUUCUCAAAAAAUAAUAUCACUUAAAUGAUCAAAAAACAGAAAUAAUUAAUUGAUUAUCCAUAUAUAUAAACAAGCCUAGCUCUCAAUGUGAAAUAUAUUAAAACAGCAACUAUAAGAUUUUCGGUGAUGAUAUUUCCACCCCAUAAAUUUUAUAAACCCACCCAUUUUUUAAAAAAAUUAUUAUAAUAAGUUCACAUUAUUUUUUAAAACAUUUAAAUUAAGAAGAAAUUAAAAAAUUAAUCAAUUAAAUCUAUAUUCAUUUCUUCUUCUUUUUUUAACUAUGUUUCUUUAUUAUAUUUCAUCAAUAAGGUUGCUUUAACAUAAAUUAAUAUGACUAUUUUACCGUUAUAAGGUAAAAGUACCAAAAUAUCACUUUAAUAAAAUUUUAUGCAAUUUUUUUUAUAUUUUAAUGAUAUAUAAGUAAUUGUUAGUACAAUUAUUAUUACUCCACUAAACUAACAAAAUAUAAUUAGGAUAGGGAUGGCAAAAAUCCCCACGGGGACGGGUACCCUCGGGGAUUUUUCCCAUUCGGGGAGGGUACGGGGAUAAUUUUAUACCCAAUUUUUUAUUCGGGGAGGGGACGGGGAAAAUUUUUUACCCAAUUUUUUAUUCGGGGAGGGGAUGGGGAUGAGGUGGAAUCCCCAUCCCCUACCCAUUUCCCCAUUUUAAUUUUUAAUUUUAAUUUUAUUUUUAAAAUUACUAAUAAAUAAAUAACAAAAUUAUAAAUAUUGUUAAAAAUAAUAAAUAUCAAAAUAUUUAUAUUAUUAAAUGCUAAUAGGUAUCCUACAUUAGCUCGAAUUGCUAGAGAUAUUUUGGCAAUUCCAAUUAUAACAGUUGGUUCUGAAUCAACUUUUAGCACCGGUGGUAGAGUUGUGAGCUCACACCAUAACAAACUUCAUCCAAGCACAUUGGAGGUCUUAAUGUGCUGUCAAAGUUGGUUACGAGCUUACAAUAGUAGUAUGAGUUUAUUUUACAUUAUAAUUAUAUUAUAUAAUUAUUAAUAUUUGCACUUAUAAGUUACUUUACUUAUAUCAUUUUCAUUGUUUUAGGUUUGAAAUCUGAGGCUAUCUCUCAAUUUGCCACAUUUCUCGAGGAAGAAUAGGAGGAGCAGGACGAGCAGGAGGUAAAUAGUUUUAUUAAAAAUAUUAAUUAAGUAUCUACAUUUAUUUCAUUUAUUUUAUUGCCGAUAUAAAAAUAAUUUUUUUUCUUUUUAUUGUAGGAUUAUGAAGAUUGAGUCAUUGACAAAGAUAAUUAUUUUAAUAAUUUAUAUUUUGAAUGUGACUUUGUAAUGGAUCAAUAUUAAUGUAAGAUAUGUUUUGAACUUUAUUUUUAUCUGAAUUUUUUAUUUUAAUAUGAUUAAUUUAAAAUUGAAAAUAAAAAAAUUUAUUAGACUAUUAGUUAUUCGGGGACCGGGGACCCUCGGGGAUCCCCUGUUAUUAUUCGGGGAGGGGAUGGGGAUUCUUUCAAAUAAUUCUGACGGGGACGGGGAGGGGACGGGGACAUACCAAAAUAUCGGGGAUGGGUAUGGGGAGAUUGGUCCCCUCCCCUCCCCUCCCCAUUGCCAUCCCUAAAUUAGGACAUGUGGUGGAAUGAAAAUAAUUAAAUUUUAUAUAAAAACCUACGCAAUUAGUUACAAUAAAAAAUAAAUAAAUAAAUAUAUAUAUAUAGUAAUUUGGUUAUUUUAUAUUAUAAGGGUAAAAUAGUCAAAUUAAAUUUAUCUUGGGGCAACCUUCAAAAGUUAAAGAUUGUUAAAAGCUGAAGGCCAAAAAAAAAAUUGAUUUAAUUAAUUAAUUAUUCAAAGCUUUUAUUAAUUUGUAAUUUUAUAAAAUAAUGUAAAUUUAUUGUAAUUAUUUUAUGGAGGUGGAGGGGGUUUAUAAAAAUAGUGGGGUGGAAAUAUUCACACCCUUCAAUUAAUAGUUAGGAUAAUUUUUAGAUACUUCCCCUAAUGUUUGGCUUUGCUACACUUUUAGAUCAUUUUGAGAGAGAAUGUAUCUAUAUAUUGACAAGAGUGAUGAUACAACUACAAAUUUUUAUACAAACGUAUCUUGUAUAAAUUGAUUUGUCAUUAAUUCAUUAAUUGAAUAAAAAUAUAUCAUGUGGGCCAAAAGAUAUUUAAUUCAAAUAAUUUUAUUAUAUCACAUUAAUUUAUAUAAAAUAAAUUUGUAUAAAAAUUUAUAACUAUAUUAUUAUCCUAUUGAUAAUAUACACCUUGGCCGUGUAUAAGGGUUAGGCACUGAUUAAGUAGUUGCAGUUUUUUUUUUUUUAAAUCUUACAAAAGCUAUUAUACUGUAACUAAUAAGCUAGUGAAACCCGAGGGGAUAGUAACCCAUUUUCAUUGUCAAUGCCUAGCUUCAUUUCUUUUUUUUUCUUUUUUUUCUCACUUGAUGAGUGCUUAGCUUCAUGUCGAAGGUCGUGACACCAACUGAUUUUAGCAAAAGCAGAGAUACUUUGUGAUGCAGUAAGCUAACAAGUUUCUGAAAUCAACUAUGUUUUGAACCAAAUUUCGGCGACGACCAGCAGCUGAAAAGCCGGUGAUUAAAGGGCACAGUAGGUGCGUAAUUCUAUCAAAGCUUAAAACUGAAGUUAGGUUUUAUUAUUUUCUUGCAUUUUGUUGAAAUUGCUGUUAGUUAGGUGCUUUAUUCUUUGUUCCCAUUAAUUGAGAAAAAUGUUUAGGGUUUAUAGAAAUUGAAGUAACGACCGAAUAUAUUUGAAUUGAUUUUUGAGUUGAUAGUCACUCGAAAUGUUGUGUAAACCAUGAAAAUGAUUUAUUUUUUGAUGAUUUUGGACUGUGGGGUUUUUUUUUUUUUUGAAUUACAUGAGACUAAUGCUCAGAUUACAACUCAUAUUAUAUGAGAUUUACAACUGAUAUUUACAAUCAGACAAUUACUGGGCCUAAUUUACAUUAAUUCUUAUAUAGCAUUGCUCAGAUUUUACCCUCUCUAAUAUUCGAGGGGUGUCUACUCCACUCACAUUUCGAAAGGGAGAAGACUGACUUCACUUAAUAAUUAAGGAAGGAAAUAAACCCCUACAUGCGUCGCGGGGGCUCGAACCGCUGCGCUCACAGUUGUGAGUACAGGGUCCUGGCCACUGGGCUAAAGCCCAGUUGGUUGACUGUGGGUUUUGAAUGCUUACUGAAAUUUGCUUGAUAUGUUCUUUAAAUUGAGAAAAAUCCAAGCUUCUUCUAAGAAUACAGAGGUGUUGCUGAGAAAAUGCUUAUGGUGUUGUUUUGUUUCUUUUUUUAUUUUACAAGUGGGCAGUUCAUGAACCAGUACAGUUGAGAAAGUGUCUUUUGGGACAUUCAUUUUAAUACACAGAUUAACAGAUUUAAUUACAUAAACACAAGACUUCAUUUGUUUAUCCAAGUAGUACUUCUGAUGCUUUCGUAUAAUGAAUGCCAAAGAGAUGACAUUUGCAAAAAGGCCAUUUGAAUGUACCAAUUGCUAUCCUUGUAAACCUCUAUUGUGAUUCUGUUAUCAUUAUAUGUUUAAUGAUCUGAUGAUUUCGAGAUAUCAAGAUGAGUUUAUGGUAGUACAUGUUCAUUUAGCUACUUUAGGUACUAAUACAUGCAUUUAUUGUAUAAUGCCUACUUAGCAGCCAUAACUACACUCAUUGUUGAAGCUACAGCAACACAAAUGAGAAAAAACAUGCUGAGGAACAACAUUGUCUUUAUAUCAUUGCAUUUUACUCCAUUUUGUUGUGCUUUUUGCAUCAGUGACUUCAAAUCCAUCAUAUCCUUUUGCAUACUCAUCAGCAGUUCAUAAUUUGCUUGACAUGUUCCUAAACCAUCAAAUAUAACACCUCGAUCGAUAUCAUUUGAGGAUGGCAUCCAAAACUUGAAAUAGCCACAACCAUUUUUGCUAUCCAUACAGCAAUAACAUAGCUUGUUUGGGUUGUCAUCUGAUUGCGCUACCUUCAUAGUAGCUCUUUUGUAGCAUUUACAAAUCUUGUUUGAAAAUCGAAUGAAUUUAAAAUAUUAUCAUUUAUUGUUUUUUUGUAGCAUUUACUAAUCUUCUGAUAUUCAGUAUUGUUUUUAUAUAAAUUAAUUUAAAAUAUUAUCAUUUCUUUAUCUUAUUAUGUGAUUUUACACUAUCAAAUUAUUUGUUUUAAGGGGCAUUUUGGUCUUUUCAACACUCAUUUGAGUUUUGUCUUAUUAUAAGAAUAUGUAAUGUCAACAGCAAUUAUCAUAAGAGUAUAAUGGCCUUUUCACUGCUCUACAAACCCCCCCCCCCCCAACCCCGCGGCCAAAAACAAUUUCGCCCCAAAUAUAAAGAUCAUCUACCGUGUCCAAUAAUUUUGGCAUUCAUUGAAAUAUGUACUAAAGGGCAUUAUUGUAUAUUCACUCAACUACCUAACGAGUGCCUAACCUUUAUACAUGGCCGGGGAGUAUAUUGUCAAUAUAUGGAUACAUUCUCUCUAAGUGUAUCUAAGCCAAACCUCAGGGGAGGUUUCUAAAAGUUUUCCUAAAUAGUUAAUAAUUUUGUACAACAGAUUCUUGGAUACGCCUCAAGUUCACUGAUUGUACGUUAUGGCUGACUUUCAAGAAAUUAAAUUCUACAUUAUGACCCCCAGUGAAACAUUGUCGCCGAUAAAAUUAUAAAAUAUAUGUGUAAUAGUAGUCAAACCUAAACCUACGUCGUUUAGCAAUUUACAAAAUGAGAAAGACGACAAAAGCCAGGUGUUGGACCGGCAACGAGCCAACGAGAUAAGCUCAAGUUCACUGUGUUUUUUAUGAACCCUCUGAAGACCCGAAACUCUGGGUUUGUUUUUUACGUUCCCUAACUGUUUGACUGCAUUUUUAUUCUUUGCUACGUUCGUUAUGAACUGUUCAGGCUAAGUGCUCGACGAAAUCCCUAAGUGAGUAUGUAUAAUGGUUUGCUCUUGUAUUUAUUCUGUUAUAGAAGGUUUUGCUUUGGGUGGUUAAAUGGAGGAGACUAGACAUUGAACUUUAUGCACUUGUAUGUUUUCAAGUAAUUGGUUGUUCAGGGACAUGUACUUUGAAUUGCUUCAUUCAUCUUCAGAGAUAUCAUAACAUUUUUUGCUUAGUGUGAGUCUUAUUGUUGUUAAUUUGUCCAAAGUGAAGGCUUUUUUAACUUUUAUUUCUUUGAUUUAUUUAUUUAUUGUUGUGUCGAAGUUCUGUGUCUCAACUUUUAUUUGAUAAGUUCUUUCAGACUACUAAUUAGAAGAAAAAAAUGCUAGAGAGUGAGUAUGAGAGGGAAUGAUGUUUGGGCAAGGGGUGAUUGGUUCACUUGGCUCAUGAAGAACCCCAACUAUAAUGGCAUGUAUCAAUUUCGCAGCCUAAUUGGCAGGUAAGCUCAUUUCUUGAUUUCCUUCAAUUUUCACUUUCAUUUUACUGUUUUCAAGUAGCAGGUAAUCUAAAUAAAAGUAAAAUCAGUAGUGAUUUGCUUCAAGUGCAUGUGGAUAGUAUAUCACAUGUGAGAAGAUUGUAUUUGUUAUAUGAAAAUCCUUAAUAACUUUAAUUAAAAAAUAUAUUCUCAAACCUGAUCGUGGAAUGUACUAUUUCUUAAUAUCUGAGUUUGGAUCAACACAUUUUUUGCCAUGCAAUUUGACAAGUUGUCAUGUCCUCAUUCUGCGCUAUUAUAAGUUUUGCCAAUCUGCAUAGGUGUUUUUAUAGAUUGAGUUAAUCUAGUUUCGAGAACAUGCCUUACUAAAGGGCGUCGAGUUUCUAAAUGAAGGCAAGUGCAACUAUAAUUAUCUAUUUCAUAUCCUCCCUGUUACCUCUAAAUUCUUUCAAUAACUUGGGGACGUUAAUCCUAUUAACGACAGCCACAUAUUAUAAGUCGAGAAAACUGAUUUUUUGAUUAUUGAAAAAUUAAAUUUUUUGUAUUAUUCUGUUGAUGAUCUCAGUAACCUACCUGUUGCGGUUGUCUUGUAUGGAUCAUUGUUUCUCUUUUAAGCUGUUAUAUUGACAAUUUUUAGCUCUUAUUGCAGAUCUUAAAGUCAUUGCAAGCACAUGCUCCAUUGAUCUCCAUAAAUUCAGAUACAUAUGUAUAGUUAGCUAUUCAAACAACCACACGGGUAUUCAACUUCAAUAUUCAGAAACAUGGCUGAAGUGAAGCUUCAUGGGGUAUGGGCGAGUACAUUUUGUUACAGAGUGAUAUGGGCUCUGAAAUUGAAAGGCAUAGCAUAUGAUUACAUUGAAGAAGAUCUCUCUAACAAAAGUGCUUUGCUUUUGAAGUAUAAUCCAGUUCACAAGAAGGUCCCAGUGCUUGUUCAUGACGAAAAAUCCGUUUGCGAGUCCAUUGUUAUCCUUGAAUACAUUGAAGAGAUGUGGCCAUACAAUCCCUCCUUGAUGCCAAGUGAUUAUCCUAUGAUAGAGCUCUGGCUCAUUUCUGGAUUAAAUUUGCCGAAGACAGGGUUCGCUUCAGAACUCUAGCUAAUGCGUUUAUAAGUUCAUUAUUUUCAUGUUUAUUUCUUAUUAGAGAAAAUGAUCAGUAUCCCCCAUUGUGUGUCAAAAUUAAUCAUUUCUUCUUUUAUGUUUUAAAACCUAUCAAAAUCUCCAUUGUUGUUAAAAAAAUUCUGUUAACUUUCAACUUUUUGUGUCUUUUACUAAUUUACCUCUGGAAAAAUUUUUAUUAUUAAGAAGUUGAAAGUUUAUUAGAAUUUUUUUAAUGGCAGGGGAAAUUUUGAUGGCUGUUGAAAUAUGAGGGAGAAAGGAAUUGAUUUACCAAAACAGCAUUGGGGUUUUGUUGUUCAUUUACCCUCUGUCAUUCGAUGUAGUGGUUAACCUUUGGUAUAAGGAUGCUUGACAAGGGUAUUUAGGUCCAAGUCUUUUAGCUCAUAUGUAUUAUUAAUCAUGUGGUGAUAUUUUGGCAGGGAGCUACUGUUUGGAAAAAGUUUCGUAGCGUACAAGAUCAAGAGAAUACAAUGAAAGAAAUCUUGGAAAUGCUAAAAACCGUUGAAGAACAUGGCUUAGGAGAGAAGAAAUUUUUUCAUGGAGACAAGAUUGGCUUAGUGGACAUAGCAUUUGCUUCUAUUGUUUAUUGGUUGCAAAUAAUUGAAGAUGUAGCAAGAGUGAAACUAUUUGAAUCUCACAAAUUCACUAGCUUACACGGCUGGUUUGAAAAUUUUAAAAGAGUCCGAGAAAUUGAAGAGAACCUUCCUAAUCGGGAUGAACUGUUGGUUUUUUUCAAACGUCGCCGUGAAAAGUUGGUGGCCUCAUCCUCAUUGCAUUAGCACAAAAUUUGUUCAUGCAAUUGUAUUGUUGUCAAGAGGCCGCUCUUUGCUUAGUUUUUUAUUGUCUUUUGUGCUCAAUUGGGAGGCCGCCGGUUUGCUGGGUACUUUCAUAUGGAUUUGAGUAAUAAAAGGGACUUGACUUUAUAUUUAUGAAUUAUUGCAUGUAUUUCGUUAAUUAUUAAUGGACUACUAGCGGUUAUGUAUUGUUUGGAAGGAAGUUUGAAUGCUACGAUGUACUAAUGACUUAAUGACAUGUGUCAAAAAAAAUCAGUUAAGUAAAGUCAACUCGAUUGAACGAAUGGUAAUAUAGCUCUCAAAAGUUAGAAAUAAGCUUCCUAUGGAAAAAGAUAGUUUCGGUAAUAUGUCUAACAUUAAAGGGUAUUAUCGAAACUUAAAUUUUAAUGGUUAGACCCAGUAUGUGAACAGUGUGCCAUUAUUUUUAGGGUUAUAUUUUGCUAAGAAUAACGAGCCAAUAGAACUUUAGAGAUUUUUUUCUAGAUCUAAUUUGUUGAGAGACUUCUUCAUCUUCUUCAUCCUCUAUUUUUAGGGUUUCUUUCUCCAUUUUAACACCACCAUGGAAAAUCUUAACCAUCUCAUCUCCAAAAGAAACCUCUUCCCUUACUCUUUUCUUGGAAAACUCUCUAAUUUGGGCCAGGCACCUAAAAUCUUGUGUGUUCUUUAUUGUUUAUGCUUAUUUUCUAUUUAUUAGGAUGAUGAUAAUGCUCAGAUCGUAUUUCAUAUAUGAGCUCACUAGAGGUAUACCACGAGCUCUAUUGGGUUCCCCAAAUAAGCUCUCUAGUUAAAGCUAUCCUUAAAUUCGCUAGAGCUACUCCCUAAACUCUCUUGACCUCCGCAAAUCAACUCUUGAAACUAAAUCCCAUGAGCUCCACAAAGCUUACCUCCCAACAGCAGAACAUCAAGCUUAUCUCAAUUCAUCUUCCAGAUCACCUCAGUUAUUUCUUUUGUCCCUAACAGUAGAAAAACACACUUAGAUUUUUACUAGCCCAAUCUCACCUCAAAUAUAAAUUUAUUUAUUUAAAUUGUCUUUGACCUAGAUCUAGUGAGGACAAUGAUUCAAAUCAGAUCCUAGAGGAAAUCCGGUCAAAACAUGUAUCUAUGUAUAAUAUUUAACAUCAUCCUAACGAUAAAUCCGAAUGCACUUGGAUUUGUUCUUAAUAGUACACAAAAGUAGAAAAAGCAUAGCAAGCAACACUUGCACACACGAGGCUCAAUACAAGUACGAACGUCACAAUUCCAAGCAACAAACAAUGAUCCAUCAGUACUAAUUUUUUCUGCAAGCCACCAAAUUGGAAAAUACCGCCAAGUAAUUAAUUAACCACUGUGACUUGCCAGCUUAAGCUAAUCCAAUGCUGAGAGUUCAUUAUUCUUCAAGGAUUGGUUAUUGUAAAUGUCUUUUAGAGUAAUUUCAGGAUAGAGCGGAGGAUUUACUUCUGAUAGCAACUCUUUAAUUGGACCAUAUCGUCUCGAGCAACUAUUAUUCAUGAAAACACUUCCGAUUGAAAUUCUGGAGCCUUCCUUAUUUGAUAACACUCUAUGAUAGGCACUCUUGAACUUAUCGUUGGUAAUCAGCUGCAUGAACACAAACAUGUUGGUAAUCAGCUGCAUAAACACACACUUCAUAUAAACGAUAAUUAAGUUAUCUGAUAGAGAUUCAUGCUCAGGUGUAGAUGUUCACAUGAAAUUUUGUGAGGACGAUUCUUUCACAGUAUUGUGAAAGUGUGUGUCCGCACAAGAUUUAGUGCGAAUGUCGCACCAGAGAAUUUUUGAUAGGUCCCGAUCAAAUACAGAAAAGCAAUGCCUGAUAUUUGUUCAGUUUAUGGUAUGAACAACCAGUAUUUGUUUAACUAAUUUAUUUAUUUUUUUUUGUUUAACUAAUUUUUUUUUUUGUUUAUUGAUAAUUCUUCUCCUUUUAUUCGCAGCGGAGAACUAAUUUAUAGUAGCUAACCUUACAAGUCUUUGAUUCCUAGCCAACAAUAUCAGCUAGAUUAUAGUAAAAUAAAACAAGAAGAAAUAUUUAAAGAUAACUUAGAGACCGAAUCCAAAUCAAACAUGACCACCACGCUUUGAUUCUCUUCCAAACAGGAAACGAAAAUUUUGACGUGGUAAUUCUCCUGCUCUCGUUUUGACACUCAAUAAACUCAUCCUGCACGUGAAACACGGUCUGCAUGAAGCCAUGCAUGGCUUGCAUGAGCACAGCUUGGUUCCUUAUCAAUACCCCCUCGUGGAAGAGGACCCUUGUCCUCAAGGGUCAGCAAAGGAAUUAUUGUUGUAGCAAUGCCGUAUCUUCCCAAGUUGUUCUCUUUUGUUUUCUUCACCAUGUAGUUCCUCUGCAACUUCUUCACAAGUGAUCUCGUUGGUGUCGUUGUAGCUCUCGAGAAGUAGAAGUUGAGGCCCUUGACAUUUAUGACCCGCAGUGAAUCGUUCGUUGCAAGUGAAACACAGUCCCUGAGCUCGUCGUCGUUGCAUUUCAUCCCACGGUAAUCUUUUGACAGGCACGGUUGGUGAUGCUUGAGUAGGUGGCAAUGUUGGCGGUGUGCGACUGGAGGGUGGCUGGAAUAAUCUCCGUUGGUGUGUUAUCUGGUCAUCUUUCAUACGAGCAAGGCUGAUGGCUUCCUUUAACGUACGUGGCCUGAACAUCCGUAUAUCCUCUGCAAUCUCCGGUUUCAAUCCUCCCAUGAAAGUUCCUACCAACGCUUUCUGUGACCACCCAUGAACUCGGUUUCCCAACCUCUCGAAUUCCUUCUGGUAUUCUCGCAGAGAACGUGUUUGUUCGACCCGAGACAGUGCUUCAUCAAAGUCUUCACAAUCCGUUGGUCCGAAGCGCGCCCAAAGCUCGUCAACAAAUGUUUCCCACGUAACCGGUUGGCCUUCUUCUUGGUAAGCCUUGCGCAUCCACUGCCACCAUUGAUUUGCUUCGCCCUCCAAGUGAUAUGACGCUACGACUACUUUCUGCUCAUCUGUGGUUUCUUGGUACUCAAAAUACUGCGUUACCCGAUUGAACCACUCCGUUGGGUCGUCGCCGGCAUAGCGGGGAAACUCCAACUUAGCAAUUCUUGUCGGCAACGGUGGUCGACGUCCUUCACUUUCCUCACGGAAUGGUCGUGAAGAUCCAAUGUGCUCGUUAGUGCCGCGACUGGCAGUGCCUCUGGUUGCACUAAAAGAUUCUGCCAAUUUGCUCAGAGUGUCCUCCAGACGCUGCAACUUGUCAUUGAUCCCAAUUUCUAUUUGUUCCAUCUUGUUCUGUAAGUUCCCGAUAUCAGCUUCAAUUCGUUCGAUGCGUUCCUUGUUGGUUGCCAUUAAUAGCUAGCUCUGAUACCAAUUGAUAGGUCCCAGUCAGAUGCACGCUAACAAUGACUAAAAAAGAUGAUAAUGUUGUUCUGCUUUUGGUGAGAACGGCUAGAGAUAAUUUAGUUUGAUAAUUCUUCUCCUUUUAUUCGCAGCGGAGAACUAAUUUAUAGUAGCUAACCUUACAAGUCUUUGAUUCCUAGCCAACAAUAUCAGCUAGAUUAUAGUAAAAUAAAACAAGAAGAAAUAUUUAAAGAUAACUUAGAGACCGAAUCCAAAUCAAACAUGACCACCACGCUUUGAUUCUCUUCCAAACAGGAAACGAAAAUUUUGACGUGGUAAUUCUCCUGCUCUCGUUUUGACACUCAAUAAACUCAUCCUGCACGUGAAACACGGUCUGCAUGAAGCCAUGCAUGGCUUGCAUGAGCAACUUGCAUGAGCACAGCUUGGUUCCUUAUCAAUUUUAAAUUCGAUGGAUAGUAUUUCUUAAUAAGUUAUCUAACACACACUUGCCUGCAUCAUGUAGCCUAAGUUUACAACUAGAGCUCCCGGAACAGGGGCAAUGUCAAACCACUGAUCUUCGUGAAAGACUUGGAGGCCACCAAUUUGAUCUUGUAUGAGCACAGUGACAAAUCCAGGGUCAGAAUGUGUUGCUAUGCCGAUGGACAAUUCUGGUUGAGGGCAUUCAGGGUAGUAACUAUUCCCAAUAGUCAUUUCCUCUACACAACCUAUGUCUUUCAGGUAAUUGGGGUCAAGCCCUAAAGCUUCGGAUAAAAGUUCAAACAGAGUGUCCCCUGUUUUCCACAUUAGGUUGUUGUAUGUGAUCAUUAUCUCUCUGCAAAUUAAUAAAGACAAAAAAUAAUCACUACUAAAAGAAAGGGAGAAUGACAUUUCGACUUUUAGAAAUUAUUUUUUUAUUGGGUUAACAUCUAGAUGAAAUGAGAGUAAUAAAACUUAUUAGGAACCCAAGUGAUGCAAAAAGUUCUAAGAAAGAGGCAGGUGUUAUCCACUGUAAAAGAAAUAAAAUCUAUUGGUCAUCGUCCACAUACCUGCAAGCUUCAGGCAAAUCUUCAGGAUUUGAAAAAUAGCGACCCAUAACACAACUCAAAGUAUCUUUCCAAAAGAGAGUCGGUGCACUAUACAAAUUUAAAUUUGAACAAUAUUUAAUUUUUUUGGAGUAAUCACGAGAAUAAUAUUUCUGCUUAACCUCAACAUCUUGUUCAAAAAACCUACGGAUCCCAUCAAUGGCUUGAUCCAAAAUGCUUGUUGGGAUUCCAUGAUUGAUCACUUGAAAGAAACCCCACUCCUCACAAGCACUUCUAAUUUGGUCAAUUACCUGAGAACGCAAGCUUGAAUCCUUGUGUAUUCUUUGACGGUCUAUCAUUGGGAUGCUGAUUUUGGGGUCCCUGCAGAUUGGCUUAUCAUCAAACUUAUGUUUAGUGUGAUGAUCUUGAAUGAAGAUCUGUGGAAUGGUUGUGAUCCCAGCAUCUACGAGUCCCUUAACGCCAGCUUUCGUGUCAUCAAAAGCUUUCAACUCGCUAACUCUGUCACAAGUAAUGCUUCCCAUUGCUUGGUGAAUUAUCUUUUACUCGGUGAAUUAUGAAGUACAUAUGCUGACUUGCUGAUGAUUGCUUUUGGGAGAUACCGUUUAUAUGAUUUCUAGCUUGCCACGUGCAACAUGUUGAAAUAUAACGUCACCAUGAUGAUAUGGAAAUUUGUAAAUUUGAUUCUGCAUUAUUUAUCAUGAUUAAAUUAAUUAUAAAUUAUCAAUAACAGUGAAUUCCGGGGACCACCAACCAGUGGGUGGCACAGCACAAUAAUAGACUGGGCUGUGGCUUUGUUUUAUGUGGACAAAAUUUCAAUUAGCAUAUUGCUGCUUGAUAGUUAACGUUUCACAUUCUCCAUUUGGACAUGCUAUUAUGGAUUCACAGUGUUGCUUAAAAGAUAGAUCUUAAAUGAAAAGAAAGCUUUAAUGGUGAAAUAAAUAUUAAAAAAAAUGAUAAAGAGACUAAAUGUUAACCUAAUGUUAACAAAAAUAAUGGUAAAAUAAACCUGUUUUAUCAUGUUAAUAAUAGUGGUACAUAUUUAACUUUAAUAAAUUUGGCCAUUUCGAUUUUUAAUUUGGCACCUUCCCUGCUCAGUCAAGAAAAAGAAUACUAUAAAAAUUAAAAUAGAAAAUUUGGCAAGGACAUAACUGCAGAAGUGUUAUAUAUCAAAGCAAUGUCAAAGUUAUAAUACUUCCCUUAUUAAUGAGAAGAGCACUAGCAUAUACAAGAUCGACAAUCACUUAAAUUAAGCCUUAAUAAUACUAAACUACAUACAUGGGAUCUAAUGCGUACAAGCAAUGCUUUCUGGUCACAGCAGCUUUAGGCUUUCAGCUACAGUAUAAAGUGAAACUGUCGCUUGAAAAUAAAAUUCAUGUUCGGCAGCCUCUUUCUAUCCGAGCUCCAUUUUUAUAACCAGGCAGCUAAAUAAGAUGAUUUAGAUGGCAACGGCGUCUGUAGUAUUAAUUGUUUUUCUGUAGUCCCUCAUUAUCUACUUUCUGAUCGCUUACUGUGUAGAGAAUCGACAAGAGCAAAUUGUAGCACACGUUCACAGCACUAAUAACUGUUAAACUCUUAUAGUACUUAUCAAGCCUACUACCAUCCAAGGUUUUAGCCAAGUCGCCUUUGUUUGCCAAAAUGAAAAAGAUGUUAAAAAUGCUUCCAAUUCCGACGAAAAAAGAACUUAUUGCUGAUACAUGGUACUCCAUCCGUUCAGGAAAAUGAGAGCUCGAGUAUUCAUCACAUCCAUGCAAAGCAAGCCCUUCCAUAAGACCCAAUAGACAGAAUUGUGGAACAAGCCAAAACAUGCUCAUAUUUUCCAAUUGUUUGAGCUUUUCCAACCUGCGAACCUCAACCUGCCAUGCCACUGCGCAGCAAACUGUAGUCAUCAUCAUUCCAAUGAAUGUUCUUAACACUUGAGCUUGUCUCUUUUUAUUUUUUGGAACAAAAUUGGAAAUUAAUUGUUUUGACAGACAAGAGAUCGUUGCACGAAUUAUCCCUUUACAAUUGUUUCAUUAUCACGACCCAAAUGAAAUGGCACUUGAGCAAAUGUACGAUCAAACAUGCUAAAAUCAAAUACCAAAAAAUAAAAUUGGAAUUGGAAGAGUAAAUAGCAAAAGAUUGGAUGAAAAUUGAAUACCAUAACAUAAAAAAAUUAAAAUAAAUUGAAAUGACAAGAGUUAAUUAAGAGCAAAAAGAUGCUUGACUUACCAAGAGCAAGGACCAAGCAAAUGGUGUUACAUUCGGGCUUGAUGGUGAACUGGUUGGAGAUGGGUACGAAUGUGAUCUCGUUGAGAUUUGGAGAAGAAAACGGGGAAAUAGAUGCAAUAUCUUUGUUACUGUUUUUUGUUUUAACUUUAUUUUACUGUUGAUCACGUGCAACUCAUUAAAAUUUCUAAACGCAGUUAUUAUUGUCGUUUCGGUGUUCUCGGGCUAUCACAUGCUCGGUACGUCUAUCACUAAGUCUACUCUUAAUAAAUUUGGCCACUUAGGUUUUUAAUUUUGGCUCCUUCCCUACUCAAUCGAGAAAAAGAAUGUUUUUCUAGAUAAAAAUUAAAAUAGAAAAUUCAGCAAGGACAUAACUGCGGAGAUGUUUGAUCCUGGAUUUAUAUAUCAAAGCAACAUCAAAAUUAUAAUACUUCCUUGUUACCGAGAAGAGAUAUAUUCAAUAGCACCAGCCUAAAUAAAGCCUAAACAGUACUAAACUACCUACAUGGAAUCUAAUGCGUACAUGCAAUGCUUUCUAAAGUGAAACUGUCGCUUGAAAAUAGAAUUCAUGUUCAGCAGACUCUCUCUAUCCGAGCUCCAAUUUUAUAACGAGGCAGCUAAAUAAGAUGAUUUAGAUGGCAUCGCUCCCUAUAGUAUCGUUUGUCUGUAGUCCCUCAUUAUCUACGAUCUGAACGCUCCCUAUAGUAUUGUUUGUCUGUAGUCCCUCAUUAUCUACGCUCUGAUCGCUCGCUAUAGUAUUGUUUGUCUGUAGUCCCUCAUUAUCUACGCUCUGAUCGCUUCCUAUAGUAUUGUUUGUCUGUAGUCCCUCACUAUCUACUUUCUGAUCGCUUACUAUGUAGAGAAUCGACAAGAGCAAAUUGUAGCACACGUUUACAGCACUAAUAACUGUUAAACUCUUAUAGUACUUAUCAAGCCUACUACCAUCAAGGUUUAGCCAAGUCGCCUUUGUUUGCCAAAAUGAAAAGAUGUUAAAAAUGCUUCCAAUUCCGACGAAAAAAGAACUUAUUGCUGAUACAUGGUACUCCAUCCGUUCAGGAAAAUGAGAGCUCGAGUAUUCAUCACAUCCAUGCAAAGCAAGCCCUUCCAUAAGACCCAAUAGACAGAAUUGUGGAACAAGCCAAAACAUGCUCAUAUUUUCCGAUUGUUUGCGCUUUUCCAACCUGCGAACCUCAACCCGCCAUGCCACUACACAGCAAACUGUAGACAUCACCGUUCCAAUGAAUGUUCUCAAUACUUGAGCUUGUCUCUGCUUCGUUUCCGGAACAAAUUUGGAAAUUAAUUUUUUCGACAGAUAAGAGAUCGUCGCACGAAUUAUGGCUUCAAAAGUAAGUAGAAAGAUUAAGUAACGUUGAGAAAUCAUUCUGGCUCCCUGCUCAGGAAAAAAUGUAUUUCCCGCUGACAGAACCAAUCCAAACACAAUGAAGCUAGACCACAAUGGCAACAAUUUAAGAAGAUAUUUUGACUCCCUGACCUGGGCCACAGUGCAAAGUGUGCCUGCCUCUUCUUGUUCUUUAGAAGUACUUGAUGUCUCUAUAAUUGCCGCUUUGUCUAUCCAUCUGCAAUUCAAACAAUUAAUUUAUUGGCAAUUUUUUUAAGGAAAAUAGGAAGCGACAGCUCAUGGUUUGGCAAAAUGAUCACAUAGACUCUUUUAUAAAUACACCUUUUUGGACAAAUCUUGGAGGUCAGUGUGACCAUUUCUGAAUACAAAAGGGUAUCAGUGUGUCCAUAAAAAGGUCUAUGUAAUUGUUACUAAAAAAAGAGGGUCUCCCCGACAAUUUUGCCAGACCACGAGCCGGGUGUGGGUUUAUACAUGUUAGGUAUAUACCUGAGUAAUUUGAUUCUGGGUGACAAGUGUAAUACGUUUCCCUCAUCAUUACUGAAGAACUGCUCCGGAGAAAGAGGAUAAUUGAGAUGCUUUUUCUUCAGGGAGGUUUUAACGACACGGAUUAUAGCAAAUCGGUCAACAGGAGGUAUUUGUCUACUAUGAUAAAAGGGAAUACCCAACAACAACAGGAUCAAACUGCCCCCCAUAAACAACAAUGUGAACUUGAAAGUAUUCUCCCAUGUUUCAAUAUUAUUUGCAUGGAAUGCUGCAGCUACACCGCAGCACCAGGCAAACCGCCACCACACUCUUUUCUGAGCCAUUACUUGAUUCUCAUUUGUAUUUUCUGUGCUCCCUUCUUCACCAUGUUCUCUUAAUUGAUCGGCAAGAAAUGGUCCCAAAAGAGGCGCCGCUCCAACUUCACCCACUGCUAACAGGACAAUUCCUAUCAUGUUGAGUAGCUCAAACUUGGUUUUUGAAAAUUUUCUGGACGCUGUAUAGAACAAUAGCCCCAAUGCCUGAAACGAAAAUUGUUGGAACUAAUUGUAUAGCAUAACAUUAUGAUCCUAAAAAUGCUUUGUUUAAUCAUUAUUAUAAUCAGGAGUGCAGCCAAAAUGAAUACAUGCCACAUCAAUUAUAGCUUAACUAUUGGGAUCUUUAGCAUUAUUUUCAUAGGGGUAAGGCUCCUAAUAUCCUCUUAUUACGUAUAUUUUUCUCUAUAUUCUGUGAAAUUUAACAUAUGCUGCAAAAUAAUAAUUUCUAAAUUUAGCCUAAAGUACUACAAAAUCCAGGGUCCACCCCUGGAUAUAUAUUUCUUGCAGAUGAUAGACAUAUGUUUUAAUUUAGCAAAUUUAAAACAUAUUUACUCACAAGGAUGUAGGAGACAGUUGAAAAUAUGAGGAUUCUGAGAGGACGGAUGGCAUAACACGAAAUCCAGGCGGCAACAACCGCAAGAGUUGCUAAUAUUCCAUCCUGAAUACUCGUAAAUAUUGCAGCUUUCAGAAGUGUGAAUAGUUCUGAAUAUUCGGAGUCGGAGAAGUAAGUUAUCAAGACGCCCACUACAGCCAAGUCUACCAGUUUGCGGCUUAUCAACAAACCUGGACUCAAAAUAUAAUCAUUAGAAGAAAUGUUCGUGCUCACUGAAAAAAGCUUACACAUGAAAACUACAAGAACAACAUAAAAACUGUUGCCAUGUUUUUAUUAUUUAGCCCAACUUAGUCUAAGAUAUUAAGUACACCCUCUUAACUAAAUAAAUACAUUUUUAAAAGAUAUGAUUUCCUAAGGCGCCUCAAGCAAAAUUACCUGACAUAAAUGCAGCAGCCUUACAAAAACAGACGUAAUAUCGUACCCAAGUUAUGAACCUCUUUUUAAGCUUCAACAACUGAGAAAAUGGAAACAUUGUAGUUUCUGAAACUGCUUCUUUUAUCUGCAAAUACUUCUACUUGUGAGCUGUGAAUCCCGAGACGAUGAAGAUUUUGUAAUUAUACCAAAGUCUUCGCUAGUCUUCUAAAAAGUUAGUUUAUUCAAAUUAAAAAAUAAUAAGUCGCACUUCAAGACCAGCUAUUGGUCACAUAAGUCAAAAUAAUGACUUACUGUACAGCUCAAUAAUUUUAGGUGGUAUGAAACACGUUUGAUGAGACGGUCAUAAUUACACUGUACCAUGAAUGAUCCUUAUUGAGUAUAUAACCCCUUUCUUUUUUCAAACAAGAUUUACGCUUUAAUUUUGGGAGGUUUGCUAAGUUCUUUCUUUUUGUAAUGGUUAAGGAGACUGACAAUUUUCUAUUGAAGUUAUUUAUACAUGUAUUUCACUUUUAGAUAAAUAAUGUUGUACAAACUAAUGUGAUAAUUUUUUAGAAAAAAGUAUAUGUAUAUCCUUAAGAUUUUAAAAAAUGGUCAUAUACACUCUGAGUUUUCAAUAAGGGACACCAAAAUACUUUUUUACUAUAGUAUCCUUAAUAGAUAGUAACAAAAAAUAUUGACUAAAUAUUUUAAUAAAUAUAAAUAAAAUUUAAAUAGUUUAAUUUGUCUAGUAGACUAAUAACAUUAGAAUGUUUCUUAAUAUAUAAAAUAAUUUUUAAAAUAUAAAUUAUUAUAUUUAUUUUAUUAAUAUAUUUUUACUUAUUAUAAAAAUUUUAAAUAAAUAUUUAGGUUAGAUUUUAAAUUUAAUAAAAUACAUGUCAUGUACUAAUAAUAUUAAAAUUAUUUUAUAUAAUAUUAAAAAUAAUUUAAAUUUUUAAAAUUUUAUUUAAUAUUAUGUUUCAAUUUAUUUUGAAAUUUAAUUUAUUUUGAAAUUUAGUUUAAUAUAAUUUAAUGUUGUAAAGUAUUAAAAUAUUUUAAAAAUAUUGAAAUUAUUUUAAAAUGUAUAUAUUGUUACAUUUAUUUUAAUAUUAUACUUCUAUUUAUUAUAAAAUAUUAAAAAUAACAUUUUAGUCAAAAGGGAGUUUUGGUGUCUCUUACUGAAAAAAUGGAAUGUACAUAACCAUUUUUUUGAAUUUUCAAGGGUGUACAAGUCAUUUUUCCUACUUUUUUUAUAAUCAGUUGAAUUAAAAAAAGUCAUGUGGCCACAUAUAUUAUUUCUUAUUUAUAUUUUCAAUCAGCAAAUCAUAAUGUGUCAUAUCUGUUUGUAUACGCAUUUAUGAACAUAAAAAAGUAAGGUUAGGCACUAGUCGGGUUGGAAAUCAACCCAUCCAACCCAUGUAUAGUGCUAAUUGGGUGAGUUGGACUUAUCUCGAGACCCAUUUUCUGUCUUUGAAAUAUCAAUAAGAAAUUAAAAUAAUUAAAAAAUAAUUUAAUAAAAACAACUAAAAAUAGAAUACAAAAUUACAAAUAAUAACUAUCCCUCAAACUUCAUUGUUAAUAAAAAAAUUAUUUGUAUAGGAUACUAAUCACACCAUAAAAAGUAAUAGGGUGAAUUCAAGAGUUGGGUUUGAAAAUUUUCAACACCUAGGAAAUAUAGUGCAUUUUCUCCACCCCUAAGAAAUUAGGGGUUGGCUUUCUACUUGAUUUUAAGUAGAGAAAAUGAUCAAAACUACCUUAUUGUUUGUUAAAAUUAUAGGUUGAAUUUAAGAGUUGGGUUUGAAAGAUGCAAUGUGUUCAUAUAUAUGGAAUGUGCUUUCUUUAUAGUGAUUUAUGGGAUGUGCUUUCUUUAUAGUGAUUUAUGGAAUGUGCUUUCUUUAGCACUUAGCCGAAAGAUUCAAAUUUCCAUUAAUAAGACGGUUAAUGAUGAUUUCAAAGAGCCAAAAAGAUUUCAAGAAAAUACAUGUUUUCAACUUUGUGUACAAAUUAAUUACGUCUGUAUUUGGAUGGUUAAUGUAAACUAGUCAGAUAAUUAACCACGCAUUAAUUAAUCAAAUUUUUAUUAUUUAAUAUCUUUGCAUCGGAUGAUCAUUGAUCAAUUAACAAUAUAUUUUCCUUUUGUGCAUGUAUCCACAUUGGACGUCAAUAUAGUAAUUUGUUAUGAAAAAAAAAUCAAUCAAAAUUAUUUUUAAUAUUUUUAAUAUUUUUAAUUUUCUAUCUAACUUAGUGCUUGUUUAGUAUAAAAUAUCUAACGCCCAGCAGUAGGAUAACUCCAACAAUUCCCCUCACACAUCGGACCUUGGGUCAGAAGAUAGACACUCGUUCUCUUUAUUAGAUUGUUGGGUUGAGAUUGUUGAUGAAUGUGGACUCUGAUACUAGUGUUAGGUAGUCUUAAACUUCUCUCAACCCCAAAAGUUAGUUUCAGGGGUGAGAUUUUCCUGACAUUUAUAAAAUCACCAAUAGUCCUUUUCACAAUCCAUGUGGGACAACUUCGAUAGUUUGAUUGUAUUUUGAGUAUAACUUUUGAAGAUUAAAUAAAUUAUUUUGCUUCUAUUAGUAAAACCUUAAAAAUUAGAUUUUUGAGAGUGAUGGUCAUAGUACUUAAAGAAUAAAUUGUGUAGAAUAACGUUUUAUAUAUUAAAUGAUCUUAUUCCAUUCUUUUUAUUUUUUAACCUAACAAAAACCUAGUCCCUUCCCCACCCAUUUGAGUAAGUUGCGAAUCUCAGAUCCCUUGCUUUCAACCAGAUGAUACCCAUAAAUUAGAUCAAAUCCUUUUCAUAAUAUCACUUGCCGCAAUAGUAAAAUUAAACAAAGCAAAAGUACUCUUUUUAACACCAAUACAAAAACAAAACAAGCAUAAAGCAAGACACAAAAUAUUAAAAUAAAAAUCAUAAUAUUGCAUAUCUCCACAUGCCACCAACAUUUUCCAUCAACUGUUUGAAAGAGAUCCUCCAUCUCAUCCUGCUUUGGAAGCCAUUCUAAGGAGACUUGCUUGAAAUUUUUAAACCACUCGUGUGUAAGCUAGGGAAUUUUUAAGAUUCAAAUAGCUUCACUCCCUCUAUGGCUCCAUUUUGUAUAACUUUUUAAAUAGAGUUGAUUUAAAUAGGCAUUCAAUUAGUAGAGUUUUUACAAAUAGAUCUUUUACCCAAAAAAAAAAAUUGUUUAGUUCAUUAGUUGUCCAAAGAGAUUUUAUUAAAAAUUAAAAAUUUAUUUUAAUGUACAAAUUUUCUAAGUUAUGUUGUGAAAUGGAUACGAAUAAAAUAAGAAUAUAAAAUAAAUAACGGGCAUAUUAGAUAAUUUAAUAAUUUAAAAAAGUUUUCUAAUCUCUACUCUAAAAAAUUCAAAAUUCGAGUUUUUACUAAUAGAGUCAAAAUAAUUUAUUUAAUCCCAAAAACUAAAUUCAAAAUAAAACCAAAGAACAACCAAAAUUUUGAAAGAAUUUUUAAAAUUAAAUAAAUAUAUAUGACCAUUAAAUAAGCUAAUACUAAACAAGCACUAUACCUUUGAAGGACUUGCAACCCAUCCAAACGCUAGGUCCACUAAGCCAAUAUUGUUCUUGUCCAGUGCUAAAAAAGCAUUUUUCCAAACAGCUCCACCCUGCCCCAAUAUAUAUAAAUAAUAUGGAUAAGAUUCUCUCUUUCUUUCUUUUUUUUUUCCCCCUCUCAUAUUCUUCAACAAUGUUGAAUUAACAAGUGAUCCUAUUUUUAAUUUAAAAAAGGAGUCAUGUUUUUAUUAAUUUUCAAAUUACAUCUAUGUUUUGAUUAAUUAAAAAGGCCAGCUAAUGAGAUCAUUAAUUUGGUCAACUACUCAGAUAACCGUGCAUCAAUUAUACAAUAGGCAUUUCUUUCCCAAAUUAAUAUAUUUGCGUCAUGCAUGACGAUCAUGGAUCACUUGUAUUAGAGAGCUUAGGUGCCCAGCGAGUAAGUUGCAAGCUGCUAUCUUUGGCCAUACCUUUGAAGCACAAAUACUUCUUUUUAUUCUUGUUUGAUAGUACGGUUAAAAUCAAGGCAUCAAUCAGGAAGGUGCGCAGCAAGUCAGGUUGCCCAGCCGCUGUCUUUGACUGUACCUUUGAAGCACAAGUACUUCUUUUCAUUCUUGUUUGAUAGCACGGUUAAAAUCAAGGCAUCAAUCAGGUGGGUGCCCAGCAAGUUAGGUUGCCGAGCUGCUGUCUUUGACUAUACUAAUGGUUGUCGAAGCCAACAAAAAUAAAUACUUACCCUAAAUAAAUUGUGUAUAGUGAUUGAGCAGGGUCGUGUCCACAGAAAUCGGUAAUUAUUUAAAUCCUUUUAAAAUGUAAAACGUAAAAUGGGGGAAUUGUUGACAAUAAUAGAAAUCAAAUUAAAAUAACAAAAAUGUAAAUUAAAGUUGUAAUUCAAAUUGGAGAAAGCUCUGGUUGAAGGAAUUAACCCAGCUUGAUUCGACUACUGAUCAUUGAUUCAUAUAUAAAUUAUUAUUACUUAUGAAGAGACCGGUUAUAGCUACUGAGACCCUCUAAUAGCUAAUCUCUCCUUAACUAGUCGAUAACCAAGGUAGGACCGUUGGUUAUUUCCCUAAUCAAUAGACAACCCUAGAUAAGAUCAUAGGAUUUAAUCAAUUGACAGCCUGAAAAACUAGAGAGACCCAAAUCCUAAUCAACAAACACAUACGAUGACUCAUUUAAAUUAGAUUGUUUAUUCUCACAACACAACUCUCUGCUAUGUUAUUUGUCACAAACAUUAAAAUCUUCAUACGAUGAAUCCUUUAAUUAACAAUAGAUUAAGUUGAUAAUUAAAUAGUGGCCAAUUAUCUAAUUAACAAACAUAAUCAUGAUAAUAAUUCAGAGAAUAAACAAAUACCCAGAAAGUAAUAAAACAAUUAAAGCAUAAGAAAGAUCUCACAGUAGUGAUGAAUCAAAGCUUCAUUAACCUUCAACCAGAAAAAUAGAUUUAGUUCUUCAUAGAGAGAAGAGAAAAAUUUAGAUCUAGGGUUUCUUUCUCUUCUCCAAUUCUCCCUUUUUUCACAAUAAAUUCCUCCCUUAAAUACUCUCUCUCUCUUCUCCUCUAGAGUUGUUUUUUUAAAAUAAAAUACUAAUAUCUGAAACAUUAAAUUCGUAAUUACAAAAAUACAAAACACGUUAAACUAAAAACUGCAGGUCCGUAGUUGACAGCACGCGCCCACGUCUUAUCAACAAAGUUCUUCUGACGCUCAUAAUUUCUCCAAGAAAACAAUCAUCCUUAAAUAUCAUCUUGUAGCUUAAUUUUAUGAUCAAUCAAUAGAAUUGCACCUACGAAAGUAAAACACAAGUUAAUCACUAUUAUUAAGUGCAAAACAUUGAUAUUAAGGGAAGUAAACAAUGCAAAAUUAGUGCAUAAAUUGCACUCUAACAUAUACCUUUGAAACGCAAAUACUUCUUUUCAUUUUUGUUUGAUAGCAUGGUUAAAAUCAACCAUCAAUCAUGUACUUAUUGUGAAUCGUUGAAGUAGAUCUACAAUGCAUAAUAAGUAAUAUUUAUUUAAAAAUUGAAGCUACUAGAUAAUUUCGAUAUAAAUUAAGUUCAACUUUUACUUCAUCAAGGUGAAACAUCAUAAAGCUUGUAAAUCUAACACAUGAACGUAAAAGCUUAAAAAAAAAUUUGAAGUUGCUUGAUAACAUAGAAAUACAAGCAAAAAGAGAUGCUAAAGAAUACAUCCCAGAUUUUUCAUUGGGUGGGAUUAUUGAUCAUGCUAGCAUAAUGAUGAGGGCUGCCUGGAUAUCCAGUAUUUUAAUAAUAUGGUUAAGGUUUUUGAGCUUAAGCUUUGGUGGUGUUUUUAGGAGCAGCUUUCAUUAUGGGCUUCUUUUAUGAAGUCUAAGUAUUGUACAACUGCACAUUCGAGUAUGAUUUAGUUUUAAUAUCCUACCUACCCUCUUUGGAGGCACCUAUGCUUGAUUCAAUAUGUUGCUGAGCUUCAUGUGUGUUGGUUGUUUGGCCGAGGGUUGUUUUUGGUAUGGUUGUUAGCUGGGUUCUUGUCCUUUGGCCUUUUAUAAUCAUGUGGUGGCUUUUAUGGUGCCAAUUUCUUUUUAUUAGCAACAUACAGUAUGAGAUAGGGGUAAGCUUCAGGAUGUCCUGCCUUUUUUAAUUGUUGUGCAUAUUCUUUUGAUUCCUAUCUCUAGUGGGGAACCAUAUGUGAUUUUGUGGGACCUUUCUCGUGAUGGUAGUUUUUGUUUGAGGAUUUGCUUCAGAUAUUGUGCAUUGGAUAAGGCCGAUUUUUGUUAUUUGGCAGCGACAUAUCUCUUCAUGGAUAUCCUUUUUUCUCUAGAGGUUGUGACACAAAUUCUUGACCACAGAUGAUGCCUCGUGUUCAGGGGAUUUCUGCGUAGUUUCUUAGUAUCUUUGUGGUCAGGCUUCUGAGACUUCUAGGUAUUUAUUUCUUGAUUGCCCUCGAGUUAGGCCGGUUUGGGUCCAUUUUCUACUUACUCUUGGUUUGCGCUAUGUUGCUUUUCUGUUCCACCGUACUUUAUUUCUUAAUUGGUAGUGAGAUGCCCUUUCUUGGAGCCAUAUUCGAGUUCUUCUUCCUUGUUUUAUUUUAUGGCAUGUUUAGAAGGCCUGUCAUGCAUUGAAGUUUGACUCAAUGGCUUUUUUUGUUGAUGACAUUAUUUAUUGGACGGUGUUGGAUCUUAGGCUUGAUGGUUUUGCCUUUGGUCUUAAACCAUUCCAAUUGUGAGGCGUUUUAGGUUCUCGGUUUGCAAAGUGCUUGAGAGUUGUUGUUUCAUCUAGGAGGCCGAUUCUUUUAGUUUCUUGGCUGUGGCCACCACCUGGGGCGGUGCAGUUGACUAUUGAUGGUUGCUUUAGGGGUAAUCCUAGGAUGGCUGCUUCAGAUAGUAUUUUACGUGAUCAUCGGGAUGUGGCUUUAGCUGCUUUUGGUUCCUUCCUUGGGCGCUAACGGAUCCUUCAUGAAGAAUUCAUGGUUGUUUUUUUAGGGGUUAUAGUUGGCUGCUCAGCUCCAUUAUUCUGUGCUUGAGGUAGAGUCAGACGCAGCCAUGGCGGCUUCUUGGAUUUUUUUCUAAGGCCUUGUUCAUUCGGACUAUACCUAUUCUUUGCGUCGGGUGUGUAGUUUGACAUUUUCUUCUACUUUGGUAAGUCAUGUGCUUUGAAAGGCUACUUCUACUGUUGAUUUCUUUGGCUUGCACUCUUCACAGUCAUCGGUGUUUCUUGGGUUCUCAUGAUAUCUCUGCUAGCUUAGCUAAUAAUCUCCAUUUGGAUGUGUGUAAUUUCUCAUCUCAAGCAAUACGAUUACUUAUUUUUGUCUUCCAUUUUUUAUCUUGUAUUUUUCUCUUUCCAUUCUUAUGUUCUUGCAAUUGCAAUUUUGAUUUAUAUUCACCUCCUUAUGUAUUUGAUUCAUUCUAUAAUUUAUAUGAAAGAUAGGGGUCCCACCUUUUUUUGUAGUUAAAAAAAAAAAUCAGGAAUCAAACCUAGGUCAUCAAGGUGAAACAUCAAACAGGUUGUAAAUUUAACAUAUGAACUUAAAAGCUUAACAAAACAUUUGAAGUUGCUUGACAACAUAGAAAUACAAGCAAAAAGAGAUGCUAAACAACACAAAAUUUUGAUUGGGUGUGAGUAUUGUUCGUGCUAGCAUAAUAAUGAGGUGCCUGAGAAUACCUAAGACUUUCUUGAUAAAUAAUAUAAUCUAAAAGGUUAGGAAUCACAAAUGAUUGUCCAGGUAUGAACAAACCUGGCUCAAAAUGUGAAAUGUAUUAAGAUUUUCAAACAUUUAAAUUAAUAGUUAAUAAUUUCGGACAAAGGACACUUGGAGACCCUAAACUUCAUUGAUUCUAUGUUAUGGCUCAUUGUCUCUCUCAACAAUUUAAUUUCUAGAUUAUUUGGCUCCUAUCUAUUAAAAGACAACACCGUUACUAAAAUUAUAGAUUAUAACAGUUAAACCUAAACUUAAGCCGUUUAGCAAUUUACAAAAGAAAAAAAUAUAACAAAAGCCAAUUGUUGGAGUAGCAACGUGCCAACGAGAAAACCUCAAGCCAUGUAAUAUCCUGUAUCAACUAAAAAAGAACAAACCACCACCCUCUAGGUCGUCGCUGCACUAACGCUGGGCCCGAUUUGAAUACUUAGAAGUUGUAACAUUAAUUAGGGAUUGAGGGUAAAAUUUUGGACUUUGAUUUAAUAAAAUUGAUUUAUAUGAGUCCCAAUAGAAAUAUGAUUAUAAAUAUAUCAAUGCAAUUAUAAUAUGUUUAAAAGAAAAAAAUUAUUUUCACACAACAUAAAACUCAACCCUUGGACGUGGGAUGUGUCUAAAAAAUAAUAGGGUGGAAAUAUUACCACCCUCAAAUUAGAUAUAUAAAUGUUUAAUGUUUUACUCUUAUAAUUUUGUAUUUAUUUUUUUUAAUAUUGGUAAGAGAAAGAUAGAAAUUAAUAUAUAGACAAAUCGAGUCCCUUAUUUUAUUAUUCAUAUCCAUAAAAAGUAACCACUAUGCUAGUCCCCCCGAACUUAGCAUAAGACGGUAAUUUAAAAAAAGAAAAAAAAAGAAUGUUUUUAAACACCAAAACAAAAGCAAAACAAACACAAAGCGAGACAUACAAACAAAUUUUAUGCUACUGCAUUCAAGCAGAAGCCAUCAACUGUUCACGACGAAGUUUGAGAGCAACCAAUAGUUCAUCCUGAUUAGGAAGAUUUUCUUCAAUCACAGGGAUUUGCUUGAAAUUUUCAAUCCAGGCAUGCAAGUGAGGGAAUUUGUGUGAUUCAAAUAGUUUAACUCCCACUACAUCUUCAAUGACUUGCAACCAAUAAACAAUUGGACCAAAUGCUAGGUCCACUAAGCCAAUAUUGUCUCCAUUGAAAAAUUUCUUAUCUCCCAAGCCAUGCUCUUCAACGGUUUGUAGCAUUUCCAAGGCUUCCUUCAUUGUGUUUUGUAGUUCUUGUCCAGUGCUACGAAACAUUUUCCAAAUAGCAACACCCUGCCACAAAUAUUUUACAUCAGAUUAUAUCACCGACAUGAUUAAUUAAUAAUAUGUACAUAAAAGCUAAAAAUCGUUAGGCAAUAUGUACACGCGUCACAAUAUCCUUUAAUUAGAGGUUUAUAUAAUAAGUUAACUAAGAGAGUUCAACCACUGAGUUGUAAAAUCUGUCAUUAGUAAAUUCACUUUUUCCCAACGCUUCAAAAGUCAUAAAAAUUCCCCGUGAAGUUAAAAACGGUUGUGUUAACUUUAACAGUGAAGACACCAGAAAUUGAAAGUUUAGAGAACUUUUUACAAAUAAAUAUGAAAAAGACCCCUGGGUGGCUGGGCUCGACUGGCUAUGAAUUCACUUCCGCCAUCACCCGAGUUCGAGUAUAUAUGGAGAGUAAGAGUUAGUGUUUGGUGGGUGGAUUUCAUUAUCCUCGUCACCUUAUCUAGAUCUUAAAAUAAAUAAACAAAUAAACAAAUUUGAAAAGAAUGAACUUAAUCAUAAACGUGUUUGCCAGAGUUGUGAGCGAACCUUGUCUUCAGCGAAUUUGAUCCAGAAUCGAGCAUGAGCCCUAUCAUAAGGAUUAUUUGGCAUCAAGGAGGGAUUGUGCGGCCAUGUCUCUUCGAUGUAUUCGAGAAUAACCAUGGACUCACAAACUGGUUUUCCGCCAUGGACGAGCACUGGGAUCUUCUUGUGAACUGGAUUAUACUUCAAAAGCAAUGCACUUUUGUUUGAGAGAUCUUCGGAAACAAAUUCAUAUGGCACGCCUUUCAAUUUCAGAGCCCAAAUCACCCUGUAAACAAAUGGACUCGGCAGUGCCCCGUGAAGCUUCACUUCAGCCAUGAUAAUUCUUAGAUUGAAUUUGAAUAUCAGGUUUUUUGGUCGAUCUUGAGUGUAGCUGAUAACUCAUUACACAUGUUUCUGAAUUUAUAGUGAUUUAUGGUAUGCACUUUCUUGAGCAGAAAGCUUCAAUUUUCCAUUAAUAAAACGAUUAAUGAUGAAUUCAAAGAACUAGUGCGAUGACUUUAAUUAAAUUUUUUUUUACGUUGUGUGCAACCGCAAUUUGAGGUUAAUUUAAAGGAUAUUAUUUUCUCCUGAUCAAAACUUUUAUAUAAAAAAAUAUAAUUAUGUAAUUGGUAAUUAUUAAGUAAAAAUAAAUUUUGACCGUAAAUAAAUAAAAGUUCAUACAUGUUAUAAAGAGAUUUUAAAACUCAAAUAAGUGGACACAAUUCCUAAUUUAAAGCGCUAGCCAAUGAGAUCAAUAAUUUGGUCAACCAGUCAGAGAUAACCAUACAAUAAUUAAUUUUGCCAUUUGUUUUACAUUUAAGACCUUUGCGUCAUGCAUGAUGAUCAAUUGAUCAUGGAUCAAUUAGUCAACGAGACAUUUGCCUUUUGUGCAUGUAUCCACAUUGGACGCAAAUAUAAUUUAUUAUAAAAAAUUGGACUAAAUUAUUUUUUAAUAUAUAUUUUUAAAAUAAUACACCUGAUCAUAGAGGAGAUAUUAUUUAGUUUGUGAAUCUUAUAACAGGACCCAUGAUUUUUUUUUUAAAAUCUUAUGGGUCCCCUAUUAUUUAAUUUGUGGAAUUGACGGAGGUAACUUACAGUUUCAUUUUUGUAAUUUACAGCUUUCAAUAAAUUCAGAUAAUAUUAGGUGGUAGAAGUCGGCCAGGCUGGAGGAGUAGAUCUAUAAAAUUUGCUAGCACUUUGCACUAUCUGGUAGGUGCCCAAAAAUACAUGUAUAUCAUCCAUUUUUUGUUGGGAUUUUAUGCUCUUUUAAAGCAUAUUAAUUUAUUUUCUGAUUAAUAAAAUAUUUGAGACAUUUUCAAUUGCAUAAAUAUAUAUUGAAUAAGGUCCAUUUAAUCAUAUUAUAUGUAUUUAUGUGAUCAUCAUAUGGAUUCACAGAAGACAUAAAUACAAGCUAUCUUAUGAUUAAAUAAAUUUAGUUCGCAGUUGAUAAAUAGAGUUGGGCGCUCUAUUUAUUUUUAGACUGUAGUAAAUUCAUUAAAUGAUUUAUCUUAAUCAUAUAUGAAUUUACUGAUGUAGGUUGACUACAUUGAGAUGGAUCACAUAUGAGAUUUAAUUAACCUUGAAAGGACUGUCAGACUUAUUAAAUCUCAUAGGCAUUCUUUUUAUUAUAAUCUUAAUCUUGAGUUGGUUAUGAUUUCAUGAUUGUAAUUGUUAUUCCAUUUGAGUUACCAAUGGGCACGACACACACUUGUGGUCAAGAUUACCGGGUAUCUUGGUGGGAGCAAUUAUGAGUAUUGGAGUUAUAGAUUAACAAUAUAAAAUUUGUACAACACAUCUCUUGAUGGGUUUUCGGCACUUGAUCAUAGAAUUCUCUGGCCAGAGUGUAUCAAUAUAUUUAGUAUGUUGAAAAUGAUCAUUAGAGAAAAUCAAUAAGUAUCAAGGAAUAAGAUGUAAUUAAAUCGUUUGGACAGUUGAGAUAUCAAUUUAAUUAAUGAUGUGGUACAAAUGAUUGUGCAGUAAGGAAAUUAAUGAGGCUUGGGAUGAAUUAUUAUUUGAGUAUACAAUUAUGGAGGUCAUUUCCAAUCUUUUAGUGGAGUAGAUUUGGAAUUAAAUAAUUGAGCUAGUUUAAUUACAGGCCUAAUUAUUGUAGCCACUAUUGUAUGUUCCCAAAUAAUCCCCAGGUUAGCUCAUUUAAUUGACUGUGCCGCUACUGGAUUAAUAAGUAAGAUAACUAGUUAUUUGGGUUAAAAGUCUAAAUAUAUUAUUUAGUGGGAAGCUCCAUAUAAUAUGUUUGUGUGUAAGGGGCUUUAUGUUAUUUUACAAGGUGGGCCCCUAUAACACAAGAACAAGUAACGUUGUCUUUGUUUUUUUAUUUUUUUAAUUUAAAUCAAAUUUGAUUUAAUAAAUUUAAAAAUAGAAAAUAUAGAGCCUAGGGUUUCCACUAGAUAGAGAUAUAAAAAGGGCUUAUUUUCUCCCAAAAGAAUAGAGAGGCCACAUUAUACAAAUUAGAGAAAAAAAAAUUCUCUCUAAUUUUGAGAGAAAAAUUUUCUCCUGCUAGUUGCUUUUAGUGGUGAUAAAGGCGCCCACACCUCAAAUGCAGAUCAAACUUGAGUCAUAACCUGGAAGAUUAUUUGGUGGCGAUUCGUGCUCUAACAGGAGUGGUGGUGACGGAUCGUGAUCUAGGAGUCCAAAUCACUUCAGCGGAAAAAACAAAGAUUGUUCACCUUCUCAUAUUUUCAAGAUACGAUUUCUAAAUUAUGAAUUCUUAUAUAUUGUAUGAGAUCGAUCCUAAAAUUUUUUUUUUAUAAAAAAUUUAAAAAAAAUGAUUUUUCUCCAACACUUUUUAUUUAACGCUGGGUUUUUUUCAACCCAAAAUAAUUUCUCUUUGUACAUCCACUUUUUAAUAAAAACUUUUAUUGUCAAAAUAAUUUGUUAUUAAUUACUUCACUAAUCCUUCUUUUUUUUUUUGCCAAUUUCUCUUUCGCAUCUGAAAAAAUUUAAUUCACAUCAUGUGAUAGUAUGAUUGCAAAUAAAUUUGAAGUUAUCUCUCGCAAAUUGUUCAAAAAUACAUUGACCUAUCUUGUGUAUAGAACUAAAGAACAAUAGCAAACCACUAUCCUCUAGCCGAUCGCUGCUAUUAGGACGGAAAAUUCGUUGUAAAUAUGUAAAUUUGUCUAAACCCAUCUACAAAAAUAUGUCCACUGCGAAUAAUUUUGUAGGUUACGAAUAAGUUUGGUAUUUUAAAUUUAAGUUUGUUGCAAGUUACAGAUAUAUUUAGUAUUUUAAAUUUGGCGGAUGCCUACCGACUAUCAUUUUUUUUAAUUAUUUAUGUUUUUAAUUUAAUCACAAAGAUUGUCUUAAAAAAAAUUUAAUCAUAAAAAUAUAGUAGUUAAAGUUAUUACUCUAAUCUUCCAAAUUCCUAAACCUAACCUAGCUAACUCAUUACAAUUGCACACCCUACUCCUUCAAGUAUGUAUGUAUGUAAAUGUAUACACACGCGCACACACCAAAAAUAAACUUUUAAUAAGUAGAUUUAGUAUUUUUCAAGUUUAAUAUUAAUGAUAUUUUAAUUUAAUUUGAUUACUUUUGUUUGUUUCGCUUUAACGACUUGAACUCAGUGAUUGCUGGCUAAGAUUGAAUUUUUAUUUGUCUAAUUAAUGGUCAAUAGUUGUCCAAAAUAUAUUUGUUAAUAUUGUUGACAAUACUUAUAUAUUAACUAAAAGAUAGAACAAGGCAUUAAUCUUAGUAAUGAUUAUUUGCGUACAACAAAAAUAUUUUAUGUUAGAAUGAUAUAUUUUGUGUAUUUGUUUUAAUAUUGAAACUUUAAUUUCUCUUUUACAUUGAUAAAAUCUAAAAUUGAGUAAUUUAUGUAGAUUUUGUAGGCUGUUACUAUAAAGUUAUAUUUUGAAUUAUAUAAUUCAAAUUAUUAGAUAUUAUUUUUUUAAUAUUUGUAAUUUUAAAUAUAAAAAUUUAUAAAAAAAAAACCUACUGCAUGUUAUGGGUGAAUUUGGUAAUUAUUAAAAAUUAUAGCGAACGAACUAAGGCCACCGGUUACUGGCGAGUUUAAUAAUGACAAACCCAUAAUAAGCGAUACCCAUUACCAUCAGCAGCUUCUGUAACGCAGGGCCGAAGGCGGUCUUGAAUUGUUAGAAGUUGCAACAUUAAUUAGCAAAAUUUUCAGCGGCAUCCCUAAAGUUUAGCAUAGAAUUAGAUAGAUCCCCUUGUUUUCAAAAGAUUAGUCUCUGAUUCCAUGUUGUUUACUUAAUUUUUUUUUCCCUUUUCAAUUGGAUAUACAACUUCGUAAUGUUGCGCCUUGUAGAAUGUAUGCUUAAAAUGCGUUCUUCUUAUUUUUUAUAUACUGCUAAGAGAAGUUGAGUAUAGAAAUAUAUAAAAUGGAGUCUCAUUCAUUAAUUAUUUAUAUCCACUCAAUAGCACCUAACAUGCAGCUCACUUCAAUAUAAAAUUAAUUAAACAAAAUAGAAAGAAUAUUUUUAACGCUGGUACAAAAACUUAACAAGUGUAAAAGAAGACUCACUAACUUAUUUUAUGAUAUUACAUUCACGCAGGUACCACCAAUGUUUCCCGACCACGUUUGAGACCACCAACUCACGCCAAUUUAGAAGAUUUUCUUUAAGUAUAUAAGUUAAAGUUAUUACUCUAGUUUUCAAAAUACUUAAACCUAAUCUAACUAAUUACAGCUGCAUGCCUUGCUCCUUCUAGUAUAUGUAUAUAUUUUAAGAUGAAUACAAUAACUUUUUAAUAAGUAGAAUUUUGUACUUUUCAAGCUUAAUAUUAAUGAUAAUUUAUUUUAUUUUAAUUACUUCGAAUUCUUGAACAUAUUGAUUGUUUGCUAAACUUGAAUUUUUAUUUGUCUAAUUAAUUGGCGAUAGCAGUUGUAUAAAAUUUAUAAAGACAAAAUCUUAGUAGAUUACAAAAAGAUUUAGUAAUGACAAACCUGCAGCAGCCAAUACCCAUUACCAUCCCUAGCUACUAUAAUGCAGGGACACAGGCGGUCUUAAUUGUUAGAAGGUUCAAAAUUAAUUAGCAAAAUGUUCAGUGGUAUCCUUGAAUUUUAGCAUAGAAUUAGAUAUAUCUCCUAGUUUUCAAAAUUAGUUUUUGAUUCCCCCAUUGUUUAUAUAUAUAUUUCAAUUGGAUAUAUAACUUUGUAAUGUUGCGCCUUAUAAAAAUGUAUGCUUACAAUGCAUGCUUAUUACUUUUUAUAUGCUGUUAAGAGAAACUGAGAAUAAAAAUAUGUAAAAUGGAGUUUCAUUUAUUAAUUAUUUAUAUCCAUUAAAUAUCACCCAACGUGCAGUUCGUCUCAAUAGUAAAAUUAAUUAAACAAAGUAGAAAGAUUUGUUUUAGCAUUAGUACAAAAAUAAAACAAGUACUAAGCAAGAAUCACAAACUUAUUUUAUGAUAUUACAUUCACGCAGAUGUCAUCAACGUUUCCCGACGACGUUUGAAAGCGAUCACCAUCUCAUGUUGAUUUGGAAGAUUUUCUUCAAUUACAGGGACUUUCCUGAAAUUUUCAAACCAACCAUGCAAGCUUGGGAAUUUGUGAGAUUCAAAUAGCUUCACUCCCAUUACAUCUUCAAGGACCUGCAACCAAUAAGCAAUGGCUCCAAAUGCUAGGUCCGCUAAGCCAAUAUUGUCUCCAUUGAAAAACUUCUUCUCUCCUAGGCCAUGUUUUUCAACGGUUUGAAGCAUUUCCAAGGCUGCCUUCAUUGCAUUCUCCAGGUCUUGUCCAGUGCUGAAAAACAUUUUCCAAACAGCUACUCCCUGCCACAAUAUUUUAUAUCUAAUUCUUAUCACCACAUGAUUAAUAAUAUAUAUGAGGUGAAGAGAAAUUAGAUAAUACGUACACACGCGUCAAAGUAUCUUUCAAAGACUAGACGUUUCAAACUGUCAGAGUAUUUAGGAGAGUUUACCCACUAAUUUUUAGACUAGUUUAGUAUAACUUUUCAGAGCUUAUUUAAAUAGAAAUUUUAUUAGUAAAUUUUUAAUUUUUAUAAAAAAAUGUUAAUUAUUUAGCUGUUAACGAAAAUUUUCAUUAAAAUUUUCAAAUUACUUUAAUAGACAAAAUUUUAAUGUUAUGUUAUGAAAUAAAUAAAAUAAGAUUAUAAAAUAAAUGAUGAAUAUUUUAAACAAUUUAACUUUAAAAAAAAUCCUCAACCCUCUAUUUCCAAAAGUGUAAAUUUAAACUUUUACUAAUAUAGGCAAAAGAAUUUAUUUAAUCCCAAAAAGCUCUACUAAAAAUAAAACUAAACAAUAAUAAAAAUUUUGAAAAGAACUUUUUUUUUAUUAAAUAAACACGUAUGAGUAAUAAAUAAGCCAUAUCAAACAAAUACUAAUGAAAUAAAAGGAAAAAGAUAAAAAAAUCCUCUAAUUGUUUUAGUAAAUUAUAAUUUUAUUUUCAUGUUUCAAAAGUCCUUAAAAUUCUCCCUGUCGCUAAAACAAUUAUAUUUUAAUAUUUUACCCUUGAUUCAGUAAAAUCCACGGUUAAUUAAGAAAAUUUUCUAAAGAUAAAAAAUUUAAAGUAAUUAACCGAAUUUUUUUUAUAAUUUUCUCUAAUGUAAAAUAAAAGGUUCAUGGAGCUUAGUCGGCCGUGAAUGCAUUUGCACAUGCGAGGACAUUAGUUCGAGCAUUAAAAGAAGAUAAAAAUUAAUGUUUAGAGUCAUAUUUCUCAAAUACCAUGAAAAAUUAAAGUAUAUAAAGAAAUCCGACAAGAUUAUAAAAUUUAUAAACGUGUUGGCAAGAAAAGUUGUGAUGCGAACCUUGUCUUCGGCAAAUUUAAUCCAAAAACGAGCUUGAGCUCUAUCAUAAGAAUCACUUGGCAUCAAGGAGGGAUUGUGUGGCCACAUCUCUUCAAUGUAUUCGAGAAUAACCAUGGACUCGCAAACUGGUUUUUCGCCAUGAACGAGCACUGGUAUCAUCUUGUUAACUGGGUUAUACUUCAAAAGCGAAGCACUUUUGUUGUAGAGAUCUUCUUCAAUGUAUUCAUACGGGAUGCCUUUCAAUUUCAGAGCUCAUACCACCUUGUUGCUAAAUGGACUCGCCCAUCCCCCGUGGAGCUUCACUUCAGCCAUGUGUCUCAGAUCGAAUUUGAAUAUGUUUGCGGUUGUUUUGAUUAGCUGAUGAGUCAUUGCAUACGUACAUCUGAAUUUAUAAUGAUUAUUCAUUAAUAUUGGAAUAUGGAGUGCGCUUGCUUGAGCAGGGAGCUUCAUAUUUCCAACUUAUUUAAUAAAACGAUUAAAUUAAGUUGAAUUCAAUGAACUAAUGCUGCGACUUUUUAACAAUUCUGUUAUAUAUUCAACGAGAAGAGGUAUCGUAUUUGACGGAAAUCUCUUGAAACAGUGCUGAAUUAACAAGUAAUCUUAUUUAAUUUGGUCAACUGGUCAGAUUUGGAUUAAUUAUAUAUUUGGCGUUUGUUUUAGGUGCCCAGCUAGCCCUGCUGCUGUGCUUUUGACUUUACGAUGGGGUGGAGUCGUGGAGAUAUCAUCAUCCCAACUGAAGACAGAUUAUGAUAUUCUCCUGAAAACUUUGUGAGACUCAUUUACUCUACAAUUUUAGCAUUUUAGGCCCAAUAACUCCAUAUAAAUGACGUUUUGUCCCCCGGCUCCAUCUCUUCUAUAUAAAUCCGAACACCUGAAAAAUGACCAGACCGGAACAACUCUCCGUCUUAAGUCUAUGCAAAUUUUACACACAAGAGAAAGAGAGGGAGAGGGGCAGCCAUGAGAGACAACGAUACAGAAAAGAAUAUGGAAGAGAGUUUAUUAAUACCAAAAGAGAGUUUAUCAUCAACAUCCACAACAUGGGAUUUGUUGAGUGGAGAAGUGAAAAAGCAAGGUUACAUAGCAGCACCAAUGGUGGCAGUAACUUUAUCACAGUAUUUGCUUCAAGUUGUUUCCAUGAUGAUGGUUGGUCAUCUUGGUCAACUUGCUCUUUCUAGCACCGCCAUGGCCAUCUCUCUAGCUAGCGUCACCGGCUUCAGCGUCCGUGUGUCCUACAAUCCAUAUAUAGUUAUAUACACAAGAUUGUUUAUUCUUUCUUUUGAUAGGUACUUGCAUCAUUGCAUGUGGGAUUUAAACAAAUAGAUAUGCCAAAUUUCUGAUGUUAAAAAACAUGCAACUAACUAAUACCCUGUUUGUAAAAAUGCCAUUAAUUUUUAAAGGACUUGAUUUGCUCUUUUUUUUUAAAAAAAAAAAUGCUACAGCUAACUUGAAUUGUGUAAUAUUUUCUUUGAAACAGUUAGGAAUGGCAAGUGCUCUGGAAACAUUAUGUGGGCAAGCACAUGGAGCUCAGCAAUAUCAAAGAAUUGGAACUCAAAUUUACACUGCAAUAUUUUGUUUAUUCUUAGUAUGUUUUCCGCUUUCCUUUCUAGGGAUUUACAUGGGAAGGCUGCUAGUUUUGGUAGGCCAAGACCCCCAGAUUUCACACGAAGUAGGCAAGUUUAUAAUCUGGCUUCUUCCAGCUCUGUUUGCUUAUGCAGCAAUGCAGGCGCUUAUUCGAUAUUUUCAGUCUCAAAGUUUGAUCAUUCCCAUGUUCUUAAGCUCCUAUGCCUCUCUUUGUUUGCAUAUUCCCAUCUGUUGGGGUUUGGUAUUCAAGUCUGGACUGGGAAACCUUGGAGGAGCAUUGGCAAUUGGUAUAUCGUAUUGGUUGAAUGUAACUUUCUUGGCAAUUUACAUGAAGUUCUCCACUGCUUGUGCAGAAUCCAGGGCUCCAAUUUCAAUGGAGUUGUUCCGAGGAAUUGGAGAGUUCUUCCACUUUGCUAUCCCUUCUGCAGUAAUGGUUUGGUAUGUUAAUUAUCUUCUGGAGUUUCAUUUUCCCUUCUCAUAGAUAUCGUAGACACGUCAUAAAUUUUCAUGCAUCUUCUUUUGUUUAUAAUUUUGCAGCCUAGAAUGGUGGUCAUUUGAAUUGCUCAUUUUAAUGUCAGGGCUGUUGCCUAACCCACAGCUUGAAACUUCAGUCCUAUCUGUAUGGUAUGUUGACAUAGACUUUGUAUGUGAAAGUUCUAUACAGAGAAGCACCUACCAAAGGAAAUAGAUUUUUUUUCUUUUUUUCUUUUUUUUCCCGACCGCUCAUUAUUUGUCAACUUCUUUGGGCAGUCUCAGUACUAUUCAAACCCUCUCUGCAAUCCCUAUGGACUUGGUGCUGCAGUGAGGUUUGUUCAUAACAAUCAUUUAAAUAAUAAUUAUUUUAUAUCAACUAAUUAGCAGAUUAACCAUUAUUUCCUUCUAUAGUACUAGAGUUUCAAAUGAACUAGGAGCUGGGAAUGUGCAAAGAGCCCGUGUAGCUGUCUAUGCUGUGGUCUUUAUGGCAGUCAUGGAGACUAUCAUAGUAAGUGCAUCUCUCUUUGCCAGCCGGCGUGUUUUUGGUUAUGUUUUCAGCAAUGAGGGACAAGUUGUGGAUUAUGUCACAACCAUGGCUCCUCUGGUUUGUUUGUCUGUCAUCAUGGAUAGCUUACAAGGAGUCUUUUCAGGUUAAAUUAACUUCUUCAACUCUUUCAAUUGCUAAAUAGUUCUCUUUAAGUAGAAAUAAAAUUUUUCAGGUUUCUAAAUUCUUUUUAUUAUUUUUAAGGUGUUGCAAGAGGAUGUGGGUGGCAGAAUAUAGCUGCUUUUGUGAAUCUUGGGGCUUAUUAUUUGUGUGGAGUCCCAACUGCUGCCAUUUUGGGUUUCUGGUUAAAGUCUAGAGGAAGGGGCCUAUGGAUUGGGAUACAAGCCGGUGCUUUUACACAAACACUUCUGCUUGGCAUCAUAACAACAUUUACAGAUUGGGAAAAACAGUUCUGUUUCUCAACAUUUAAUCCCUUAAAAAAUAGAGAAGCUUAUUGGACUAGAUAUGUAAAUAUGUAGCAAUUUUUUUUCCCAACAAGUAUAUGAUACCUUCUGACUGAAAGUUCAAGAUUAAAAUCAUUCAGCUUGGUCUGAAAUGGUUAGUAUUAUCAUCUUAUGCAGAAAUGGUUUUGCUCAUUGAGAAAAUGAUAUUCAAUAACAGACCUGCAAACUCAUUUGAAAAUUUGCUUUUUUGGAAGAAUUAUAACCAUUUUCUAGUUUGUUAAUUGUUACAAGUUCUGUGUUUCUAAGGGGUUUCUCAUGUUGCAGGCAAGUAAAGCAAGGAAAAGAUUAUCAAAGGGAAGAUCUUUUGCAGAUAAUAGAGUAGUAUGUGAGUGACCAGAGUCAAUCAAUGAGCUGAUAUAUACAUUUUCCAGUUGAAAGAGAUAAUCAUUGCUUGAGAAAAUGAGCUGAUCAUAUGUCAAUUGAUGGCCAAGAAGGUCCCCCGAUCUGGUCUAUUGAGCAUGACAUUUCAUGAAACUCUGUUUCUAGAGAAAAAAAAAAAAUAACAGCUUCUUAGGAUUGCAGCAUCAGGUGACUUAGCAUUUCCAGUAUGAAUGAAUUAUAAGAUAGAUGAUGCUGCAAAAAUGAAUAGAGAUAAAAAUUAAGCAAGAGAAAAUGUUUGAAUAAAAUUAUUUAAACCUUUUCCAGUGAUUGUAGAGAUAAUUUCUUUGUAUUGAACACUUUCACCAUCUGAAAGAUAAGGAAAAUAUUAAAAGAAAAAAGAAAAUUCUUAAAUCUUUUCCAUGUCAUUCUAGCAAAGUUGAAUUGUGAUUCUUAACCCUACACCACAAUGUAAGGUGGCCUGUGGCCUGUGGGUAACACACAAUUUGACAACCCCAUAUAUUAAGUAAUCUAGAUGGAGGACAUUAUAUUUUUCAAUUUUUUAAUUUUUGUUCUUUUUUUUUUAAUUCAAACGACACCUCUUUCAUUGUGGCAUUGGAAUGUAUAGAGAUUUGCACACUGAUUUUGGACCAUACUUCACAAAUAAUGCGACGCACAUCUUUCUUUCAGUACUUCUUCAGGAGGAUAAGCUACAGACGUUGUUGUCCUUUUACCUGAAGCAAGUGCAUGUGCAUGAAUUGUUGUUGUCUGUUAAUCUGCUGCCACUUUGCUGCCAAAAAACUUGAAAAAUAAACCGGGAAAAUUUUCAAUAAGCAAAGUCAAACAACUAACCCCUGUUUAAGUUAUAUUCCUAAGAAAACUUUUAACACCAAAUAAAGCACACAGCUAAAGUAUUUCUAUCACAUUAGGUUUCGAGUGAGGUUUGAUUUACAUUUAUAUCAGAUAUACCAAGUGUUUUUUCUUCUUUUAAUUAAUGUAUAUUCCUAAGAAAACUUCUAAUUGAUUAUCCACAUAUAUAAACAAACCUAGCUCGCAAUGUGAAAUAUAUUAAAACAGCAACCAUAAGAUUUUCAAACAUUUAAAUUAACGGUGAUGAUAUUUCCAUCCCAUGAAUUUUAUAAACCCACCCAUUUUUAAAAAAAUUAUUAUAAUCAAUUCACAUUAUUUUUAAAAAAUUUAAAUUAAGAAGAAAUUAAAAAAUUGAUCAAUAAAUUCAUAUUCAUUUCUUUUUUAAACUGUGUUUCUUUAUUAUAUUUAAUCAAUAAGAUUGCUUUAACAUAAAUUAGUAUGACUAUUUUACCCUCAUAAGGUAAAAGUACCAAAAUAUCUAAAAAUUUACUUUAACUUUAAUAAAUUUUUAUGCAAUUUUUUUAUAUUUUAAUGAUGUAUUAGUAAUUGUUAGUACAAUUAUUAUUACUCCACUAAACUAACAAGAUAUAAUUAGGACAUGUGGUGAAUUGAAAAUAAUUAAAUUUUAUAUAAUACAUAUUGGAUUAUAAAAUAUAAAAAAAAAUGUCUAAGCAAUUAGUUACAAUAAUAUAUAUAUAUAUAUAUUUCUUAGAGUAAUUUGGUAAUUUUAUAUUACAAGGGAAAAAUAAUCAAAUUAAAUUUAUCUUGAAGUGCUUCAAAAGUUAAAGAUUGUUAAAAGACUAAGUCGGAAAAAAUAAAAAAAAAAUAUUAUAAAAUUAAUUUAAUUAAUUAAUUAUUUAAAAUUUUUAUUAAUUUAAAAUUUUAUAAAAUAAUAUGAACUUAUUGUAAUUAUUUUAUACAGGUGGACUGGGUUUAUAAAAAUAGCGGGGUGGAUAUACUUACACCCUUGAAUUAAUAGUUAGUAUAAAUUUUAGAUACCCCCCUAAAAUUUGACUUUGCUACACUUAGAGAGAAUGUAAACAUAUAUUGACAAUAUACCCCCUGGUCGUGUAUAAGGGUUAGGCACUGGUUAGGUAGUUGAGGGCAAUAACGUACAUGUUGCAUAUUUUUUUAUUUUUAAAUCUUACAAAAGCUGCUAUACCGUAACUAAUUAGACAAGAGCAGCGAAAAUGCAUACAGUGCUUUGAAGCUAGGGAAGCCCAAGGGGAUAGUAACCCAUUUUCAUUGUCAAUGCCUAGCUUCAUUUCUUCUUUUUUCUCAGCAUAACUUGAUGAGUGCUUAGCUUCAUUUCGAAGGUCGUGACACCAACUGAUUUUAGCAAAAGCAGAGAUACUUUGUGAUGCAGUAAGCUAACAAGUUUCUGAAAUCAGCUAUGUUUUGGACCAAAUUCCGGCGACGACCAGCAGCUGAAAAGCCGGUGAUUAAAGGGCAAUCUAGGUGAGUAAUUCUAUCAAAGCUUAAAAUUGAAGUUAGGUUUUAUUAUUUUCUUGCAUUUUGUUGAAAUUGCUGUUAGUUAGGUGCUUUAUUUUUAGCUCAAAUUAAUUGAGAAAAAUGUUUAGGGUUUAUAGAAAUUGAAGUAGUGACCGAAUAUAUCGGAAUUGAUUUUUGAGUUGAUAGUCACUCAACAUGUUGUGUAAACUAUGAAAAUGAUUUAUUUUUUGAUGAUUUUGGACUCUGGUUUUUGAAUGCCUACUGAAAUUUGCUUGAUCUGUUAUUAAAAUUGAGAAAAAUCCAAUCUUUCUCUAAGAAUGCAGAGGUGUUGCUGAGAAAACGCUUAUGGUGUUGUUUUGUUUCUUUCUUUAUUUUACAAGUGUGCAGUUCAUGUAAGAUUGAGACAGUUGCUCUUGUUGCUUUUUGAUGUUUGUGUGGACUAAUUCCAAUCACUGAUUUUUGUUGGAAAAUGGAUGCUAUUAUUUGUCCUUUUCUUUGUGUAAAAAUUUGUACUUUGUUCCCAACAUAAAAUUCAGAUGCUUGCCUAUUACUUUUUGAGGUUGUUAUUAAGGUGUAAGAGAUAUAUUAGUUAUAGAGCUUGUAGGCAGUUGGUUUAUUGAAGAACUAGUACAGUUGAGAAAGUGUCUUUUAGGUCAUCCAUUUUAAUACACAUAUUAACAGAUUUAAUUACAUAAACACAAGACUUCAUUUGUUUAUCAAAGUAGUACUUUCUGAUGCUUUCAUAUAAUGAAUGCCAAAGAGAUGACAUUUGCAAAAAGGCCAUUUGAAUGUACCAACUGCUAUCCUUGUAAACCUCUAUUGUGAUUCUGUUAUCAUUAUAUGUUGUUUAAUGAUCUGAUGAUUUCGAGAUAUCAAGAUGAGUUUAUUCAUACAAUAAAUGUUGUCAUUAGGUUCAUAAUUAUUGUAGUACAUGUUCAUUUAGCUACUUUAGGUACUGCUACAUGCAUUUAUUGUAUAAUGCCUACUUAGCAGCCAUAACUACACCCAUUGUUGAAGCCGCAGUAGCAAAAAUGAGAAAAAAAACAUGUUUAGGAACAACGUUGUCUUUAUAUCAUUUUAUUUUACUCCAUUUUGUUGUGCUUUUUGCAUCAGUGACUUCAAAUCCUUCCUAUCCUUUUGCAUACUCAUUAGCAGUUCAUAAUUUGCUUGACAUGUUCCUAAACCAUCAAAUAUAACACCUUGGUCGACAUCAUAGCCACAACCAUUUUUGCUAUUCAUACAGCAAUAAUAUAGCUUGUUUGGGUUGUCAUCUGAUUCCGCUACCUUCAUAGCAGCUAUUUUGUAGCAUUUACUGAUCUUGUUUGAAAAUCAAAUGAAUUUAAAAUAUUCUCAUUUAUUGUUUUUUUGUAGCGUUCACUAAUCUUCUGAUAUUCAAUAUUGUUUUUAUAUAAAUUAAUUUAAAAUAUUAUCAUUUAUUUGUCUUAUUAUAUGAUUUUACGCUAUCAAAUUAUUUGUUUUAACAGGCAUUUUGUUCUUUUCAACACUCAAUUGAGUUUUGUCUUAUUAUAAGAAUUUGUAAUGUCAACAACAAUUAUCAUAAGGGUAUAAUAGCCUUUCACCCCCCCAGGCGCAAAAAAAAAAAUUGCCCCAAAUAUAAAGAUCAUCUACAGUGUCAAUUAAUUAUGAAGGGCAUUAUUGCACAUUCACUCAACUACCUAACGGGUGCCUAACCUUCAUACAUGGCCGGGGGUAUGUUGUCAAUAUAUGGAUACAUUCUCUCUAAGUGUAGCAAAGCCAAACCUCAGGGUGGUUUCUAAAAGUUUUCCUAAAUAGUUAAUAAUUUUAUACAACAGAUUCUUGGAUACCCCUCAAGUUCACUUAUUCUACGUUAUGGCUGACUUUCAAGAAAUUAAAUUCUACAUUAUGACCCCUAGGGAAACAACGUAGCCAAUAAAAUUAUAAAAUAUAUGUGUGUAAUAGUUGUCAAACCUGAACCUAUGUCGUUUAGCAAUUUACAAAAUGAGAAAGACGACAAAAGCCAAGUGUUAGAGUGGCAGUGAGCCAACGAGACAAGCUCAAGUUCACUGUGUUUUUGUUGAACCUUCUGAAGACCCGAAACUCGAGGUUUGUUUUUCACGUUCCCUAAUCGUUUGACUACAUUUUAAUUCUGUGCUACGCUCGUUAAGAACUGUUCAGGCUUAUGAACUGUUCAGGCUAAGUGUUCGACGAAAUUCCUAAGUGAGUAUAUAUUCUGUUAUAGAAGGUUUUGCUUUGGGUGGUUAAAUAGAGGAGAUUAGACAUUGAACUUUAUGCACUUGUAUGUUUUCAAGUAAUUGUUUGCUGAGGCACAUGUACUUUGAAUGGCUUCAUUCAUCUACAGAGAUAUCAUAACAUUUUUGCUUAAUGUGAGUCUUAUUGUUGUUAAUUUGUCCAAAGUGAAGGCUUUUUUAACUUUUAUUUCUUUGAUUUAUUUAUUUAUUGGUGUGUCGAAGUUCUGUCUCAACUUUAUUUGAUAAGUUCUUUCAGACUACUAAUUAGAAGAAAAAAAUGCUAGAGAGUGAGUAUGAGAGGGAAUGAUGUUUGGGCAAGGGGUGAUUUGUUCACUUGGCUCAUGAAGGACCCCAACUAUAAUGACAUGUAUCAAUUUCGCAGCCUAAUUGGAAGGUAAGCUCAUUUCUUGAUUUCCUUCAAUUUUCACUUUCAUUUUACUGUUUUCAAGUAGUAGGUAACCUAAAUAAAAGUAAAAUCAGUAGUGAUUUGCUUCAAGUGCAUAUGGAUAGUAUAUCACAUGUGAGAAGAUUGUAUUUGUUAUAUGAAAAUCCUUAAUAACUGUAAUGAAAAAAUAUAUUCUCAAACCUGAUCGUGGAAUGUACUAUUUCUUAAUAUCUGAGUUUGGAUCCACACAUUUUUUGCCAUGCAAUUUGACAAGUUGUCAUGUCCUCAUAUUCUGCGCUAUCAUAAGUUUUGCCAAUCUGCAUAGGUGUUUAAUAGAUUGAGUUAAUCUAGUUUCGAGAGCAUGCCUUACUAAAGGGCAUCGAGUUUCUAAGUGAGGGCAAGCACAACUAUAAUUAUCUAUUUCAUAUCCUCCCUAUCAGCGGGGCAGGUCUGUUACCUCUAAAUUCUUUCAAUAACUUGGGGACGUUAAUCCUAUUAAUGACAGCCACAUAUUAUAAGUCAAGAAAACUGAUUUUUUGAUUAUUGAAAAAUCAAAUUUUUUAUAUUAUUCUAUUUAUGAUCUCAGUAACCUACAUGUUAGUGAAUUAUAAGAAUAUGGAGGCAAAGAACAAAGAAUAUUUCUUAGGAUUUGAGACGUGUUUGCACACUUUCCUUUAAGGUUUUAUUUGCCCUCUCCAAUCUUAGUUUGCUAUAGAGUAUUAAUGGCAAAUUACCCCCAAGAUAUAUCAAAUCCUGAAUACAAUCUCUAGCAAAUAAGAUUGUAUUUCCAGAACAUAUAUAAAACCUACAAAAUCUGAUUUUUAAUCUUAUUGUAUGUCUUUCUUUUUAUGAAUAAGAUGUUUAUUUGAAAGAAUACAUCCAUUAGAAAUGGUACUUCUUCGAAAAAACUCUUUUGGUUUGAAAAUGCAUCGAUUUACAAUUGAAAUCUUUUCAAUCUUGCUAACCGUUUUUCAAUUGACAACUUUCUGGAAAUAAACGGUUAGCCGUUUUCUCAAUAAACGGUGAGCCGUUUAUUCUAGGACAUAAAACAUGCUCUCUGGACUUAAACGGUAAGCCGUUUUCACCAUAAACGGUGAGCCGUUUAUUCCAGAACAAAAAACAUGCUCUCUGGACUUAAACGGUUAGCCAUUUUCUCAAUAAACGGCAAACCGUUUUCGUCCAGAAUAUCAAACCAAACAGACUUGAAAGAUGUUACAAUCUCUCUUACAAUCCCCACUAGAUUGUAAUAUUUUUCAGAUUUAUUAAUGAUAAACUUAUACAUACAAAAGGUAUCUUUCGAUUUUAACCUUUAAUUAGUGAGUGUAUUUCAAAGCAUUUACAAGACAAUAGUGUGCUAAGCAUUAAACUUUGUCUCUUAAGUAAAUACCGGAGAUACAUCACAUAUAAGCUAUCCCAGAUUUCAAAGUUGUGUUCCAAUAGUUAGCACUAUUCCGGCCUUGUGCUCUAUCUUGGAUUCAUGAACAUUUACAAGAUUAAACUAUGACCUUGUUAGAAACGGCACCAUUUCUUAUGUUCACUUAGGUGAAGUUUCAAAUCAUGUCUUUAGCUACUAAAAGACUUGAACUUCAUUAAGAGUAAAUACUCAACCUCAAUCUCGUAGCUAUUUGCACCGAAUAUCUCGAAUGAGAUUAUUUAUUACUCGGUGUCAAACCAGUCACAUAACAACAACUUGUUAUUACCCAUUUAACUAUGGAGUAGCGGUAUAACUACUACAUAGUUGGGUUACCGUCGUUGGUGACUUUAUUAUAUAAAGGUUUCAAUCCCAUUCCAUAAGAUGUAUCCUUAACUAAGUCUCUUGAAAGACCUUUUGUUAAAGGAUCUGCUAGGUUCUUAUUAGUCCUAACAUAAACAAUAUUAAUAACACCAUCUGCUAUUAAUUGUUUCACAUAUUCAUGUCUUAAGCUAAUAUGUCUAGACUUUCCAUUAUACACUUUAUUAUAAGCUCUAGACAAUGUAGCUUCACUGUUGCAGUACAAAGAAAUAGAUGGCAUCGGUUGUGGCCACAACAUUAUAUCAAACAACAAAUUUCUCAGCCAUUCUGCUUCUUUGCCUGCAGCUGCAAGUGCUAUAAACUCACUUUCCAUUAUUGAAUGAGUUAUGCACGUUUGUUUCUUUGAAGCCCAAGAAACCGCUCCUCCAGCAAUUGUAAAAAUCCAACCAGAAGUGGAUUUAUUGUCUCUUGUAUUGGUUACCCAAAUAGCAUCUGAAUAUCCUUCCAGUACUUCAGGAUAAUCAUUAUAAAACAAACCCAAAUUAACGGUCCUUUUAAGAUAACCAAGUAUCCUACCAAUUGCUUUCCAGUGUUCAACACUAGGGUUACUCGUGAAUCUUGACAUUUUGCAAACUGCAAAUGCUAUAUCAGGCCUCGUACAAUGCAUAGCAUACAUCAAGCUACCAAUUGCACUAGCAUAUUCUAGUUGAGCUACUAUUCGGCCUGAAUUCUCUAGUAAUUUAAUACUAGAAUCAUAUGGGGUAUUAGCUU
rnacentral:lncRNA from 1 species